CUUUAUCUGAGUUAUAUGAGAUAUGCAUCACAUCUUUCUUUUAGGCUAUGGUUUUACUUUUAGAUGAUUAAUAAACUCAAAUUUGUUGCAUUGAUCUUGUGCCUACAAAUACUUUUGUAGUCUCCUUAUUCUCUUGUGCAUUCCCCAUCUCUUGCAGCUUGAAGCAAUGGGGUUUGACCGUGCAACUGUGCUCCAAGUGUUCUUUGCGUGCAACAAGAAUGAGGAACUUGCGGCCAACUACCUUUUAGAUCAUAUGCAUGAUUUUCAUGAUUGAGCUGGUAAAAGAAAUGGCUAGGGGAAGUACAAUAUCAUUUUCUCUUUCGUUCUUUGGGUCCAUUGUCAUUCAUGUCCCCCCUCCCCUCCCCCCAAAACUCUACCGACUUUAUUCUUAAUCAAGUGAUGUAAGUGUUUGGUGUAGAGACAAGGGAUGUGAAGAUGUUAACUUCAUUUUUUUCUUUUUUCUUUUUCUUUCCGAAGGACCCAUUAUCUAUAACGUUAUAUACAAGUUUCUUUCUAAGCUUGUGUGUAUUGUACUUCACAUUUUAUGCUAUUAUAAGCACUUGCCACAACGAGCUCCCCCAACUUUCAAGUUUUUCGAUCAAUUUUCUUCCCUAAAAUACCUUGUGCAUGAAUUUGGUAGCCCGUCAGAAUGGUUAGAGUUGGCAGUGGAAACUCUAGAACCGUGGAAACAGUGUGAAUAAUAUGCAGUGAUGUUGGCCAUGUAUUACACCUUCAUUGUACUCCUAAUACAUUAUUGAAUAUCAAAAUUAUCGACGUGCCCUCAAGGUAUUAGCGUCUUAGUGUCUCAGCGUCUCAUUUCAUGUAAUGUAAAUAAAUCUCAAUCUCAAUAUCUUAAACAUAACCAAUUGUAUAUUUUAAUCAAAAUUUUUGUUUGAAAUGAUUUAAUGUGUCACAUUAAUUUACUGUUAUACUGUUAACAGUAAUUAACGUUCGGUAACUAAAAUGUGCAUGAAUUUGGUAGGCCGUAAGAAUGGUUAGAGUUGACAAUGGAAACAAUAGAACCAUGGAAACUGUUCAAAUAAUAUGCAGUGAAAUUUUUGGUCGCAAAACACGUAAAAUUUUGCUAUUUGAAGAACUUGUUGGCCAUGUACACUACUCUAAGAUGUGGCAAAAUGGUUCGGGAUUGGGUUAUUUUUGGAUUUGGAUCAUUUAGGAUUUGACUAGAACUUGAUUCAAAUUAUUUAAGUUUUAAUUAUAUAUAUUUAAUCAGUUCCUCUUUUAGUUCAAGAUAACUUUGUAUGGAUUGCUAGCUUAAUACAACUUUGUACGGAAUGCAUGAUAAAAGUUGCAUAAAUGAAUGUAUGAAAACGACGAAGAGAAAUAAAUUCAAUGUAUUACUAUAGAGAAAUAAAGGUAUGUUAAUAAUGUAAGAAAUAAUAAAGUGAUAAUUUAGUAGUGAAUUUAGUAAUGUAACAAAAAUAACAUACCAUUAUGAAUAUUGAAUUUAGUAAUGUAACAAAUAAAGGUAUGUUGUAAAAAAAAUACAUACGAUUAUGAAUAUUGAAUUUAGUAGAUAAUAUAUAAAUAAAUGUAUGUCACUAAUGUAAGAAAUAAUAAAGUGAUAACUUAGUGAUCAGUGAAUUUCAUGAAACUAAGGAUUAAAUUAUUAAGAGUGAAAAUUUAUUUAUUUGUCAUAAAUUGAUAAGUGAAUAGAUGUGGUAUAGUAAAAUUACUAUAGAGAGGACUAAAUUGUAAAGUGUAUAAAAGGUGUUAUGUGAAAUUAAUAUUGUGAUUAAAGACUUAAAUUUUAAAGUGUAUAAAAGUUACUAUGUGUGCUAAAAUAGUGAAAUAAAAUAUUUAAGUGAGGCGUUAUAAGAAAGUAAAAUGUUUAAUGAUAGUGAAUUGAAAUCUAAAGUGCUAAGUGUUGUGAAUAUAUGUUAUGCUUGUAUUUUUAUCAAUUGUGAAUAAAGUGAACAUGUGAAAUAAAAAUGUAGUGAAUGUGUUUAUGUGAUUCAAAUUGAAUAAGUAAUAUGAUACAAAGUGAUAUAUGUGUAAUAUAUCAAGUAUGUUAUGUGAAACUGAUAUAUGAAUAAAUAACUUAGUGAACUCAGAGGAAACAUGAUAUAUGAUAAUGAAAUGAUUCGUAGUUGAGAGGGGCUGGGGGUUCGGAUGGGAACCAAGUUAGUGAUACAGGGGUUUGGAGGGGAUUAGAAAAGGAGGAUCAAGUUAUGUGAUGUGUUUGCUAGAGUUCCUGUAUAUUUUUCUAGAUUUCCCGUUAUCAUAGUUCCGUUAUAGACAGAGAGUUUGUCUUUGGCCUAGAUUUUUGCAUUGUAUUGAAAUUAUUGAACUCCUUUGAGAUUCAUUAAGAAUUCAAAAGUGAUAUGUGAAAGUAAAAGUGUAUGUGGAUGUGUAAUAAUAUGUGAAAAUAAAAAUAAAAGUGAACAUGUGAAUUAAGUGUUUAUGUUAUUUUUGUGAAAUGAGAGAAAGUUAUUGAUACGUAAAUGUGAAAGUUAAUUAGUGAUAAUAUAUAUUAAACUAAAAACUAUAAAUUAUAAAGUUAAUUUAAAUGAUUUUAUGUUUUGGAAAUGAAUUAAAGUUUAACUAUAUCAUGGAAAGAAAUUGUGUGAAUAAAUAUUAUUAAAAUUAAUUUUUUAUAUAUAUAAGGUAAGAUUGAAUUCAGUUGAGUACAUACUAAGCUAUUCACGUAGCUUAACGCAUUUUUUUUAGGUGAUGGAUAAAUUUUGAAAAGAAUCGAGGAUUGCUACUUCAAUUUGGCAUGUAUUUAGGUUUAUUAGUAAAAAAAUGUGAAUUGUGUGUGAAUGACAAUGUUUUGUGCUAUAAGUUACCUUGAUUAGAAUGAAACAAGAAUAUGUUUCAGUGGUGAGUUUAGUGUUUAAAUGGUGGGUUUAGUGUCUAAAUGUAGCAUCUCUUAUUCGGAUUAGGUGAGGAGUGUUACAUUGAUGUUGCAACCUAGAGUUCUCUAACCUCAAUGUCGUGACAUCACUUUUGCAUGUCGCGACAUUGCUUGUUCAUCUUAGCCAAGGAGACAACCUCGAUGCACCUCAAAUGUCACAAUAUUCAACCUUCAAUCUCACAACAUGGAGCUCUCUGAUGUCAAAGUUGCGCCAUUGGUCUUGUAAUGUUGCAACAUUGACCCUGGACUUGGGUUGAAGAAACCAAGCGAGAGACUUCCAUCCCUCAAUGUCAUGACUUCGAGCCUUUUGAUUCACAUGUCGUGACAUUGGUCCUGUAAUGUCACCGCAUCGGGUUCAUCACAACCAAAACCAAAAGGAUAACAUGAAGACUUUCUGGGUCAAACUUGUCUUAGUUAAGUUUAAUGAUAGGGACAUUUUUGUAAUUGAAGAAUUAUCAUUACUGUAACAGCCCAAUUUUCAGUAGUGUCAGAACAAUGAUUUGAGAUCACUAAAUCCGAUGAAAAUUUUAAAAAAAUUAUUAAUUAAUAAUUAUAAGUUAAGCGUGAUUUUAGAAAUAUAUUUGAAUUAGUGAAUUUUGUGAUUUAAAAGAAAUUAUUAAGUAAAUUGGGUCGAAAACAAGGUAUCGAGACCUCAAUAUUAUAAACUGAGCCGUAAAUAUUUUUAUAAAUAUUUACGGAGUGUCAUUAGGGUAGUAUUAAAGUUUCAUUAAGAAAUUUUAAUGUUUCGAUGGUUAAUUGAUUAAAAAGGAUAAAAUUGAAAAAAAAUAUAUUCCCGAGACUCCAUUUCGGUAAAUUGGACUCGUAAAUAUUUAUCAUAAAUAUUUACGAAGUUAGUUGUGUAGUUAAUUAGGUUUUAAUUAAGUGAAUUUGUCUAAAUUGAGGUUAAUUAUGAAAAAUGAUUAAAUUGCAAUAGAGAUAAAAGUUUAAUUAUAGAUUAAAGAAAAAUUAAAAGGACCAAAUAGGAAAUUAUGCCUUUUUCUAAAGUUGAGGCAGCAUAAGUAGAUAUUUUAUUUAAAAAUCUAAAGUUCAAAUAUAUUAUAAUAUUAUAAUAAUAUUACAAUAUUACUUAAAAGUUAAGUAUAUAUAUUAUAUAUUAUAUUAUAUUAUAUAAUAAAAGAAACAAUGAAAUAAAAGAUAGAAAAAGAGAAUAGAAACAGAAUACCAAAAUGAAAACAGGGGAGAAAGGAAAGAAAAAAAAAAGGGAAGGAAAGAAAGAAAAUUUAGGAUUUUAAGGUUCAAGGUUUGAUUGGUAAGUCAAUUUAGUCUUUUUUUUUUCCUUGUAAUUUUGAUAUUUUUGGAAUCCUAUAACAAAAUACUACUUGAUUUAAGUUGAAAUUUUGAAAGUUAGUAAAUUUUUAGAUGUUGUUUAUGUUGAAUAAAUUGAAGAAUUAGGGAUUAAAUUGAUUGAAUUUCAAGUUAGAAGUUAGUAAAAGGUUGAUUUGUAAAAUAAAACAUAAGUUUUGAAUUAAUAAGGACUAAAUUGAGAGAAUUUUAAAAUUAGGGAUUUAUGGUGAAAAUGAAGAGUUAAAAUGAGUUUACGGUAAGAAUUAAGAGAGAAUAUGGAGUUAGAUUGGGAAAAUAAAAUUAGUAUUGAUAAGGGAUUAAAUUAGAAUUUAGGUAAAGUUUAGGUAUAAAUAAAAAUAUUUUGAUGAAAUUGUGUAUUAAUGAUUUUUAAUUGUUUAAUUACGUAGCUAAUGUCGUGCAAAAGUCAUUGUCCAAGAAAGGAAAGGAAAAGGUGGACAAGGAGUGAUUCGAGAAAAUUUCGGUUAGUAUUACCAUAAUUCGAAUUUAAUUAUUAAUUGUUAAAAUUUAAAUUAAUAUACAUGAUAAGCAAAUUGAGGUAAGUAUCAUGAUUGAAUUGAAUGAUAAAUACGUAUUGGUAUUGAAUUUAUUAAUAGUAAUUGUUGAAUUUUGAAUAAUAUGUUUAAUAAAUAAAAAUAAGGUGAAUAUCGAUAUUGAAUUAAAUGAUAUUGAAUUGUUUGUGAAUUGAAAUAAUAGAGGUUUUGAAUUGAUUGAAUAUUUGAAAUUGUUGUGGAAAUGAAUUCGAAAUUGGAAAAGUAAAAUAAUACCCUAUUAACUUAUCGAACUAGAUUGGAUACAAAUGGCAUGCCAUAGGAUUUGUGAUGUGAUGAGGAGAUUUGUAGUUCGGCCGAGAAGAUAAUUCUGUUAAUAUAUGCUUCGGUUUAUCCGAAGAGGCAUCUAAUGCCUUAUUGGUGUGUUUGGGAGGAUAUGAUAUACUGGUGUGUUAAGGAGGAUUUAUAUUAUUCCGGGUGUGUUAGGUUGGAUAUUCUGGUGUGUUUGGUUGGAUUCGUGUAUCCGUCAAGGUCCGAGUCUUGUUAAUAGGGGUAAAUAAUUGAAAUGAGAAAUUUUGAAUAAGUGUGAUUGAUUGAGCUAUGGAAAGAAAUGAGAAAGUGAAAUUGUGAAUUGAUAUGUGAAUUGGAAAUCGAGAUAUGAGAUUUGAAUAUAUGAACUCAAAGUUCAUGAUGUGAUUAAGAAUAAAUUUUUGUUAUAUGAUAUUAGUGAGUACAAAUUGCAAUAGAAUUGAUAUUGAAUAUAGUGAUAAAUUGAAUGAAUUGUAUAUGAAUUGAAAUGAACUAUUGGAAUGAGAUGUGAAAAAUCUAAUGGAAUUGAGAUAGUGAAAUAAGGUAUGAAUACAAUUCAAUACAAGAUUUGAAAUAUUGCUUAUUGUUAUUAAUUAUCAAGUUGAUUUAAAGUAUGAGAAAAUUAAUGAAUAAUUGUACACAUAAAUUAAAUGUAUAUAAUUUAUCGAUUAAUAUUAUAAAUUUGAAUUAUGGUAAUACCACUGAGUAUACCCAUACUCAGUAUACGGUUGUUUCUGUGUGCAGGUUAGUAGAAAGCCAGUGUCCGGUCCAGCAUCCAGAGCAAUCCUGACCUCAGAGAAAUUUUAGUGAUGUACCUUUCUUUUGAUAAUGUGACAUGUAUCUAGGUGAUGUAUUGAUUAAAGUAUGCUAUGUAUGUUAUUUAUUUGUGAAUUAGUUAUAAGUUAUCUGAUAUGUCCGAUAAUGCUCCGUAACCUAGUUCUGGCGACGGAUAAGGGUUGGGGGUGUUACAAUUACUUUGUCUAUAAAUACCAUCAUUAAUAAACUAUUUAGGGAGGUUAGAAAGUUAAUAUAGUUUUUAAAUUAGAUUAUUUUUAUAUAAUUGCUAGAACUUUAGGUUAAAUUAGCACAAAGAUCAUUUUCUAGGUUAGUUUUAUUUUUUUACAAAAUGUCUUUCAAAUCUUUGUUUUACUCUUUUCAAUUGACAAUUUUAUCAAUUGGGCAUUCAAUAAUUUCGAAGAUUGAAGUUUUUUCUACCGUGGAAUCAAGAGUUCUUCUACACUAAUCCUAAGCAUUUCUCAACUUUUACAAUUUCAUCCUUACACUUUGUUUUUAUUGUAUGAAAUUAAAUUAUUUAUUUAUUUGCAUUAUUGUAUGAAAGUUCGGUUCGAAUUAUUAGAGUUGUCAUCCUGGGAGUACAAGCAACCCAAACCGUCAAUAGAAGAACCAUCCGAGCUAGACCUAAAGGUUGUGAAAAGGCAUAUGAAGGAUAUCGAGUAGACUAUUUCAAAUAGUCGAGGUAAUUAUCCUUCUUCGUACACUUACAAGUUAUUGCUAGGAGUAACUGAAAAGGUGUCUAUCAAGGGCUAGAGGAGCUUGAUUCAAUAUCGAAUAUUUGGUUUCAGGAAACUCAAGUCUUAAUGUUUAAAAGAGAGGAUCAUUUAUCCCAUCUAUGAUAAUUUUUGGAUGGACCCUGUUCAAUAUGCACUGAAGGAAGGAGGUAUCAUGAUUGUGGAAAAUGAAAAUGGCGAGUUGAUUCCAACAAGGAUGGUUACUUGUUGGUGAAUCUUUGCAGACUACAAGAAGCUAAACAAGGCUACCAAGAAAGAUAAUUUCUUGUUUCUUUUCCUGGAUCAAAUACUUAACAAAAUCGCUGGGAAAGAUUUUCCUUCUUUUUAGAUGGGUAUGAUUGGUAUGACAAAUGACCAUUUGACACCUCCUUGGUUAAAGACGAUCCCUAAUAACAUUAAGGGAGUUCUCUUUCUUUGUCAUUAUUUUAUAUUGUUAGUUUUGUUUUUUUUAUUUGAAUAAAAUGGCAGACUUGGAUAAAAUUCUCAUUGGAUUAUUAUGUUAAAAUAAAUUAUGUCUAAGAGACUGGAAUUUAAGUGGGACUGAUUGUUACCCCUCUAACCGUUCUUGGGAAUUGAUUUUAACAUAAUGUUCCAAAAAAAUAUUUUCUAAGUGGAAAAAUAAAUUUUAAUUUGUUGAAUAAAAGGGUCAAUUUUGAUCCAAGUUUCAGUUUUCUGCUUUAUUUUCAAAUUAUUUUCUAGUACAAGUAUUUAAUUUAAUUGCUUUCAAUAAAUAGUUGUGUUUUCAGUAAAUAUUUUAAACUAAAAUAUUUUUUAAAAAUUUUAUUUUUAAUAAAUAAGAUAAUAAAAAUUAAUAUAUUAAUUGUUAUUAACUUUGUAUAUCAUUAAGAGUAGUAAUAUUUUAAUAAUAGUCUAUGUAAUAGCUCAUUUUUCAGUGGUGUCGGAAACAGUAGUUUCGGAGCCACCAAAUCUGACGAGUAAGUUCGUAAAUAUUAUUAUUUAAUAUUUAUGAGUCAAAUGUGAUUUUUAAAAAGGUUUUGAUUUGAUAAUUUAUGUUAUAUAAGUAAUUUAUUAAGUUCAAGUUGUUUUAGAAAAUAAGGUAUCGAGACCUUGUUUUUAUAAACUGAGCCGUAAAUAUUUUUAUAAAUAUUUACAGAGUGUCAUUAAGGUGGUAUUAAAGUUUCGUUAAGAAAUUUUAACGUUUCAAUGGUUAAUUAAUUAAAAAGGAUCAAAUUAAAAAAAGUGCAUUCCUAGGACUCCGUUCCCGUAAAUCAGACUCAUAAAUAUUUUUAAUAAAUAUUUACGAAUCUAUUUGUGUAGUUAAUUAGUUUCUAUUAAGUGAAUUUACUUGAAUUAAAAGUAAUUAGGUAUAACGACUAAAUUGCAUAUAGGGUGAAAGUUGAAUUCUAGAUUAAGGAAAAAGUAAAAGGACUAAAGAAGCAAUUAUACAAUUGCUUAUAAAUGAGGUGGUAUAAGUUUUUUUAAAAAAAUUUAAAUUUAAAAUAUAUAUUAUAAUAUUAUAAUAUUAUAUCUUAAUGUUUAAGUAUAUAUAUUAUAUAUAUUAUAUUAUAUAAUAAUAAAACAAAGAAAUAAAAGAAAAAGAAAUAGAGAAAGAAACAAAGAAGCAAAAGCGAAGCAGGAGAAAAAGAAGGAAAGGAGAAAACUAGGGUCUCAAAGUUCCAUGUUCAAUUGGUUAGUCAAUUUAGUCCCUUUUUCUUUUAAAUUUUAUGUUUUUGGAAUUUGAUAUUAAAUACUACCCGACACAUGUCAAAAUUUUAGCAAUUAUUGAGUUUUUAGAUGUUGUUAAUGUUGAAUAAUUUUAGUAUUAGGGAUUAAAUUGAUAGAUUUUUAAUUUAGAAGUGAAAAAUGAUUGAAUUGUAGAAUAAAUUAUAAAAUUUGAGUAAUAAGGACUAAAUUAUGAAAAAUUCAAAAUUUAGGGAUUUAAGUGAAAUUAGAGAGUUAAAUCUAGUUUAAAGUGGAAAUUUAAUGAAAAUAUUGAAUUGAUUGUGAAGAAAUAAAAUUAGUCUCGGUUUAAGGACUAAAUUGGAAUUUAGACAAAUGUUGAGUAAAAAUUGAAAUAUGCAAUAUGAAAUUGAAUUAUAUUGUAUUGAUGAAUUAUAAUUGUUUUAAUUCUGUAGCUAACGUCAUACCGGAAUCCUCGACUAAAAAGGGGAAAGAUAAAGUCGACGAGGAAUAGCUCGAAAUUUUUGGUUUAUAUUUCUAUAAUCCGAAUUUAGUUGUUAAUUGUUAUAAUUCAAUUUAAUGUAUAUGGUAAAUGUUGAGGUGAGAACUAUUGUGUUUUGCAUUUGAAAUGGAUUGAUUUAGUAUGUGAUGAAUUUAUUGAAUUUAUAUUGAUUGAAUUGGUAUAUAUAUUGAAUAUAUUGAUUAUUUGAAUUGAAAUGAUUAUUGGUUGUAUUUGAAAAGUGAAUUGAAACCCUAUUAAUUGUAUCGAGUUGAGUCGAAUAUAGAUGGCAUGCCAUAGGAUUGGAAGAGUUCAGGAAUUUCUUCGACUUCGAGUCAAUGAGACACUGGGUGUCAAUUUACUACUUCGGAUUAAUUCGAUGGGGCACUGGGUCCCAAUUUACUUAGGUUUAACCGAUGAGACACUGGGUGUCAAAUUAUUACUUCGAAUUAUCCGAUGAGGCACUGGGUGUCAAACUGGUGUGUUUUGGUUGGAUCCGUGUAUCCGUUCGAGUCCGAGUCGUGUUAAUAGGGGUAAAUGAAUAAUAAAGUUUUAUAAUUGAUAUUGAAAUGAUAUGGUAUGAGAAAUGGAAGUGAAAUAGUGAAUUGAAAUAGAAUGUGGAAUAUGUUGCAAAUAUAUGGAAUAUAUGAGUUACAUACUCAUGAAAUGACUAUGGAAUGUAUAUUGCAAUUGUAUAAUGAAAUAUGAAAUAUACUCAUGAAAUGACUAUGAGUUUAUACUUAGUGUACGGUUUUGUUUCCCAUGCGCAGAUUAGGUACUUAACUUUUGAUCGCUGAUUCAGCAUCCAACAAUGAUCCCGAACUCAAAUGUGGUGAUGUUUAUCCUUUGUGUCGGCAUGUACCUAGGGUGUCUAAAUAAUAGUUAUUUUGUGGUUUGAUUGUAAAUGAGUUUAUAAGUUUAAUUUUGGUUGGUUUUAUACAUAUAAAUAUGUGUUUGUUUUUGAAGCCAUAUUAUGGCAUGAUAAAUUGAACUAAAUUUAGAUAGGUGCAUGUGAAUUUAAUUCUAUGUUUAAGUGCUCAUGAACUAGGCAAACUGAUUUGGAUUUGGUAUGUUUAUAAUUUGGAUUAAAAUGAUGCUUUGAUGACUUGUUUUGAUAAUAUGAAAUGUUUGAAAUUUCUGUCUGUUUGAUUUGUAAACUCUGAUAAUGCUCCGUAACCCAGUUCCGACGAGGGAUAUGGGUUGGGGUUGUUACAGUUUAAGCUUAUUUUUAUUAGAGUUUGUGUUAACUUUUACCUUACAAUUACUUUAAAUACCACCACCUUCGCUCUCUAUUCACAUCACCUACCAACCAAGGGCCUCACCGUUUUUCCCUUUCCAUUGCCACAUAUCACCUACCCUAACCCCCCAACCAUCGACACCCAUACCUACUAGCAGCAACAGCCGCACGCCCUAGCUGUUAACACCUUGCAUCGCACCUCUUUUGUUGCAGCAUUAUCGAACCCUACAAGCCACCAUUCGGCCAUCCGCUAUAAGCUACCAAGCCAUCUCACCUUCUAUAUCCACCGCCCAAAUUGCCGUUAGCCAUCUAACCAACCCUUACCCAACACCAAUUGCUUCACCCUCACAUUAUUUUCUAAAGUUCUUAUUACGUUAAUUACAAAUGUGGUAAGAAAUUUCUUUCCAAAAUUUUAAUUUGAUUUGAUUAUUUAAAUUUUCAAUUUUAUAUGAAUUGAUUAUAUUUUAUUCUAAUUAAAAUUUGGGAAAUUAUUAUUAUUUUCCAUCUUAUGUGAUGUUCAAGUUGAACCAUGCCUCCUAAAAGAACUCGUGCCUCUGUUUAGGACGAAAAAUCACAAAACAAAUUCCAUUGCGAAGAAGCUAAGAUGAGAUAUGAGAGCAUCUUUAAGAAAAAAAUAAAUGCUUCCGGAGAAAGGUUUUACUUUGGGGAAAAGUAACUACACUAAUUUCAUGGCAAACAUUCAAAAAUUUGCUGAGGCUUUAAAAUGGGAAGUGUUGUGUGACAAAAGGCCAAAUUCAAGCGAUGAGUUAGUUCUGAAAUUUUAUGCGAAUUUGACCUUAGGUGCUUUAACAAAAUUUUCCAUCUAAGGAAUUAAGGUACCUCUAAACCCGAGUUCCAUUAAUGAAUUUUAUGAUCUACGUGAUUUCGAAGAUGAUGAAUAUUCUUCCUUAAUGGAAAAUAUUGAGGUGGAGAAAUUGUAAUAAAUCUUAUAAGAACUCACAGUUCCGGGUUCUAAAUGGACUGCCGAAACACGAGACUCAUACUUGUCACAAAGAAUACUUGACCCUAUUAGCGAAUGUAUGGUUUUAUUUUUUCAAAUUCAAUAUUAUGCCUACCGCACAUGGGACUACAAUUUCAAUAGAACGAAUGGUUUAACUAUACUCAAUUAUGACAGCAAAGACAAUUAAUGUAGGAAAUAUCAUUCUUAAAGAAAUUUGAAAUUGUGUCGUAAGACGUUUGGGUACAACCUAUUUCCCUUUUACAAUAACAAUUUUAUGUUUGAAGGAUAGUAUUCAUGCAAACGUAAAAAAGACAGGAUAAAAUCUAGGUACAAUUGCUGAUUGGGACCUUAUUUGAGUAGCAUGAAAUUCUAUUCUUCAAAAGCAAGCAAAGUCGAUCGAUGACAUCGAAGAAUAUGAAAUUCCUAUAGAAUCAGAAACAGUGCAGCCAGUUGAAAUUCCUGACUUGGCAAAGCCAACUAAACCAGUCUUCGAACCUGACAUGACUACCCCCAACGUUUAAAACUCAUUCUCCUCACCUAGAUCUUCGAGAUGAGCUAUCAAAAUUGUUGGAUUUAAUGCAACAUAUGUAGUGGCAAUAAGAAGCUUAUUGUAGAUACUCAAAAAUACAAGAUGACUCAAUUAGAGAUGCUUUUAAGAAAAUAUUUCACAACCCAUUUGCUUUUAUUCCUGAAUUUCUAGAUUUUAUAUUUGAUCCAUGGAUUUCGAUGUUGAGGAAGGAGCGAGGUGAUUUAAGAAAAAAUAAGGACAAUGAAGCAAAAAAUGGGUAGAAUUUUGGAGGGUCUACAAAUAAAUAAAAAAAGGGGGAUCUUGUCUUUACUUUAUUUUUCUUUCUUAGGAUAUUUUAAGUUUUUAUUUUUAGAUUUCUUAGGAUAUUUCUAUUUCUUGCAUAAUAAAAUAAGAUUCUCAAAUCAUUAAUAAAAUUGAAAAUUUUGAAGAAUAAGAAGUGUAGCAAUAGAUAUGUACAUAUUUAGGAUUGGAUCUUUCUAGGAGAAGCUUGGCAUUUAAGCAGUCAACUUGACUCACCUCCUUUUCUUGAGAUCCUACCUGGUGUACAGUAUCUAUUCACUUAUGUAUUUUCGAUCCAUAUUGUUUUUAACAAUGGGGGCAUUGUUCAUCUUAAGUAGGGGGACCACAAAUUGAAAUUAUUUUUUUCAAAAUUCAUUUUUCAUAUCCAAUUAUGAUCAAGUUAUAUUUUACUCAAAAUUUUGAAUAAAGUUACAUUAUCUCAAUAAUUAUUAUGAUUAGCUGAAUUAUGACAUAAAUGCUAUUUUUAAUAAAGUAUGUAAAUCAAACCAUGAAAUUUUUAAAUCCUUAGAAUAGCUAAGCAUGCAUGAAAGUUUAAGUCUCUAGAAUUGACUUAGUAAUUUCUUGAGGCGCAAUCCUAGGAAGCAUGGAAUUUUGAAAUUGAUUUAGGCAAACUUUUAUUUGGACCGUUUGAGCCUUUGAAGCCAACCUUAAUGAAUAACUAUCCUUUGAAACCCAACUUUGAGACUAUAUGGCCUAAUUUUAUUCAAACCUUGCAAUAGUAAGUCAUCCCUUCUCUCAUAAUUAUCUCUAAAAUGUCCUAAACACUAGACUCAGUCUAUCCAAAAUAUUCUCUAAAAAUAAGUUUGGGGGAGUUGAGAAGAAGUAUUAAUACUCAAAAAAAUUGUAGUACAUGCAAUAAUAUGGUCGAGUGUGUUAAAAAAGAGAGCAUAUGUACUCGAAAAAAACAGAUGUACAAAGAGCAUGUGUACUCAAAUGUAAAAUUAGUUGGUAAAUUUUAAGGUAUUUAUUCCGAAGGUCCAAAGCAAGUCGAGUCUAGGUUUUUUAGCUUCAAAAUUAUCUAUCUUUUACCUACCCCUAGCCAAGCCAUGUUACAACCUACUCAAAAGACCUAUUGAUUCAGAUUUCUGUGCUGACUACAUUAGUGGAGAGAAAUUGUUAAACUCAACUUAUGAAGGCAUAAUUAAACUUAGGGAUGCAGUUUAGUAUUGAAUGAGCAAAUACAAGUUAAUUGGUAAGAAUUUAGCAUAUCUUUAUUGAGAAUACAUUUAGUCUAUUCUUGCUAUCAUGAUAAUAAAAAAGAAUAAUUCAAACAAUGUGUAUACUUUAGUUGCAUAAUUUCAAAAUUCUUAUUCUUGAGCAUAAUUACACUAAACUCAUAAUUGUGGGAAAUGAUUUUUGGAGAAAUUUUUCGAAGGUGAUUUUCUUAAAUUUCUUUUUCAAUUUUUGCAUUACUUAGGACGAGUAAUCAAUUAACUUUGGGGUGUGAAAAUACUAAAAUACAUAGACUUUUUAGCACCUUUUGAGCACUAAUUCAUGCAAUUUCUAAUAAUUUCUGCCGAAUCUUAUAUUUUUAUUAUAAAAUAAUUAAAUUGAGCUUAAUUUAUAAAAAAAAUUGAAUCUUAGUUAUUUUUAUAAUAAUUUUUCAUAAUUUGGGUUAUUUUUAACAAUUUUGCACAAAAGGUGAAAAAUCAGCUCAGCAGUCACCUUGAAAGAAUUAAUUGACGAGGCACAUUGGGAGCUCAAGAUGAUGAAUUAACAACCAUGGAGGACUUAAAUUUAUGCUCUUGUCACAAAUUAGAUGACCUAGUUAAUUUUUUAUUGAAGAAAAAUGGGCAGCUUGAAGUAGAGAAAAGGACCUGAAUUGAGCAAAUAAAGGAGGAUGAACAAGCCCAAGAGAGCAACCCAAACCUGCCUAUCUAGCUGAGCCAAUCAGCUAAUUUUGGCUGAUUUUAACACUUACAAAUCAGCCCUUUAACUCUUCCUAAAUGUCGUUCAAACCCCUCAUCUUUUUGUGCAUUUCUUUUCUAGCCACAAGCUAAAAAUAGCAAAAUCAAUUCAACAUCUUCUUCCACCUAGCAUGGCCAGCCAUAAAGAGGGGGAUUUGGUGUUAUUUUUAGCUAAUGCAUGCUACCAUCUCCCACUAUAAAUACCUCUCACCACCUCUUUAUUUUUCAUCAACUUAUUCAUCCAUACAGCUUUUCAUUCAAUUCCCUCUUUCACUUUCUUUACCUUUCGAAUUUUCUUUCUUCCCUUGCCAAUUUACCCUUUUGAAAAAUAGCUAGCACGCCCCUUGGAGCAGCAACAAUCAAGUAUUCAUGAAGGCUUUGGAUCGAUGGAACAAGUAGAGAAGAAGAGAAGCACACUAGACUGGCUUCAGAACAAUUCCGAGAUUUGUUUUUUAGUUCCCUUCUAUUAAUCUAUUUUUUUAGUUUAUGUUGUGAUCAUGAAUAUGAAUACUUGUUGGGUUGAUGUUCUUAAAUUAUUUAAAUUGACUUAAAUUUCAUUCGUUUUAGAUUAAUUUCAUCUUGUCCACUUAAUUUGUUAAAAUCAUGUUUGUGUUGUUAUAAGCCUUGGUAGUUUGUUCAAUUAACUAAAAUCAUGACUAUGUAUACUUGCAUUUUAAUUGUAAGGUAAAAAAAAAUAAUAAUUAUUAAUCGGAUUGAAAUUAUAAUUAACCGACACAAUAUCUAAUUGGUGUAUGUUUAAUCUUUAAGGUAGUUGAGGGUUAAAUUAACGAUGGUAUUAAACAAUACUUUAGCCUUGCAUAACUUGUAAGAUUAUUUUUAUUAAAUUGUUUCAAUAUAGGAAUAUAUUAUUACCUCACUUUAUCUUAUACUUGUUUAUGAAAAUUGAUUAAUUGUUUGAAUUAACAUAGAAACAUGUUUAAGAGAUUAAUUGAUUUAGUAAGUAUGUAUGUGCAUUAGUUAACAAAAGACCAAGUUUCCAUGAAAUUAUUCAUAACAACAUGAACAUAGUUUUGAUAAAUCUAAGUUCAAGAAUAAAAUUGAUCUAACACAUUUAUGUCAUAUUGAUUAAAACCAUUUUUAGAAGUUGUUCAUUUGGAAUUUUAUUUUCUUAGUUAAACACUUAGUUCAUUUUUAGUUUUCAUAUCACCUUUUUCAAAUCAAAAUCUUUUUCCUCACCAAAUUAUUUAAUUUUACAUUUAAUAAAUAAUCGCUUGCACAGUCCCUAUGGAUAUGAUAACUCGACAUACUUGUCACUUUAUUACUUGUUACAAUUGUGUUCACUUGCACAUUUCCAACGUUCCAGUAUGACACUUGUUCAAUUUCCUUAAGAAGGAUGAGUCAUAUUUAUAUGUGAGUGUGUGUUCUGAAAUGGGGUUCUUCCUUCUUCUUUCUUUUCUUUAGGUGGUAUAUACUAAAACCUUUCUUAAAUCUGAAUGUAUCCUACCUCGAUGAUCUAAAAGCUAAGGUUCUUUUAUGACCAGUAGUUACUUCCCAUCAAGGUAAGUAUUUUAGCUCUGCAUGUUAAGUAUUGAAUGAGUAAAUCUGUAUAUGGUAAUUGAACAACGAGAUUGUAAGUAUAAGGUUUCUGCAUGGGAAUGACAUCGAUUGAAAUGAUAAGUACUUUUUAUGUACAAUAAUAUUAAUGGUGAAAUUAUGUUUCUAAGAAACGGUUGCUGCUGGUUCGUGAUGGAUAUAUGGAUCUGGAGCUUUUAACUGCAUUAAGUAAGAUUCAGGUAAGUUCCAUACUGACUCCUGCAUUUAUAUUGUUCAUAUUGUGAUUCAUCUAUAGAAAAUCGAUUGAACUAUAGAUCUGAAGUCAUGAAGAUUAUAGUAUGUGAUGAUUGGGAACGAGUAUUGAAACAUUGAAUUAUGGCUAAGUAUGCAUAUGUUUGAAAUGUAUACUAUGAGACACGUGUUCUGUUUGGGUGUAUAGUUGAAAUUAGAUUGUGUCAAUGCAUGAAAAUUCUGUCAAGAGAGUUUGUGUCUGUUCACUGAGGUGGUGUCUAAUGGAGUUUGUCGGGCACUGAAAGAAAGAGAAGUGACAAAACCAUUCCAUGAGAUACGAACCUUUGUUAAAGUCAGAGGAGUUAAUGUCCUAGUAACUGAAAGAAGUAUUUGUCAGUUUUAUGAUACUCCAUAUCUUUAUCAUGAUUACUUGUACGAAAUAGAUCUCAAGGAAUUCAAGAAUGUAGACAUAAAAGAGACUUUGAUAUUCUUAAUAGAAGGAAAAUAAGUGUGGACAUAUAAAAUGGCAACAAAAAUACCUGAAACAUUCAAUCAAGCAUUGAUGACCCUAAAAGAAAAAAUAUGGAUGAAAUUUGUAUGUUCAAGGAUCUGGCCUACAGCUGAUCUUUUAGAUAUUAACCCGAUCCAAGCUAUCUUAGUUUACGCCAUCAUGCAAAAGAAGCAAGUAUGCAUUGAUACAUGGAUAUAUCAAAAUAUGAUCGAAUUUGCACGAAAUAAAAAAAAAGGAACAUUCUUUCCGCAUCUGAUUACAGGGUUAUGUAAAAGAGUAGGAGUGCCUAUGGAGCAGCUGGAUAAAGAGAUGAAUCCUCCAAAGAAGUUGCUAGGAGAUAAUGUUUAUAAAUGGUACAUGAUUUUAUAGAGGAAACAAAAGGAGGAGAGGAGGACUCCAAGAGGAAGAUGAAUAAUGCAUAAAAAUAUAUAUUUUUAGUAUAUUUAUUUAGGUUAAAAUUCUAUUAAGAAAUUAAGUUCAUUGUUAGGAUAUUGUAAUUAGUAAUGUUUAAUAAACUAUUAGAAUUCAAUUGACAUAUUUAUUAGUUUUUGUACAAACUCCUUACAUAGUAGAAACACAAACAAUAUGAAUUUUCAGUAAUCAACAGAGGAAGCACUCAAAAAAUUACCAACGAAACUAUUACAAUCAAUCGAGUAACUUCUUUCCUUUAUUCUUAUGACCAUACAUUGAGAACAAUGUAUUUUCUAAAGUGUAAGGGGGUAACAUAGAAUUUUUUGUUUAGUUUUUACGCUUUUCUUUGAUUUUCCUUGUCAAUCAUGUGCUUGAACUUGCAGAAAAACAAGUGAUUGGUUAGGAGCAUGUACAUAGGUUGAUUGUAUUUACAAUAAAUUUGGCAUGAGGAUAGGUGAUUUUAAAUUUUUUAUUAUUAGACUGUUAAGUUUUAUAUAUUACACUAUAAAUAGGCAUUAAGCAAUUGUAAACUUGAAAUUAUAUGGGGUUUUUCUAUAUAUUUUUACUACCUUUUUACUUAAUAAAUAUGUUUAUCUUGAGUAAUUGUUAUUAAAAUAAGUUAAUUUUACUUAAAUUAGUAAUAUUGGGCAUGAAUUUAUUAAGUAUGUGAAAUUGUGCUUAAUUACAUUAUUUUUGUACAUAUUUAAUAUUAUUUCAUGUUAAUUUGUUAAUAUGUAAUUUUUCACUAUGUAGAAGGAUCAUUGAAGAUGUGAUUAAUGUGAUUGAAACAUGGACAUGCACAAAUAAAUUCAUGUGGAUGGCAAGACCAUGCAAUUUAGGUCAUGAGGUUGAUAAUUUGACCUAGUAAAAGAGGUGCUAAAAGAUGGACAUGUCUACUAAGUUAUUGGACUAAGAAACUGUCCAACAAGGGGGAACUGAAGCUUAGUUUCGAAAAAAGUAGAUGGCAGCCCAAAAGCAAGCUUUGGGGUAUUUAAUUGAAGGUCCUUAUAGUUGGAAAAUAAUCAAUAAUCAUCCCAACUACUUUACUGUUGAAACCGUCCACCCUAUGGCUAUUAAUAGUCUUGGUCUGAAUUCAAAUUGAGGAGACUUAGUCAUCCCCUUCUCCUUGAAAUAUGGUCGGUCAUGUGUGGUAGAAAAAGUGUUAGAGUAUGCCCAAAGAUCAAUCAUGAGAUGGUUGUAAUAACAUACUUGAUUUAUCAUGUUUAUUAAUAUAAGGCGCUACCAUUAUUAUUUCAGUUUCUUUUCUGUGUGUAUAAAUAAACUAUUUUAUAAUAAUGUCUUGAGAGUAAUAUGAUUAUUCUUAAAAGGUCCUUAGUCAAGUAUUAUUGUUGGAUAGGACAACAAUAAUGCAUUAAGACUUACAUGUAGUUGAUUGAUGAUAAAGAGUUGUCAUUGAUAUGGAAUGUCAAAAUCGAUGCAUGAAUAUGUGUGUUAGAGAACAACAUAUUGGAAUGACCCGUUAUGAGUAUGUUUCUUGGAUUAUUAUGUAAUUGUCACAACAUUACUCAUAGUGAUUAAUAUGUAUAUGAUCCUCAAACUUGAGAUCACCAUAAUCCCAACAUCAUGAGUUGUAUAUUUUGAUACAGUCAAACGUACACCGUAACUGGUUGUUCUAUAAAGGCUGAUGUUGGAUAUACCACGAUCUAUGUAGAGGGAUAUGGUUGAUCGAUAUAGGAUAAGUCUCUCCUACAUAAUGGGAGUAAUAUCUUAGGCCACUUGAUUGAGUGAGACUAGAAAUGCAUGGCCAUGCUCAAAUAAGCUAAUAUGAGAUGUCAUACUUAUUUGUAUAUCAUAGUCUACUUAAGAUAUCAAGGAACAUGGAAUGGACUAUGCAAGUGUGACUAUUCCAUGACUUGUGUCCAAUCUAGAGAUAAAGGACUUAAGGAUUAUUGCAUGAAAGGUUAAUCAUAAAAAGGUUAUGUCGAAUCAUGAUUUCUUGUGACUUAGGUAGCAAUGAUGCAUUGCUAGGUGCCACUCAUUGUUUGUAACAUUAGAAUCGUUCUAGUAUUACUGCUAACGUUACAAGAACCUACAGGGUCACACCCUAUAGUUGAAAUGAACGGAAUAAAACAUAGUUGGUAUUGUGUUUGGUUUUCACUUGAAUUAAAUUAAUUAUAGAAUUAAUUUAAUUGGAUAAUCAAAUAUCGAACACAUUAUGUUCAAGGCUGUUGUACGCAUAAUGAGAACAUAAAUUUGGUUAGUAUAUAAAUUCAAAUAAAUAUAUAGUUUACCGAAAUCAUUAUUAUAAUUAAUGUAAUUAUAAUUUUCGGUUUAAAACAUAGUUAUAUUUAUUUAAUUUCUAGAAACCCUAAAAUAGAUAUAAAAAUCUCGUUUUUUCUUUACUUGGUGUCUAGCAGCCGUCAAAGUAAAAUUUUUUUCCAAAACAGUUUUAGGGAUUCCUUCCGUUCAUUGUCAACUGGGUGGAUUACGUAGAGGCCGGAGUCACGAUAGAUUGAGGCUUGGUUCCAUAGUAGAUCAGAUUACUCGUUGCUGAGGCGUUGCUGUCUACUCAGAAUAAAGAUUCGGUAAUUUCGAAACCUUUAUUUCACCCCGAUUCGUUCCUCACACAUGGAUCCAUGGUUAGGAUCGCCGAAUAUUUUAAUUUUCCGCUGCGCCGUAGGGGUGCCGACGUUCCAACAAAAAGAAGGAAUUUUGAAUCUAUUUUUAGCUAACUCUACCCUUUACCUUCACUUAUAAAUACCAUGCACCAAUCCCUUCAUCCAUCAUCCCUCAAAACUUAUUUCUCUUCUCUCAUUAUCAUUUUCUAUAGAUUCCAUUUCCCUUUCCCUUCCCUUGCAUAUUCACCCAUCCCCUUUCUAUCUUUUAGCCACAAAAGCUUUGUCAAAAGCAUUCUUUGGCCGACCUCCUUAGGAACUCCUUAGCAAAAGAAGCAUCAAGUAGAACAGAGGAGCACAUUAGUUAGAAUAGAUCCGAAAGGCUGCUGAACUGAAUAGAGUUUACUCUUUCCUCUUAUUAUUUAUUUUAAUCAUGUUUUCUUUGAGUUUAUUGUUUUUGACAUCAACGAUAAUAUUUUAAAUUCUAUUUGCUAGGAUGAUUAUGUUAAUUCAAUAAGAUUUAUUUUAUUCAUGUUUAACAUGUUUAGGCCUCAGUCAAUCAUGUUUUCAAUUAAUAUCAUGAUGCAUUUCAUUCAUACAUGAUUGGGUGAACUCAAAUUAGUUGAGCGAUCCUAACUAGGGCUAGUAGAUGCAUAAUUGAAAAGUGCAAUGCUCAAUUUAGAUCCUUAAACACGACUAAGUUGAGGUUAGUAAUAUCUUUAGUUAUCUCUAUUGUCUUGCAUAGUUUUUAGGUUUAUGUAAUUAAACUGUUGCAAACGUAAAUGUCCCUAUGACAUUACAUAAAUGCUAAAAAAACCCUUAGUCUAAUAUGACAAGUAAAAUGCAUAUUUCACUAAGUAAAAGAUCCGAGAGGACUUAAUUUGGUUUCCAAACUCAUGAAAGAUCGAGUUCCCAUGGAAGUAUUUUUGAACAUUGCUAAGCAUGAUAAAGUAAAUUGAAUUGAUUAAUAUAAUUAUCCUAGCCCAUUUAAUGUUGACUAUUUUUGUUGCUAAAGUCAUUAAUUCAUACAUUUAGGUAAAUUGCAUCUAAAUUAGAAUUGCAUAGGGAUCAAUCUUUGCAUCUAAUUAAUUUUACUUAAUUUAAUCAUCACAAUCCAAAUUAUUGAGUUUUUACAUCAAAUUGUGAAUUUAUAAUUUUCCAAUUAAUUGAUUAAGUUUAUACAGUCUCUGUGGAGACGAUAACUCAUUUCACUUGCUUAUUACUUGAACAAUUGUGUACACUUGUGCAUAUUUCUCGUUACAAUAAUCAAAUGUACCAAAUGAUAUAAAGAAUACAAGGAAACGAGUAUGUUAGUAUGAAUGAUAAAUUAUUGUAUUUAUGAUUAUUUGGUUGACUAAAUUUGUGAAUAUUGAGAUACUUAGAGAUAACCUAAAGCAUUAUUUGGCAUACACCCAAAGCCAAAAAGCUAACUCUAUUUAUUCAUUUUUAGUGCCUAUUUUGAGCCAGAACCCCUUUUUGAUGAACCUUUAUACAAAACCCGAGAUAAAAAUGAUAACUUGUGCUUACCAUUUUCUUUGGUCCUGAACUGCAUGAUUAUAGACGUCCGGUGUAACAUCCCAAAUUUUAGGCCUAAAAGAAAUAGGUUUUGAACAAGGCAAACAUUUGGUUAGGUGUUCUGUUAAACAUUAAUAAAGAGGUUACCAAACUUAAGAAACGAGUUUUAUCAACAAGUCUAAAUUUUUGGAAGACACUUCGAUGUGACACGCCAGAUUCGACCAUAACUCCUAGGCCGGGUUUGGGGUGUUACAUUUAGUGGUAUCAGAGUCAGGUUGCAAAACUCGGCUGUUGAAUGGGUUUUGAAAAUAUUUGAAAUUUCUGGAAAACUAUUUUUGAAGUGUUUUGGAAGGUUUACAAGUGUGGCACAUCGAGUCUCUAGCGUCGAAUCCAUAAUUUUUCUUUAUACUAUAGACUGCUUGAACUGAAAUACACUAAGAGACUACUAUAGAUAGUAGGACUAUACUGAAACUCAUUAGUUAGAGUAAACUGAGACUGUAGGAAGCUAGAAACUGUACGGAGACCUUGAUUUGCGAAAACAAAACUCUGAUUACUGCUUUUCAUAAGACAUCUGUUAAUAAUUACUGGAAUUACAAACUGAUGCAUAAAACUUCGUAAACAAAUAAUACGUUAUUUGAUAUGAGCACUAGAGGUACACACGGACGAGGUACAAGAGACCAUGGUAAAGGUCGUAGAGGUGCUCGAGUUGGGUCCUCGUCGUAUGGCCAUACACCUAAUUUGGAACUAGAGUGUGCAGCGGAAGCGUAGUGGUGGAGUCUGUGUUAUGCGACUGAUCUGAUAAUUGGAAAUUUCGAGGACGAAAUUUAUUUAAGGAGGGGAGAAUAGUAACACCCUGAAUUUUGGGCCUAAUAGGUUUUGAACAAGGCAAACAUUUGGUUAGGUGUUCUGUUAAACAUUAAUAAAGAGGUUACCAAACUUAAGAAACGAGUUUUAUCAACAAGUCUAAAUUUUCGAAAGACACUUCGAUGUGACAUGUAAUACCCCGAAAAUUACUACAGUAAGAAAGUAAGACAAUAUCCUUGAUAUAGUAAAAUAAGGAAAUAAAGUGAUAAAAAGGGUAAUAUUGAGUUAUGUCAACAUUGGGAAGUAUAUUAAGACAUAUUAAUUCAAGAAAUAAUUAAAUUGCAAAAGUGAGAAAGUUUUGUUGCCCAAUAGUAAAUACUCAAAAUUUGAGGGGUUAAAGUGUAAAUACAAAAAAGUUGAAGGACCAAUAGUGUAAAUAUUUAAGGGUGGAAUAAUUUAGAAACUAAGGAAAAUGGAUGAAUUAGGACCAAAUUGAAAAGGUGAAGAAUUUUGAGGGACUAAAUUGCAAUUUUACCAAAUUUAGUGAUGACUCAAGAAUGGAAUUUCAAAAGAUUAUAAAGGGCAAAAUGGUCAAAUAGAGGGAGAGAAUUCUAGAAGGUAAUGAUGAUGUUUGUGAUAUUUUUAAUUAAUUAAUUAAUUAAAUGUUAUUUAAUUAAACAUUUAAUUAAUAUUUAAUUAAGAUUUUUAGUAUUAUUUUAUUAUUAAAUGAUUAAUAUAAAAGGGAGGAAAGAUGAUGACAGAUCAUCAUCUUUCCAUGCAACCAACAGUAGAAGAGAAGAGAAGAAAGAAAGUUUUCCUUUCUUUACAAUUUGGUCCUUUCACCAAAAAUUCACUAUUUCCACUUAGAAAUCAAAAGAAUUUCCAUAGCUUCCAAGAAAGAAAAAUAAUAAGGAGAAAUUGGGGAGCUAGAAUGUCAUGUUAGGUUCAAGAAAUAGAGGCUGGAGGAGAGAGAAAAUCAAGUUAAAGAUUGAAAUCAAUAGCAUAAGGUAAGAACAUCAAGAUUUCAAUAUAUUUUUAAGUUUGUUAUUGCUGAAAAAGUAUGGAAAUGAUGUUAUAGUAGAGUUUUAUUAUAUAAGGUCUUACGUUCUUGAUAUAUUAGUGAAGAGAAAUAAGUGAAAGUGAUGGGAAAUAUUAUAGAGAAGGGGAAUAAGGGAGUUAUACACCUAGUAAUCAACAUUUUGCACUAAAACAGUUUUGGACAACAGUAGUAGGUUAACUUCGAAAAAUCACCAUAAAUUGUAAAAACAAAAUUAGAGUAUUAAUAAAAUGUGAAAAUAAAUAUUAUUUAGCCUAGUUUCUCAUAGAAGAAACGGUGUAAGUAAUGGAAUUGUAAAUCAUGAGAUAUAAUAAAUUUUGUGAGACAAGGUCAGAAUGAAUUUGGGUUCCCCUAUUCUGACUUGGAAAAAUUAUUAAAAAUUGUAAAAAAAUAAUUAUGGGUUAAAAUUUAUAUGUUUAAAAUUAUUAAUGAGUCUAUUUUUAAUAGAAACAAACAGGAACAUCAUCUGAAUUCUGUACAAAGAUAUAAUUAAUUUUUAGUGAAAAGGGGUCAGAACUGUUAAACAGUGAAACAGAGGAAACUUUAAAGAAUAAAAUGUACUUAUUGGAUAAACAAAAAAUUCUUAAAAUUAUAUGGUAAGAAUAUACGUGACUAUAGUUUCAGAGAAAAUUUGCGGAUCUCAAUUCGGAGUUCUUUAGCUUAAGAUAUAAUUAAUUUAGUGACUAUGACCAAGUGAACAGCUUGUUAUGAGUAAACAAGUUAAUAGUGGUAUUAUGUAUAUAUCAAGGAUGUGAAAUGGAGUGGAGGAGGAGGAAAAAUAUAUGUUAAUAUUCAUCUAAUAUGAUUUUAUUUUAAAAUAGCUAAUUUACAUGUUUUAGGUUCAGGGACUAAAUUGAAUAAAAGUAAAAUUUUAAGGGUAAUUUUGUAAAAAUGUCAAAAAGUGACCAAAUUGCAUGAAAUGAAUUUUUUUAUUAUUUAAAUUAAUAAAUUGAAUGAAAUAUUAAUUUAUAUCAAGAUUGGGAGGAACUUCGAGGAAAAUAAAAAAUUACCAAAAUGCCCCUAAAUUUUGGUAUUUCUGUAAUUUAGCCUGGUAAGUUCGUGUAACUUGAAUUAUAUUCUUAGAUGAUUGAAAUAUAUAUAUUGGAUUGAGAAAUUGAUUUGAAUUGUGAACAUGAGAAAUUUGAAUUGAAUGAAAUGGAAAUGAAGCUUUGAAUUACAUGAGUAAAUAUCGGGUCUCGUAGGCCCUAUUUAUUAUGAAUAUAAUAUUUCGAGGAUAUGUUGUAAAGAAUUAUAAAAGCACGUUAAAAAUUUGAAAGUUUUAAUUCAGAUGAAAUUUUGUAACUCGGUUUAAUACGCAUGCAAAUGUAUGUAUUCUAGUAAUGUCUCGUGCCCUAUUCCGCCGUCGAAUACGGGUAAGGGGUGUUACAAUGUGACAUCGUCAGAUUCGGUCAUAACGUUUAGACUGGGUUUGGAGUGUUAUAUGACACGCUAGAUUUGACCAUAACUCCUAGGCCGGGUUUGGGGUGUUACAUCUGGCCAAUACAUAUUGAGGGUUAAAUAGUUACAUUACAGUGGUUUUUUUUAAAAUAGAGUGACAGGAAAGAUCAGUGGAGUAUAGUGAUUAUAGGUUAGCUUAAAAGUACAAAAAGAAAAUUAAAUGAGUAGAAUAAGUUCGUGAAAAUAAAAGUAAUUGUCAAUGAGGUACUGUGAAAAAGAAAGAAAAGUGACAAAGUCACAAAUAUAGAAAAACUUGUUCAUUGUUGCACAAAAAAAAACCUCGUGAGCUAGCCGUAGUUACUAUAUGAUGCUGAGAUUUCCUAUAAGGAGACAUAAGGAAGGUAAGAGAAGAAUAAAUAAGGCGAUGAGUGAGAAAGGGUCAUUAAAGGGAAGAAUAGGGGACAAUAUGAUGUGUUAAACUAUUUUUGUGCUUGAAACUAUUUGAUACUUACUAUUCUUGAAUUCCAUACAUGACCUAAGCCUCAGAACAUUACAAGCCGAAAAGCCCUAUGUGAUUUAGGUAGGUUUAUUCAUAAUUUGAAAUUAUACUGAAUAAUUGCAUUUACGACUGUUUGUAUUCUACUAGGACAAUCAAAUACCUUGUAUAAUUUAUUAAUGGAUUCCUACAUUUGAGACCCUUAAUGCUUGUAUGCUUUGUAAUAUACUAAACUUAGGUGUUUGAUAUCAAAAGUGAUAAGUCAGCUAUAUAUCAUGCCAAGAUUAUGUGUGAAUAUGAAAUGCUUAUUCAUGUGCUCCAAAGCUAACAUUUGUACCAUACUUGCUCAAGUGUCGUCUUUUCAUUUAUUAUUUUUGUUUGUUUUGCUUGAGGAUAAGCAAUGACUUAAGUGUGGGGGAGUUUGAAUACAAGUAUUUUUGUUAAGUUUUAAUUAUGUUUUCACAAUUUUAAUUAAAUUCAGUAAAGUGUGUAAUUUGAGUCUUUUAUUGACCUUAGGGGCCGAAUAAGGCUUAAAUGUGAGUUAAUAUACUUUGUGAACAUGUAAGACACCACUAGAAGGUGCGCUAACUCGAUAUUGGUCACUGUGUUACAACACGACGCACUGAAUGUCGUAACAUAGUGAACAGAAUAGAAGAAUUCCAAGACUACCUUUGGUGUUGUGACAUAGCUUAAGGAUGUUGCGACACACCCCUGAAGAUACCCUAAAGAUGAACAUACUACCCUCGAUGUCGUGACAUCACCUCUGUACAGGAAAUAAUUACGAGCCAGAGGCAUUUUAGCCCGUACAAUCAAACAUUAAAUACGAGGAUGACAGCUGACCUAGGUUAAGGAUGAUGACUAAUCUAAAGUCUAUAAAUAGGCUCAUUUAACACAUGUUAUGGACAACAUUCGUUUUGUAUGAUUUCCCCCUUAGAUUUAGUCUUUAGUUUUUCUCUUUUUUUAGACUUUAGGUUUAUUUUGGUUUUGUUAUUUGUUCUUGUCGAAGAAAUCAGAUUUGUGAAACAUAAUCAAACUCUGUGAGGAUUCUGCACUCAUUUCUAAUACAGAUCAGGCUUCUUGUAAACUUUAUACUCUUGAAUUAUUAUUCAUGUUUACUCUUUCUAUCAAGUUUAUAUUGUUUAUGAGAUCCAUGAGGAACUAAUCCUCCUAUGGGAGAAUAGCGAGUGGAGAUAUGAUUAAUUAACUAUUUUGUAGGGUUUUAUUAGCGGAUUAGCUAUUUAGGAAAGGAAGAACCUAAAACCUAAGCUUGACAAUCCCAGGAAGUCAUUAAGGUGGGAAUUAACCUAAAUUUGGUAUGCCCUAUCCGUGAUUACCUUAACCCUGAAUCGAUCUGGACUGUGAGGUUGAGAGAUAAAUAGUUCUUGUUAACUCAUUAUUUUAGUGGAAGAUUGGAAGAUCUUGCUGGGAUGUAUACUAGUUGAUUGAACAAGAAAACUCGAAGCAACAGUUGGUUAUAUUAUUUGAUUUCUUGUGCAUUAUUUAUUUCUUUUCUUUCUUCAUUAUUAUUAGUAUAGAUUACCAAAACUUGUCUUUUUAUCUCAUCGUAAUAUAAUUCAUUUAAAGUACUAACUAGAUCUAUUUAUGCUUACGUUAGAAUUAAUUUAGUGCUCGCCUCCCUUGGGUACGAUCCUCGGAGUACUCAUCUACUAUGUUGUAACUAUAUUACAACCUGACCCGUAUACUUGCAAAUACUGCCUUUUCAUAUAUUUUGUGCAAGAUUUCUACUAUGGAUGUUGGUACAUCUAGAGGCAAUCAGUAGAUCACACAAUCUCGUUAUUGAUUCGAUAUUUUUUCAAUUGUUUUAAAGCUUAAUUUUGUCGCAUGUAUAUAGGUUUUAUGAAUUGUUAAUUUUGAAUGUUGGCAUAACUUGAACUCUAUCUUGUGCUUGAUUUUGGCAAUGUUAAGUUUAAUCUAAAUGGUGAGUUUUUGGAAAAUAUGGUUCAAUUAUGAAUAAAAGUUAAAAUAGCUUGUUUAAACAUAGAUUAGCAUAGUUGAGAAGUUGAUUUUGAGUGGCUAGUUGGUUGGAUGAAUGGUUUGUGAUUGAAUAAGUUGAAAUUGUAAAUUUGGUUCUAAUUUGAAGUUUUAUUAAAAUGGUUGAAUUGAAAUGGUUAGAGGCAAUAUUUUAGUAUGUGUUUGAAAUGUUGUUGCGUAGGAAAAGUUACGUAAAUAUGCACUAAAUGUAAAGAAUGGGAGGUAUCCAUGAAAUAGGUACCAAAUGGCCUAAAUUUUACGAAAAAUAGAGUCUAUGUUCCGACAACCAAUCUUCCUCAUCGUAAUUUUGGCCAGCAAUAAGUCGCGUCAUGACAUUAAGUGGCCUAAGGUCACAACGUAACAAAAUGUUUGGUGACGUCACGUUGUCGGCCUUGAAAUUUUGAAACUUUGCAAUUUGGUCAUAUUUCAUGCUUGAGUCAACAAAAGAGCUUUUCUAAACUUGAUUAAGGGUCGAAUUUAAUUUUGUAUCAUAAUGUGAAGGUGUUUAUGAUAUGAUUGAAUGUCUAAAUGAUUUAUUUACGGUGUAUUUGACGGUAGUUGCUCUUGCAACGAAUGUGGCAUCCUAUGGCUCAGACCCAAUGAUUGGGUUAGGCAAAGGUUUUUACAACCAAAGUGUAUAAAUUGUAUAAUUGUUGUGAUUUUUUUAAUAAUAUAUAAUAGAAGGUCUCAUAAGGAUGUGAUUGAGACUGGUUUCGAAAUCAAACUCAAAAUUAAAAGAUUUUGUUAAUUUUAAUGACUAAAUUGAAUAAAAUGUAAAAAUUUAGGGAAAAUGAAAUUAAAAUGGUUCAUGCAUAUUGGGGGUUGAUAUAAAAAUAUUUGGUAUUGAUAAAUUAAAUUGAAUAAUUGUAUAGAUCGAGAAUUGAACCAAAUCGAAGAUAAUCAAGGAAACGACAAAAUUGAGGAAUUAUUUUUAAAGAUACAAUUUGCUUGUUGUUUUGCCAAGUAAGUUUAUAUGGAACUUACUAAUUUUUUUAUGUGAUGCUGUAUUGUAUUUAUUCUAUCGACAUGUUUAGUCUCAACUGAAAUAGGUGAAAUUGGCAUAAUUGGCUUAUUUUGGACUAAAUUGUAGAACAUGAAAAUGAUGGCUAUUAUGAAAGGGUACAAGGUACCAAUAUGAAUGUUAAAUGUUUAAAAUAUGUAUGACAUGUGUAUAGUGAUACAUGAUUUGAAAUGAUAUUAUUACAAUAAUGAUGACCGUGUGAGCUUAGUAAAAGAUUAGGAUAUGUAUGAUAUGCCAUUAGGGUUAAAUACAAAAUCGAAUAGGGGUAUACAUGAUGUAUGAGAUCCAACAUUUAUUGUAGAUUCUAGAUUUAUAUGUAUCAUUGGUUUAACCUAGAUUGGUAACCUCGAUACGAUGUCAACUUGUGUGAGUAAAUCUGUUAUAUUGUCAGCUUGUGUGAGCAAUAUAAUCUUAUGUAUUGGAGUUCGAUUUACUAAGGUUCUCUCUGGAAAAACUUUAACUUAAUUAAAAUGGAAAGAUUGAAAUGAAUUGAAUAUAGAUAAAUUGAUAUAUGAUUUCAAAUGGAAAUGUGAUUUAUGAUUUAUUAUCUAUUCAACUUGAUAUACAAAUGAACUAACCUAGUGGUUGUUAUGAUUUAUGUGUUAGUUAUUUCAAGAUAUAUUAAAGAAUGCUAUAUUGAUUUUGAUUGUGUUAAAUGAUUAGCUUAUUGAAUUGUUAAGGUAAAUUAAGUAAAUUACAUAUGACCUUACUAAGCAUUCACUAAGCUUACUCCAUUAUUACCCCUUUCCUUGUAGAUUGUUACAUUGCGAAAUGUGUCAAGUGGAAUGUUUGAACCUCACAAUAUCCCGUUUUUGAACCGGUAGUUUAUUUUAUCAUUUUAAGUCCAAAUUUGUGGCAUUCACAUAGGUGUUUUGCAUAUGUUAACUUUGAAUGUGGAACAUAGCUAAAAUCUACCUAAUGCACAAUUUUGGCAAUGUUAAUGUCUUGAUGAAAUGGUAUGUUUUGGUAAAUGGUUUGUGAUGUGUAUGUAGCAAUUGAGUGGGCUUAUUUGGAUAUGAAAUAGUGUUGAAAAGCUAGUAUUUAGGUGUUUGUUUGAUAUUUAUAUGUCAUGUUAAUAAGAUGAUAUGUCUAAUGGUUGAUUAUAAAUUGAUAAGAAGUUGAUUGUAUUAUUUGCAUUUGUUUUGGUAUAUUUUUUGAAAUGUUUUGGUGCAGGUGAAGUUAGUCAUUUGUGCACAAAAUCAUAAGUUUAUGUGGAAGCUAGAAAUAGGUACCAAAUGGCUCAAAGUUUACCAAAAACAAAGUCCACAUCCUAGUGUGCAACUUAGCUCGUUGCAGCAUCGACCAAAAUAGUGAGUCACGUCGUGACAUUGAGUGACCUUAAGUUACGGCCUGACAUACUAUUUUGAAAACAUCACGAUGUGGAGAAAUUAACUUCACAAAUUCGGUUCUAAAGUUUUAAAACUUUGCAAUUUGGUCAUAUUUCGUGCUUGGGUUAUCAAAAGAGCUUUUGUAAGCUCGAUUGAGACUCAGAUUUGAUCGUUUAUCAUAAUUUAAAGGUAACUGACUCGUAUUAGAAUUUAUAAAUGUUUUUUUACUGUGAACUCGACGGUAGUUUCUCCAGAAAAAAAUGUGGCAUCCUGUAGCUUGGACCCGACGAUCGGGUCGGGUGAGGAGUGUAACAUUUAGUGGUAUCAGAGGUAUGGUUUAAUCGAUUCUAGGACUAAAAUGUAGCUUGUGUUAAGUCUAGAAAUACAUGCCACAAUAAUUUGCAAUAGUGUGAUGCCUUGUGAAUCGAAUUGACUCUGUUUUCCAUAUAGUUAAACUAUGUCGGCCGAAUUAAAUAGAGUCAUACUAGAUGAAAUCAAUAGUAAUGUUCAUGCUUUCAAUCAGGGAGCUGCCCAGAGUUUGCCCAUUCUAUAAGGGCCUAGAAACCAGGAAAAAAUGUCUUUUUUUCAUAUGAUGAACAAGUGGUUCACUUAGCUUAUGGGAGCUAACCCUUCAACUUUACAACCCCAAAUGCACCCUUCUCCCUUGAUUGUGCCUCUUGUGGCACCCCUUGUCCUCAAAAUCUUAAUAUGGUACCUAUAAAUUGACUUCUAAUCGAUAAAUUCUAAAAAUGAGUUCCUUAUUCCUCCCUUAGCCAUUAUUGGGAUUCCUACUAAAUUCGUCAAUGCUACGGACACUUAUAUACACAUUUUGGCGUCUCCUCUCACUGUUUCAGACUUGGACACUUGUCCUCCAACCUUGCAUACAUCCCCAAUUGGCUUUCUCUACUACACUCCCCCUACUAGCAAGGUACAAAUCUUCUUUUCUUGGAGGAAACACAUCGGUGUGGGACAAUAUCCGUUCUCCCCCUUGUUGUUCGGCAAAGGAAAUAUAGGGAUUUUCUCUUGGAAUUAAAAUAAUUAGCCUACCCUUCUUCUUCUUCCAAGGGUAUUCACAAACCUACCCUACCAGAGUUGGCGGGUUCUUUUUCCAUGAUGGUUGCAGAGUGUGACUUAUGAGUUGGGCUCUCCAAAGGGCUUGUGAUGAGAUCAAUGCUAGGAAUCUGAGAGGAGAAUUCUCUUUGGUAAGCAAUCUCUUAACCAAGUCCACUAAUCGUAUGAAGCCGUUGUCUGCCAAAAUCACGAGCUUACACAGUCAAUCUCCAUUUGGGAGACUAAGUACCAACCCUCGAUUGUCUAAGAAAAAGAGUUAGAAGAGAGGGUUCGUCAGCUGUAAGCCCUUGAGAAAGAGUACCUCGCCAAAAAAGAGCAGAUAUAAAGGGAGAACAAAAAGGCUCUAGAGAUGUUGAAAGCAAAUUCCAAUGCGAACAUUCGAGCAUUUCUGCCUAGCUUGAGGUCUAACUUAGUGCUGCAUGUACAAGUCGCUAUUGGUCACCUCGACUUGCAUUCUGUGAACUUUAAUUGUGUGCGAAAACUCACAAACACCGAGCUUGACUUCAACAUUCUAAACCUCAAUGGGGCUAAAUGUGAAGAAUUUCAUAGGAAGUGGAAGGAAUCCAAUACUCUUUUAUGAUCAAGACUUAGAGCUGUCCAACUCUGGUUCCUCAAAAGAGGCUGACCUAGAAAAAACCCCAGGGAUGCCGCCACUUCUCCUACUCAAGGGGAAAUUAGAAUUUUGCUGUUGUACCUUGCACUGGCCUUGUAAUUUAAUGACAUUUUUCUUUACCUUCUUUACCUAUCUUUUGCAUCUACUUUAUUUAGUUUUUUCCCUUAUAUUGUCUUCGAAAUGCAUAACGUCAGGCUUGCAACAGUUCACCAAUCUGUACCCAACUUCAUAACACGUAAUAACUUUACAACAACUUAAAGGACUAGACCAGAUCCAAUGUAGCAUGCAUAUAAUGGCUACUCCUUACCUUUCUAUAUCAAAAGGAUUGGCUAAAUCGAAGCUCUGAGACCAUUAAAUUAUAAAACCCUUUUCUCGACUCGAUCGUUGAGUCCAGAGCCAAGUGUCACAAAUAACCUGAGUUACUUAACAUAAAUCUAGCUUUGUUUAUUUACAAAUUUAAGUACACCAUGAUUAAUCUGAAUUUACCAUAUGACUAUGAUAUCUUUAAUUAACAACAGGUUUCAAAAUAGGGCUACAAUUAAAAUUUCUACAAGUUUUAAAGUUCGUACAUCCGCAUCUUUUUAUCAAGCAUGAACAAUUAAUUACAUUAACUUGGAACUUAGUACUUUACUAUAGAUACACUUAAGUAAUUUCCCCUAAGGUGUAGCCUCUAAGGGUGCCCCUCUAUACACAUGGUACAGCUAUGACGCCAUUAAUGUGAGCUUGACAGUGUCUAGCUUGGUCCAUCCACAUGAUCCUCGAGUCACUCAUUUACCCUACAUUUCAAACAGUACAUUUGUAAGUUCAUAUGAACUUAGUGAAAUCCUGUACAGCAAAAUUCAUAAAAAAACUCUUAAAUUAUUAGGUAAAUAAUAAUCAAUGCACAGAAUUAAAACUUCAUGAGUGUCUUAGAAGAUUCCACAGGUUUAACUGGCAUUGCCGAUGCCCAUACGUGCUCUGAACUAACCAUUGGCGGACAUGUCGACUGGUUUAGUCGUAAGCAUGCUCUUCUAGAAACCCUUUUUUCUAGGACUUGACCCUGUCUAGUUUCAACUCAGACUUCCAAUUUUUCUUUCUUGAUUCGACUCAUCAUAAGAUAACCAUAUCCACAAACGUGCGAGUUGGUUUCAAUUAUUGGCAAACAUUCAAAUAUCUCACCACCUGGCAGAUUCCUUCCUGUCUCCUUUCAUUUCAUGCCAAACAUAAUAUAGACAUGUCAUAUUGUCUCGACAUUUUCCCUUUUAUGACUUAACCAAUGUGUGUACCCCUUUCUUUAGGUAAACAUGUUUACUAAUAUUCUUAUUUGCAACUUUGAAUAUUAGAUUUGGCUGAUAAAUAAGCACCACUUUCAUUGCGGACUUGCACCCCCUCUUUAGAACAUUCUACUAAAAUACUCUUAAGAAUAAAUAGUUCCCGAUGAACUAUAUCUUCCUUAGUUUUCCCUUGGCAAACUUCCACCCUUGAUAGUCUUUUGUGGGCUUCCUCAUUCUAUAUGGUCCUAGUAGAAAUCUUAUUCUUUUGUAAAUUCUUAACGGACUUUCUCACCAAAAUAGUCAUUGGCAAACUCCCCUUUUAAAAGGGUCUAUGGCAGACUUUCUCUAUUUCUGGUGGCUUCUUUACCCACAGAUUCUUAGGAUUAAAAUCUACCUAAUCAUCUAGAUUUAACACACCAAAUGUUGGUUUACUCACCAAACUUUGGCGGAUACUUAAAUACUUUGGAGAAAAUACCCCUUCAUUUCACAUAUAUCGCAUUUAAAAUGCUUCUGCAAUUCUUCUUACCUCCAUAUUAUGGAGGAUCCUCUUAUUAGCAUACUUACCAUUGUUUUCAAAUAAGUUAUGAUCAUCAUGUCAGACUGCUCACCGCGAGUGUCAAACAAUAACUUCCCUUUUUAUUCCUUGACAAGCUUCCUUGUUUACUGUUCUAGCAGACUCCAUUUCGCCAUAAGGUGUACCUGUUCACCACUGGAUCGUGCCAUGGCUAACCAUGGACUCUUGAUUCUCAAGAAUCAAUAAACCCCUUUCAAGGUAUCACCACGAAAGACCUGUAUACCAUUUACAUGGUGUCACCCUGAAGGACCUAUAUACCAUUUACACGGUGUUGCCCCGAAGGACCAGUAGAUAACCGUCAACAUGGUGUCGCCCCAAAGGACCAGUAGAUAUCUAUUCCACAAUGCCACCAAACUCCCUUGAAUCCUAUAACAAUCUGCUCAUUCCUCCAUUACACUAAUUAUUCCUAUCUUCAUCUACCCCAUUAAAGUAAAUCCUUCCAAACUCUGCAUUUUAUAAACAUAUAUUUCACGCAAGUCAUUGUACUUAUUAUUAUAACAUACAGUACACCAUUUAUCAAUAAGACAAUGCACAACCACAUUUGGCAUCCAGAGAACAUACUUGCAAUGAUCCAUAUAUUUUCACAACUUUAUGCAUGUAUAGCAUACUCAUUCACUGUGAUCAUAAACAACCAAUAGCAAACACACGAGCAGAACAUUCCUACACAUUAACAACAAACACCUAAGUGGAGCACAGAAACUCACCUUAAACCCUUCAUCCUCGCCAGUUUAGCUUAUACAAAUGCCAAAGCCUUCUUUUUCUUGGCAGCUAAGCAUGGCAACCAUAUAUAUAUCAGUUAAACCAAAGGUGUUCAAACCUUCAAACCUUGAAUCCAUUAUUAUACAGAAGCUUUUUAAGAAUCCUUACUUCUUUUUUCCUCUAAUUCAAGAGUACAAAGAGACAUAGGAGUUUACCAGCUUACUACAUUCUCUACUUUCCAGACUCGAGUCUCACAUUUACCGCCUCAUGCAAAGCUUUCCUUAACUUUCUUUUCUUCGAAGCAACCGAAGAAGACGAUGCAGAUGAUAAGAGAAUAUAAACAGAAUAGGGAAGAUUUUUUCCUUUACUGAAUAAGGCUUCUUACUUAUAUAUAUAACUUUUCUCGUGUGAUCACCAAAGCCCCAAUUAAACCAUCCAUCGGCAAUCAUUUUGUCCCCCACUAAGGAACCAACCAGUUCCAACAUAAUUGAACCAGAAUUAGAUUUCCACUAAUUAUCAAUCAGCUACAAAAAUUUCCAACUUUUCCAAUAAAGCCCACCCACUUACUAUUUUAUCAAAUUAACUCCCAACUCUCCUUUAAAUACGAUACUUUAAUGAAAACCAGGUGUGACAUCUAUAAUUCAAAUAACAAAGUGCAAGUUAUCAACAAAUAUGUCUUUCAUAUCAACUGCAAAACAUCAUGCUAAAUGUACUAUAUUAUCAUACCAUUUUCCGAAUCGAAUUAAUUGAUUCAUCACAAUUCUAUAUAAAUCUUCUAGACUUAUAAAUUCGGCUCAAAUAAUAUUUUAAAAUAGCAAUUCAUUUCAUAUACUAUUAUCAAAAUUAAUUUUUAAAUCCAUAUUAACAUAACUUGGACUCAAAUGGAUACAUGAAUCCAACCAACACACUAAUUUACCACAUUGUGCCUCAUUAGACAAACCAUAGUAAAUACAUUGCGCCCAACGCUCAUCAGUAUAACUGAAGUAAAAGUUGUGACCAACAUUUAUUGACCUAUAGUUGAAGCAACUUGUACUCAACACAUCUGACCGCCGCCGGAUGUACUAAUGUCCAGAGUAUGAAUACUGCAACAAAAGAUAAAGAAUUGAGGUGCUGUAAUAUAGUUUUUACGAUGAAGUAGGUAAGUACUCCGAGGAUCGUGCCCAAGGGAGGCGAGUACCAAAUUAGUGUUAACCUAAACGUAAUAAAAUUAAUUAGUAGUUUAAAUAAAUUAUAGUACGAUGAAACAUAAAGAAGAAUUUUUAGAUUUUUAUAAAUGAUGAAAUAAAAUAUGCAUAAAUAAAGUAGACUUUGGAAAACUUAAUUUAUAAACUUAAUCAAAUCUAGACAUGUAUGAUUAGCUCGCUUUGCUGAUUAUAACUAAUUCCUAUUUUAAGUUUCUAUUCAAUCAACUAGUCGUUAUCCUAGCAGGAUCUCUCGGUCUUCCACUAAACUAACAAGUCGACCAGAACUACUUAUCUCUCGCCCUCACAAUCCAAACCGGUUCAAGGCUAAGGUGUUCACUGAUAGGCUAUACCAAUUUUGGGUUAAUUCCCACCUAAAUGACUUCCUAGGGUCAUCAAGCCUAGGGUUUAAGUUCUUUCUUUCCUAAACAGCUGAUCCAUUAAGAAAACCCUUCAUAACGAUUAAUUAAUCACACCUCCAUUCUUUAAUCCCCCAUAAGAGGACUAGCUCUUCAUGGAAUCCAUAAACAUAGUAUACUUCAUGAUAAAUAUAUGCAUGAAAAAAUAAAUCAAGAAUAAAUUUUAGAGAAUCCUGAUUGUAUUCGAUUGAUGAAGCACAAAAAUCCUAAAACAUUUUAUUGUGUCUACAAAUCAAGUUCUUCGAAGAACACGAAUGAAAAGAACUAAAAAGAAAUCUAAACCCUAAGAGAAAGAAAAAACUGAAAAUUGAAUUACAAAGAAAAUCUUUGAAUAUCAAAAGUUUUCCAUAAUAAGUGUUAAAUGAGCCUAUUUCUAAAUUUAGGGUUGUCGUAGUCCUCAAUCCUAGGUUAGUUGACGCUCUCAUGUUAAACAUUUGAUUGUGCAGACCAAAACGCCCCUGGCUCGUAAGUGUUUCCCAUAUAGGACCGAUGUCGCGACACCCAAGUACUUGUGUUGCAACAUCGAGGGCAACAUGCUCAUAUUUAGGGUAUCUUCAAGGGUGUGUCGUGACAUCCUCUAGCCGUGUCAUGACACUGAAGGUAGUCUUGGAAUUCUUCUAUUCUACUCCCUAUAUUGCAACAUCAAACUCUUCGUGUUGCAACACAACAACUAGCAUCAAGUUAGCACGUCUUCUAAUGGUUUCCUGCACACUCACAAAGUAUAUUAACUUACCCUUAGGCCUCAUUCGACCUAUUGAACUAUAAAUACUUAAAUUACACUUUUUAUUGAACGUAUGAAAUUAUGAAAAAUCGACUAAAACAUAACAAAAGAGCUUGGAUUCAAGCUCCUUAAAUGUGAAAACUAGUUUAAUCUGCUACACUGAAUUUUGACAAAUUAAACUCCCCCACACUUAAGCCAUUGCUUGCCCUCAAACAAUGUAAACAUAUAAUUAAAAAAAACAAAAAAGAAGGUAUGAAAAGAAAAAAGAAAAAAAAUUAGUUGUAAAUAAAAGUAAACCAAACUACAAAACAUAAAAAAAGAAAAUAACUACUUGGUUUCUUUCUUUAAACAAGCUAGAAUUGGUGAAUAUGGUUGUAAAUAAGAACCUCACACCUAGACUCCCCUACACUUAACUUUUGGUUUGUCCUCAAGCAAAUCAAGUCCAAACACAUAGCAUGUAAUAAGAAGACAUCCCUUAGAUUUUAUUGCUACUAAGAAAAUGAUUGUCAAAUAUGAAAGGUAUAACAAUUCUUAUCGCACAAGUAACUUAAUUUUGAUAGUUUGAUGCUUUGAAAUUUUUUAAAGGAAAAAAAGAUUAGUUUACAAAGUUACAUUACUAACAAAUUAGAAGUAAUCCCCAUGACCAAAUAUUUAACAAUAUCACCAUUAACAUAAAUAAAAAAGACAUGCAGUAGACACAAUCAUGUGAAUCAGAAAAUAUUCAUUGAGUAUAAUUGUUAGCAAUUCCGUAAUAUUAUGCACAGAGAACGCUUAAGUCACAUUGGUCUUCUAGGCUUGUAACUGUUUGAGGCUUAGAACGGUAUGAGUUCAAAUAAAGAUAUGGCUCAAAAUGAUUCAAACACUAGAAAUAGUUAGGCACAUGACAUUGUUCUCUAUCUUCCCCCUUAAUGUCCCAUCCAAGCUCACCGCAUUUUGUCUCCCUCUCUCACUUACCUUACCUUUCCAUGUAGGAAGAUACAAUAUAAUACUAGAAACCAUGGUCGACUUAAUGACUUUUGGUGCAUUGAUGACUGAGUUUUCUCUCACUUUUGUGACUUUUUGUUUUGUCACUUGACUUUUUACUCUUUUCUCAGUCAUGGUGUUUUUGUUUCUAUUCUAUAUUCUUUCCACACAUUUUUACUUUUGAAUUUCUUUUCUUUUUCGCACAUUUUUGCUCAACCUAUAAUCACUGUAUCACAUUGUUUCUUCCUUUGUCGCUCUUUUUUUUUGGAACCACCAUAAUGUAUCUACCUAAACACUCAAUAUCUAUGGUCUGACGUCUAUUUUAUAAUGUAUUAAAGGACUAAGGAUAGGGAAGAGUUCAAGUUUUAUGUGUGGUCGUUGGGUUUUAAUUUUGAUGGUUCAUCAAAAAGGAGUUAUCAGGCUCAAAUAAGGACAGUAGGGAUUCAUAGCAUUAAGGUAUGGUCAUUUGAGAACUAACUAUUCAAAUAAAGCCUUAGGUCAUCCCUAAGCAUCCCACUAUACACAAUUUCUUUCAUGCUUCAAAUUAAACCGAAUGAAUAAUAAUCAAUUCAAGCAUUCAUGUCCCUAAGACUAUCUACAAAACUUAUAUUUCAUAUGGCAUCAUUAAACAUUCUUACUUAGGUACUUCUAAUCUAUUAUGCAAUUUAACUAGGUAACCUAAUUAAUUUCCCUUAAAAUAAUCAAAUUAUCUCAUAUCAAUAAAAAAUUCAUAAUUGACAAAAAUCAUUACAUGCUUCACUAUUUUCAACCACUACUCACUAUCUUAAUAAUGCAAACAAGAAAACUUCCCUAAGUAGGUCAGAUCCUUAUUGUUAUGAUAAUCUCAGGAUUUGUGUGCUCCAGGCAAACAAAAAGGUACCUAAAAAAAUACUACGACAAGAAAUAUGAAAUAAAAAUAAAAAUAAGAAGAAAAAGAAAAAAACAAAGAAGUGUCAAAAAUCGAUGGCAGAACGUCUAAAAAUAUUCAGAUGAACUUGGCCUUUUCAUGUUGCAAGGUACGUUCUGCCUAGGAUGUCACGACAUUAGAGUGCGAUGUCGGGACAUCAAGCCCAGUUUCUAGCUUCUUUGAUUUUUUUUUUCAAUUCUAUUCCACCAUAGUAUCUACUCCUAAAAAAACUUGAACACAAAUAACAUUAGUACUAAAAACUAAAAGUAACGAGAAAUAACAAAAAAAUAAAAAUAAAGAAAACUGAAAAAUAAAACAAAAUAUAAAAAUUCUUUAGAAAUUGGGAUGACCCGUAUCGCCACCAUAGAAGAACUUCCUUCUAGUUCUUGACACUUUGAUUCGACGUUUGUUUCUCUGUUGAUGUAUAUGAACUAGCCUUUUCGAUUGAUUUCAUGUUGUCUUAUUUUCAAUCGGCGUGACAUCCACAUUACAAGCCAUUCCAAAUCUGAGCCAACCCCAAAUUACUUUCCAAGGUAUUAUUGCCUCAAGCUUCCUUCCCUCCAUUUCGCGUGAAGUUUUGAUCCCUCCAGAUUUAUUGCUUUUGUUGGUUGAGAAUGGAUCAAACUCAUCGACUUCUUCGACUAGCACAUUCUCUGCUACAACCAAAAAGUGUAUUGGCUUUUCUAAAAUUUCAUUCAAUAUUGGUUUAAGCUCUAUGUUAGUGGUUAGUUCAUCUUCCACUUAUACCUUUAUGAUAAGUUCUGCUGCUAUGUUAAUUGGAUCAGAGAUCGUUUCAACAAUGUUCAAUUCAUCCCCAUGGUCUUCAGUUACAAGCUCCGGUUGAAUCUCACCAUAAUUCUCAUCAUGGUCAUUGAUAAUACAAUGGUUCUCUUGAUCUAUGUUGUGAGCGUCAGACAUUCCUCUUUCCCGGAAGGCAGCACUUCAUAUACUUCUUGCAUCAUUUUGAUCAUUUGCGCCAUCAUAUCUGACAUGUGUGACAAUACCUUAGAGUUGUUUGUCUUGGUGGUUUCACAUGAAGGAAUCUCACACGAAUCACUAGAAGGCUUGUUUGAAUGUUUGGGCAUAUCAUGAUCUUUUUCAAGUGCCUCAUACAAAUUAUCAAUGAACUUAUAUGGAUGUUCGACUAUAUCAGUACCUUGUUCAUUACUUCACUGGUAUGUUGAGACUUUAUUUUUAGCUUGGCGCAUCUCGAUCAUAAAAUUUUUUUUAUUUUCCAUGAUCUCCCAUUCUUCAUAUACUCCCUCAUUGUAUAUUUCGUCAUCAAAGCCCAUCUUAUCAUUGAACAACAUGUAACUAGUUUCAUCCAUGUUUGGAUGAUUUUCUCGGAUUACUCCCUAUGGAUCAGUGACUGACUAAACAAGUAUUACUCUCUUCUGAGGCAUAUACUGAAAUUAACAAAGAAAAAGAAAGGAGUUAGUAAACUAAAUUAAUAAUACUAAAAAUAGAAAUCGUAUUUAUAAUUCAAAAUUUUCCUAUUAUUCUUAUUAAAAUGUAAAAAUUAAAAUCAAUUUAGUAACGUUGCCUCCCUGGCAGCGGCACCAACAACUUGACUGCCUCUGAACGUACUAACGUCUAAAGUAUGAAUACUGCAACGAAAGAUAAAGAAUUGAGGCAUUGUCGGCAAUUAUACGGGUCAGGUUAUAAAAUAGUUUUUACAACGAAGUAGGUAAGAACUCCGAGGAUCGUACCCAAGGUAGGCGAGUAUUAAAUUAAUGUUAACCUAAAUGCAAAUAAAAUUAAUUAUUAGUUUAAAUAAAUUAUAGUACGAUGAAACAUAAAGAAGAAUUUUUGGAUUUUUAUAAAUGAUGAAAUAAAAUAUGUAUAAAUAAAGUAGACUUUGGAAAGCUUAAUUUAUAAACUUAAUCAAAUCUAGACAAGGGUGAUUAGCUCGCUUUGGUGAUUAUAACAAAAUCCUAUUUCAGGUUUCCAUUCAAUCAACUAGUCGUUACCCUAGCAAGAUCUCUCGAUCUUCCACUAAACUAAUAAGUCAGUAAGAACUAAUUAUCUCUGAACCUCACAGUUCAAAUCGAUUCAGGGCUAAGGUGUUCACGGAUAGGCCAUACCAAUUUUGGGUUAAUUCCCACCUAAAUGACUUUCUAGGGUUUAAAUUCUUCCUUUUCUAAACAGCUGAUCCGCUAAGAAAACCAUUCAUAACAAUUAGUUAAUCACACCUCCACUCCUUAAUCCCCCAUAAGAGGAUUAGUUCUUCAUGGAAUACAUAAACAUAGUAAACUUGAUGAUAAAUAUAUGCAUGAAAAAAUAAAUCAAGAAUAAAUUUUAAAGAAUCUUGAUUGUAUUCGAUUGAUGAAGCACGAAAAUCCUCAAACGUUUGAUUGCAUCUACAAAUCAAGUUCCCCGAAAAACACGAAUGAAACGAACUAAAAAUAAAUCUAAACCCUAAGAGAGAAAAAACUGAAAACUAAAUUACAAAGAAAAACUUUGAAUAUCAAAAGUCAUCCACAACAAGUGUCAAAUGAGCCUAUUUAUAAAUUUAAGGUUGUCGUCGUCCUCAACCCUAGGUCAACUAACAUUCUUGUGUUAAACAUUUGAUUGUGUAGACCAAAACGCCCCUAGCUCAUAAGUGCUUCUUGUACAUGAUCAAUGUCGCAACACCCUAAUGCCUGUGUCGCAACAUCGAGGGCAGUAUGCUCAUAUUCAGGGUAUCUUCAGGGGUGUAUCGCGACAUCGAUCAUGUCUUGGAAUUCUUCUAUUUUAGUCCCUAUGUUGCGACAUCAAACUCUUCAUGUUGUAACACAGUGACCAGUAACGAGUUAGCACGCCUUUUAAUAGUCUCUUGCACACUCACAAUGUAUAUUAACUCACCUUUAAGCCUCAUUUGACCCCUAAGGUCAAUAAAAGACUCAAGUUACACUUUCUAUUGAAUGUAAAUGAAAUUAUGAAAGCUUGACUAAAACAUAACAAAAGAGCUUGUAUUCAAGCUCCUCAAAUGCCAAAACUAGUUUAAUCUACUACACCGAAUUACAGCAGAUCAAUAUCCUAUGGCAUGUCAACUAUAUUCGACUUUGCCCGAAUAGUGGCAACUAAUCAUCCAAUUCAUAAUAUAGCUUAAUUUUGCAUUUCAUAUCUCCAAUUCAUCAACCAAGUCAUCAAUAUAUACAUAGCAUAACAUGAGUCAUCUCAAUUCAAAUCCAAUUUCAUAAUUUCAUCAAGUUAUGCUAUUUUUAAUUUUAUUCAAUUUAGUCCUCUAUCUCUAUAAUCAAUCAAAUUCAUACAAAUAUGAUUUGAUCAAUCAUAUUUAACUUACCUCAAUAUCCUACCAUGCAAAUAAUAGAAAUAUGCAUCAAUUCACGUAAUUUGAAUAAUAAAAAUAUUAACUGAACACUCGAGUUACUCAUUAUUGGAUCUCGUCUUUCCAUUCCCUCUUGACGUUUCCACAUCGUCUUUAGCUACGAACUAUAAUCUAACAGUACAUAAUAUUAAAUACCAGCCAAAUCACAACCAAUUACAAAAAAACACACAUUUUACAAUUUAGUCCCUAAAACCAGGACUAGCAUAACUUUCAAUUUGAAGUUUCAAAUUGAAAUCCGAUUUCACUAUUAUUCAUUAGUGGCCUCCUAUUUCUUAUUACUACUAUAAAUUUUACAGUUUAUUCACUUUAAUCCCUAGUGUACAAACCCUUGUUAAUGCAUCUUAUUCUUCUUUAUUUAUUUUGGUUCGUUUGGGGAGGAUGAUUUUUCUCAUUCUUCCCACUGAAUUGCACAUAUAUAUUAUAAUUAACUUAGUUAAUUAAGUAAUCAACCUCAGUUUAAUAUAUAUAAUACUUAAUUUAUUAAAUCUAAUGAUAACAUGCUUAUGUCGUCCAACUUUCAAUGUUUAGACAUGGUAUAUUUGAUAUUUUGAACCUUAGGUUAUUUGCAAUUUAAUUCCUCAAGCCAUUUUCUAAUUAAAAAUCUAUAGCGAUUGAACUUUACAAUUUAGUCCUAGACCUCAAUUAAGCCCUAAUUCAGCUAAAUUAUUUGUCCAAAAAUUUACGGGAUUGAUUACAUUUUUUGACACCACUGGAAAUUGAAUCGUUACAAAUUUAUUUAAUUUCAAAUUUAUUGAUGUGAGUAUGCUUUUAUUGCUUAAUGAUUUUAUAUUAUGAGAUUGAUUUAUGUUUAACACCACUAUAAUUUCUAUGUUCAACGUGCAGUUUGUUUGUACCAUACAUAAAUAUUGGGAGAACACGCAAGUAGUAGUCCUUAUAGUCAUAACAUUUGAGCUCUUGAAUCUGAGCUACAUUCAUUGAACUUUUGUAAUUCCUUUCUUUGGCGUUAAGUUAUAGGCAUUUACCUAGGUCCCUUUUACAUGUCUUAUACUUAUAUCUUUAAGGUUUUGAUACGAUUGGUAUAUUUGGCAUGGAAUGAAAUAUUUUGGUUUGUCUUGGUUCCUUUGGUCACUUUUACUUUGGAUUUGGAAUGUUAAUUCUAUAUGGUGAAUGAAUGGUUUUUAACUUAUAUUUUACUUGCCUAGCCAAACAAUAAUUUAUUAUGUUAGAUGACUUGCAAUUGUAUGUUUUAGUCUUGUUUUCGCAUGUUAAACAUGUUGGAAUUGGUUUGGUCGCAUGUUGCAUGUGUUUAGGUACCUCUAAGGGUUAAACUACAUGACUUACAUUACCUUUUUUUUUUUUUCAUUUUUGGGUUAGUGCUUUGAGAUAUCAAGAACAUGUCUUGAGACCUUAAGAACAAAAAUAAAAUUUCAUCCAUCUCUAGGUGUACAUCACAUGACAUAACACUAUGGUUUCAAGACAUAAGGCCUUAAGUCUGGAGACAUGGAGAUUUUGUCUUGAAACAUAAAACAUCUAGCUAGUUUAGCAGAUAUCCAGUCCAAGGACUUGAGACAUGAUUUCAUUGUCUCGUGACCUCAAACUUCGAAGCUAAAAUUCUAAAAUAGGGGAGGCAUGUCUUGAAACAUGGCUUCACUGUCCUGCAUUUUGCUAGUUUGACUCCGGAUCCGUAACCUAGCUCCAUGUUUGGCCUUUUUUUUUUAUGUAGGAUUGUUGUGUACGAGCCCAACUGACUUCAUUCAUGUGCUUUUAACACUCGUAUUCUCUAUUGACUUUGCCACACUUGCUCUAUUUUUAGCUUCAAUAGUUGUUUUCAUCGUUUCUUUAAGUUACUUCAGCAACUGAUUGGCUUUUUGCACCCAAUCGGCUUCCAGGUCAAGCAGAAACGGUUACAAUGUAGAUAUAUGUGAAUUUUCUUAUAAGUUUUUUUUUAAUAAGGGACAGAAGUAAAAGUUGUUCAACUAUCGAAUUUGAUACUAAUGUUAACUGAAUAGUUGAACAUAAAUCUUUUACUUAUGUCACGAUUUGACCCCUAAAUUAUAUUUGUUUUUCUACUUUUAUCCUUGAACUAUUAUUUUCAUCUUGAUAACCAAAAUAAAAAUUAAAGUUACUGAUAAGAACAUGAUACAUGACAAAUUCUUACCAGACAUGUAUGAUUUUUGUAAGUAAAGUAGGCUCAUACCAUUACUUAUACUUAUUUUUUUUACCAAUUUGCUUUUAAUUCAAUCAAAUUGAUAACAAAUAUUGAAAUAAAAAGGUUAAAAUAUGUAUAGGUCUCUAUACUAUUCACAAACUUGAAAUUUAGUCCCUAUACUUUUAUUUUAGAAACACUGUCCCUCUACUAAAAAAUCACAAAAUGAACCUAAAUUUAACAAAAUAAUUUUAAUAAUAUUAAUAAUUAGACAUGAAUUUUGAAAUUUGAGAAGUAAAUAAAUUAAAUUUUUAGAAAUAACAAUAGAAGAACUAAAUUUUAAAUUUACAAAAGGUACGGGGACUUCUGAGAAAUUUUAAACAAAUUAAAAAACAAAAAAGAAGGUAUAUUUUAUCGAGUUAAAUGAAUGAGAAAAUAUUAAAAUAAAAGAUUAAGGGUUUUUUUUUUCAGUCAAAUGGAUAAGAAAAUAUUAGAAUAAAAAUAACAAAAAAGAAGGAAAGAAUGUUUGUUACCGUUUGAUGAAAAAUAAUACACGUGUCAAAUGAUUAAAGCAUCCAGCACUUUAUCGAAAAGUACAGAAGCAGCGCACGUCUCGGCUUUAGAGUUGGAAUAGAAGCUAGUUUCUUUUAGUACUACCAGAUAUUCCUUGCUUGUCAACAUCUCUCUCCCUCUCCCAUAUAUAAAUAAGAUCGGCGGAUAUUGGCAAACGGAGUGAAAGAUCGAAAUUGGCAGAAGAUGAAGGUUUUCGUCAAAACUCUCAAAGGCACUCACUUCAAUAUCGAAGUCAAACCCGAAGAUGCGGUUCGCUUCUCUCUCUCUCUCUCUCUUCCCCCCCCCCUUUCCUGGGAUUUUACGUUUUGCUAACUAGGGUUUUCCGUUUUCCCCUAUAUUUGAACAUUUACUAGCGUUCAUUUCGGACUGUAUUAAUUGGACUUAUUAUGCACGUUGUUGAAUUACCAUGCCUCAAAUGUAAAAUCGGAGAUCGUGAAUUAUUUCUUCAAUUUUAGUCUCUAAUUUAUUGGAUAUGUUGAUUUAGCUUGUUGAAUAGUCUAGCAACUUCGAUUAAGUUUUAGUGGACUGAUACUCGUGUAGCUUGAACAGCGGUAUCAUUUUCUUCCGGUGACAAUUAGAAAAUAAGUUCUUCCUACGUAAUGCUUUUUACUAAUUCAUUGAAAUUAGUGAAUAAUACUUUGAUUUCUGGGCUUCAUUUUUGUUGUAGUAUUUCAUUACCUUGUAUCAUUGAAUAUUGAUGCAUAGAUUGCCAUGUAAUUGCCACUUGUAGUGUGCUAGAUUUAGGUUUGAACUGGAGUAUACGCAAGCUUUGAACAUUGCCAUAAGCAUCUCAUAUUUUGCAAUGCUCUUUCACUUCUUUUUAAUUAGUGUGGCUAUCAACACUUGAUUAAAUGUACAGAGGCUCCUUUUAAUAGAUCUUCUAUAACAAAGGAUCAAGUUCUGCAUUCUAUGGUUACAUCUAAUCAAGGGGUGUGUUUUUUGAAUGAUGUGGAUUUUCUAACUAUAUAAAUAAGCUAUCAUUAUUUUAUUUUUUUUGCUACUUUUUAUGCCUUUUAAGGUUUAAACACACACACACACAUGCACCGAUAUGAAAGUAUUGGGAUAAAAUGCAUUUUACAUUACUUUGUCACUUGGUAUUAUACAAUUCCGCUGCUAAUGCUUGCCAAUUCUUUCAGGUUGCAGAUGUAAAAAAGAACAUAGAAACUGUUCAAGGGGCAGAUGUUUAUCCUGCUGCACAACAAAUGCUUAUCUAUAAGGGAAAAGUCCUUAAAGAUGACACGACACUGGCUGAAAACAGUGUCACUGAAAAUAGCUUUAUUGUGAUCAUGUUGACAAAGGUGAGAUUGGUUACAAUAUUCUAAUUUUUAUGUUUGUAAUAUUUCAUCUAACUCGUUCUAACUUUUCUGAUCAAAGUAUGCUGACUUUGUCCUAAUAAAUGCCUAACUGACAUCGCUAUUUUUCACACUGCUGUUGAACUUGAAAGUUAUCUUAGUUAUAACUUAUGACGGAGUGUUGUAUCAUUAUAUUUUUCUUUUGAAACCUGGUUGUUGCUUUCCUUUAGGUGCAUCUUAUAAAUCAAUUUGUUGCUAAACUACAAAAUUUUCUUUGUGCUACUUCUUGACCUCUUACCUACUUGUAUUUGGAUCUGAAUUUGUUUUUCAUGACUGUCAUUUUCAUACUAAUAGUGUCCUUUUUGCUUAAAUAAACUAGAAUAAGGGUGCAUCUGGUGAGGGUUCAACUGCUUCAACUGCUCCUACAAAGAAAGUAAGAUUAUAAUUGUCACCUCUUACUGCUACUUGCAUCCAUAUUAGCUCGUAAGCAGUGAUUGUCACUGUACCUUUUUAGCUAUAUUUCUAAAGGCAUUUGCUAUUGAUAUGACGUGAAAAGUGCUGGGGGUUCUGUUUUUGCCAUUUUGGUGGAUGUUGUUUACUUCAAUGCUAUGAACUAGAAGUUGAAGUGAUAGCUAAGCAUCUUGAGCAAAUAUAAUUGAAUAGGAGUAAAUCAUUAAAUAAGAUAUAGGUAGCAAAUGGAAUGCUUUUAAGAUUUUGGUUGUUCAGAUAUGGCCCAAGUUUGAGUUUUUUCUUGUCCAACUGCUUUCAAUCUUUCACUACUAUAAACACAAUGCAUAAUUUGUAGUCUGAGUUGAUGUUAUUACCAAAUUCGACCACCUUAAAUGUUUAUGGGUUAGCUACAUAGUCUCUUAUCCAUGUUUCUCAAUUUCACAAUUGUCUUCCUUUCUCUUUUCCAGUAGCAUAUCAACAUGAAAACAAAUGGCCUUUAUCCUAUUCUCGCCUCAUUGACUCCACCUAGAACAAUGUAGCUUGAGCAAUGAACUCUCACAAAAUCAUCAUGUGAAUUUUGAUCUUCAAGUUUCUUUUUGAGUAUGAAUAUAAAUGUCUGUUUUCCCCCCAUAAUACAAUCUUUGUAGGCUCCUGAGGCAAGUAGUCUGCCAACAGCUCCAGCACCAGCUUCUACUGCAUCUGUUGCAAUGUCAGCUAUGUAAGUCCUGCUAUUCUACACUUUUUGGUCAGAUACAGCACCUUUGCAAUUGAUUAAUUGCUUUUUUUUUUUUUCAGGGCUGCACCUGCCACUGAAUCUGCUCCUGUUGCUUCUAGUACUCCUCUGUGAGUAACUUAUUCUUGAUAGUAAAUUUCAUGCUUCUUAUUUGAAGGAUGGAAGCUUUUGAUUUAAUUGAAUUGCUUUUAGUAGGAGGGAUCUUGUGUUUUUCCUUGUUUUCCUUUGCAUACUUGUAAUAUCUUGAAUAAUGUCUUUCAGAAACAGGUCAGAUUCUGAUGUUUAUGGCCAAGCAGCAUCUAACCUGGUUGCAGGGAGUAACUUAGAGGGAACAAUCCAACAAAUUCUUGAUAUGGGUGGAGGGACCUGGGACAGGGACACUGUUGUCCGUGCCCUUCGUGCUGCUUAUAAUAACCCAGAGAGAGCUGUUGAAUAUUUGUAUUCUGUAAGUACCUUCCUUGUAUCUUGAAGAAUAUGUGCGUUCUUGUGUGCUUCUAGUUGCUGUUGUUUUAUUGUUCUCCUUAAUGUAGAUGUGGGAAUAGCCUAAUAAGCUGAGCUCAUCCUGAGAGGCUUUCUUGGAAUGAUGAUUAUGCCAUUUUGUCAUUUUUAAUUUGAUGUAAUUCUAUUUAAAACUUGGCCUUCUCCUUGCCAUGAUUUAUUGGUCGAUGAUGAUUGAAUUUCUGCACACCCAAAAUAUGCCUCCUCUGUUACAUUUUGCUGGUCCUUUUUGACUUGGUGGAUAAGUGUGCGGGAAUUUUGAAUUUUCCUUUGAUGAUAACUCUUUUGAGUUACCCCCCCCCCCAAAAAAAAAAAUGUGAACAGGAAUGUUGGAUUUCUGGUGGGUUUUAAUGAUAUUGUAUACUGCACCCUUAUCUUUCUUUUCUUCUUUUUUAUUUUAAAAUAUAACAAGCACGCAUUUUCUUUCCUAAGCUGCUUCUUGUCAUCGUGUCAUAAAUAAUUGUUGCAAAUGCUAGGGCAUCCCCGAGCAAGCUGAAGCUCCACCUGUGGCCCGUGCUCCUGUAGUUGGGCAAGCCACUAACCCUGCAGCACAACCUCAACAGCCUGCGCAAACGGCAGCUAUUCCUACAAGUGGACCAAAUGCAAAUCCAUUAGACCUCUUUCCCCAGGUAAAAUUGUCAUGCGGUAGACAUUUGAUAAAUUUGAUGAUGGGCAAAUUAACCAGUGACUUGAUGGCCUGUUAUUGAUACAGGGCCUUCCCAACAUGGGUGCAAGUGGUGCUGGGGCUGGCACUCCCCAGGUAAAAUUGUCAUGCGGUAGACAUUUGAUAAAUUUGAUGAUGGGCAAAUUAACCAGUGACUUGAUGGCCUGUUAUUGAUACAGGGCCUUCCCAACAUGGGUGCAAGUGGUGCUGGGGCUGGCACUCUUGAUUUUUUACGGAACAGUCCACAGGUCUCUCCCUUUUCUUAUUUGGUUGUAUAUGGGCUUGUUAGCAUCACUGUUAUGUAAAUACCUACCUAGAACUACACUCAGUUUGCAAUUCUCUUUUCAGUUUCAAGCUUUGCGAGCAAUGGUGCAAGCCAACCCACAAAUAUUGCAGGUAAUUCUCUGGUCCCUUGUUUCCCCCCUUCAAUCCUAGUGUGUUUUUCAUUGUCUUUUCAUCUUUUGUUUUUUUACCUUUCACCUUUCCUCAAUGUCUCCCUUUUCUAUAUUUUUGGCAGCCUAUGCUUCAAGAGUUGGGGAAACAAAAUCCUAAUUUAAUGAGACUUAUUCAAGAGCAUCAGGGUGACUUUCUUCGCUUGAUCAAUGAACCUGCUGAAGGUGGAGAGGGGUGAGUCUUGUUUUCUGUUGCUCAUUUCUUGAACUUAUAUACUGUGUAUGUAUGUCAAGUGUUUAUUUGACAUCUCCUGUUGUAAAGAAACAUUUUGGGGCAAUUAGCUGAGGUGAUGCCGCAAGCUGUGCAAGUCACACCUGAGGAACGUGAAGCCAUAGAACGGGUAUGUUAUCUUUUACAUAAGGGAUGACUUGGAUGUGGUCACUAUUCUCUGUAAUCAUGGAUUAUUUAGCUAUCUUCCCCACUGCCUCUGGAAAUGCCUUCAUUUCCUUGGCCUUUAUCUGAGUUAUGAGAUAUGCAUCACAUCUUUCUUUUAGGCAAUGGUUUUACUUUUAGAUGAUUAAUAAACUCAAAUUUGUUGCAUUGAUCUUGUGCCUACAAAUACUUUUGUAGUCUCCUUAUUCUCUUGUGCAUUCCCCAUCUCUUGCAGCUUGAAGCAAUGGGGUUUGACCGUGCAACUGUGCUCCAAGUGUUCUUUGCGUGCAACAAGAAUGAGGAACUUGCAGCCAACUACCUUUUAGAUCAUAUGCAUGAUUUUCAGGAUUGAGCUGGUAAAAGAAAUGGCUAGGGGAAGUACAAUAUCAUUUUCUCUUUCGUUCUUUGGGUCCAUUGUCAUUCAUGUCCCCCUCCCCUCCCCCCAAAACUCUACCGACUUUAUUCUUAAUCAAGUGAUGUAAGUGUUUGGUGUAGAGACAAGGGAUGUGAAGAUGUUAACUUCAUUUUUUUUUCUUUUUUCUUUUUAUUUCCGAAGGACCCAUUAUUUAUAACGUUAUAUACAAGUUUCUUUCUAAGCUUCUGUGUAUUGUACUUCGCAUUUUAUGCUAUUAUAAGCACUUGCGACAAGGAGCUCCACCCAACUUUCAAGUUUUUCGAUCUGUACUCUUCCCUAAAAUACCUUGUGCAUGAAUUUGGUCGCCCGUCAGAAUGGUUAGAGUCGGGGAUUAGAACCGUGGAAACAGUAUCAAUAAUACGCGGUGAAAUUUUUUGUCGCAAAACAUGUUAAAGUUUUCCUAUUUGCAAAACAUGUUGGCCAUGUACACUAGUCUAACAUGUGGCAAAAUGGUUCGGUUUGGAUUGGGUUAUUUUUGCAUUUGUAUUAUUUAGGGUUCGAUGGGAAUUUGAUUCAAAUUAUUCUAGUCUUAAUUAUAUAUAUUUGGUCAGUUCCGCUUUUAGAUUACUAGUUGUCAUACAAUAAUAGUCUCCGACUUGAGACCAAGAUAAGCUUCGGUUGUCGACUCAUGACCAGGCUAGAUUCCACUAGAUGGAUGCACAAGAGAUGUAGAUCAAGAAGACAAUUAAGGGAGCUCACAGUAUUAGCUCACCGGAGUUGAAGGAAGUUCGUGGUCUCAGCUUGCGUACACCUAAGGAAUUUUCAUGGAGGGGACCGUGAACUCCGUCAUGCGACUUGGAAUGAUAUUCAUUUUCAACAUGCUUUAGGUCUGCUCAAAGUGUCAGUCCUAUGAGUAGUGAGGUUAAGUUAUGAACAUUGAUAAUAUAUAUAUAUAUAAAUACUCGAAUGUUUCCUUUAAUGGGACACAGAACAUUACUCAAUAAUUGGUCUGAUGAGCAUGGACAAACUUUUGAUCGUCAUAUUUUUUAGUUUUCCAGUUUUCUUCAGUUCCAAAGCAAAAAAUGGCUCACCCAAAUAAGAACUUUCCCUUCCAUCUUUUGUCCAAACAGGCUAGAGCAUCAAGUUCAGGCAGUCAACCCAACGAGGAACACUUGUUCGCUAAAUGGUUCACCGAUAGACCAAAAAACUUUGGUAGCACGGCUCGUCAGGGAGUUUCCGGUCCUUUAGACCUGAACGUAUCCACUGGUCAAGGGUUGCCACCUCCCCCUAAUCAAAAGGAACCCCGACAGUAAUUUUUUGCUCUCAGGAGUAGAUGAGGUUCAUGAGGGAGCAAAUGACUACAUAGGAGGCACGGUUUGAGUAGCAACAAACUUUUCAAUUGGAAUUAUUGAAACAGAAUGAGGAGUUGAGAAGGUAUGUAAACUCUGACACUUUUGACUUUCAUGACAAUGUGAACGAGCAGGAUAAAGCUCUGGGCAUGCAUGCAAGGAAUAGCAAAGCGAGAUAGAUGAGUUGCGGCAAUAUGUACGAGUGUUGCACCCCGAGUCUCAGGACACGAAUUGGUUGUUUUGUUCUAACAAUCCAUUGGCUCCUAAUAUAGCAACGGUGAACUUCCCGUGUGAUUUCAAAGUUCCAAAGGACAUGUUUGAGGGGAAAAGGGACCCGUGAGCCCAUUUGAUGCAAUACAAUGACUACACGAACAUACUAAGAGCAUCAGAUUUAGUAAAAUUUAAGGCCUUUUCUAUGAAGCUUAAGGGAAGUGCGAAGGAUUAGUAUUUGUCCUUUCCUUGGGGAUCAAUUCGAAGCUUCUUUCAGUUGGGCCGAAUGUUUUUGGGAAGGUUCAGAGCUCAUAAAACGACCAUGAGCACACCUAUGAGAGUAAUGUCGGUUAAACAAAAGGAGAGUGAGACCCUCCAAGCUUAUGCCAACUAGUUUCGUGUAGUGAUUUUGAACACGAAGAAUUUAGAGGAUCAAUGGGAUAUUAAUGCCUUCAUAAUUGAGGUACAAAAUGACCAUGUAUAAUACUCCUUUACUGAUAACAGAUGACAGAGUUUGGUUGAUCUCUACGAGCGGGCCCAUAAGUUCGCAGAGGCAGAAUAGAUCAAGAGGGCAUCACGUGGCACUUUUCAGAGGGAAUACAAGCAAUUUAGAAAUCGAGAGGGAGUUCACAACAGGCAGGGUCCUCGUAACCAAUCGUUGUGAGAGAGAGGUGAUGGACCGCAAAGAAGUCAGAUGCACGGUGAUUCUCUCAGGGCUCCCUAAAGAUCUCAGUCGGAGUAUACCAGAAGAUAUAUCCCAUUGCAGGUUCGAAGUUUAUACUCCUUCGAACGCUACUCACACUUAUAUUUUGAACUAGAUAAACAGCCUUGGGAUUCUGCUUAAGCCAUCUCCAAUGAGGCACAACACGAAGAGAUCCAACUUGAGAGACAAAUAUGUCUUCCACAAUGAUGUUGGGCACAAGACUGAAGAUUGUUUCACCCUGAAGGAUGUCAUUGAUGAAACAGUGAGAAACAGUGAGCUCACUGAGUUUGAUGAUCAGGGUGUUUUCCAGCAGGGUCAAAGUUCGCGGGACUAUUUUAAAGGUAAACAGAAUGUUAGGGGUACCAUCCAUAUGAUAGUUAGAACGGAUGAAGAGUGGGCAACCUCUAGCACUAAGAGGAAGGCACACCUCAACGGUGUCAUGCCUAUUGGUUCACCUAAGAGGUUGCACCAACAGGAGAGAUAGAAAGUGGACUUCACUCAUGAGGAUAAAGAGUUAGUGUGUGAUGAAAAUGGAAAUGAUCCUAUUGUAAUGACAACAACCAUUGUCGAUUUUGAGGUGAAAAGGAUUUUUGUGGACAGUAAGAGUGCCAUUGAGGUUCUAACUUAGGAUGAUUUUUAGAAAAUAGGGUUAAAAAAAAGACAUUGAAGAAGGCGAGCCUACUGUACGGUUUUACAAACUACACCAUCGAAGUAAAAGACUCUAUUACCUUGUUAGUGACUUUGGGAGAUGGCAAGCAUACCACCACGGAGUAUGUCCAGUUUUUCAUGAUGGACCAUGUCUUAUAAUGUAAUUUUUAGACAUUUGAUCAUGAGGAUGGCAAGGAUGAUGGUGAUCACUUUUUGUAUGAAAAUAAAGUUUCCCAUGCAAUUAGAUCAUCAAAGAGCAACUAGGCAAUGCCACAUGUUGUCAGUACAACAGGCUCAUGAUCAGGAACAACAAGGGCAAAGUUCGCAGCAGUCGAAAUUGGAUGGGCAGUUGUUAGAUUUGGAUAGCCUGGAUAACAGAUGCGAUGAGCGAGCUAAAAAGCCAGAUGUAGUCGAGGCUAUAGAAACUUUGCCAAUUUUUAAUGGUAGUACAAAUAAGGUGGUGAGAAUUUCAUCUGCGUUGACGAGUGAGGAAAAAAAUUUUUGAUUCGUUGCUUGAGAGCUAAUGCUGAUAUUUUUGCUUGGUCUGCUAUAGAUAUGCCAAGGGUGGACCCUCAAGUAAUUGUGCACAGGUUGAAUGUUCUAUCUGAAAGCCAGAUCUGUGAAGCAAAAGAGGAGAUGGUUCGCGCCGCAAGUUGUAGAGGUUGUAAGGUAAGAGGUUGUGAAGCUAUUGGCUUCAGGGUUCAUCAGGGAGGUCGAGUACCCGAAUUGGAUCUCGAAUGUUGUAAUGGUGAAGAAUGCGAGUGGUAAAUGGAGAAUGUGUAUAGCUUUUACCAAUUUGAACAAGGCUUAUCCCAAGCAUAGCUUCCCACUUCCUUUGAUUGACAGACUUGCUAACGUGUCCUCCGGUAACAAAUUCAUGUGCUGUAUGGAUAUUUUCUUUGGAUAUAAUCAUAUCUUCAUGGCUCCUAAAGAUUAAGAGAAAAAUAGCUUUUGUUAUAGAAGAAGAUUUAUUUUACUAUCGUGUGAUGCCUUUUGGUUUAAAAAAAUGCAGGUGCAACUUACUAGAGGUUGGUGAACCAAAUUUUUAGAGAGUAGAUCGGACGAAGUGUCGAGGUUUAUGUCUAUAAAUUGUUAGUGAAGGGCUCCACUCUCACCGAGCAUGUUGAUAAUCUAUCUGAGGCAUUUGCAAUAUUGCAAGCCCAUCAAAUGAGGUUAAACCCAGAUAAGUGCGCAUUCGGGGUUAAAGUUGGUAAAUUUUUGGGCUUUGUGAUCUCGAAAAGAGGAAUUGAAGUGAACCCUGAGAAUAUUCAAGCCAUCCUGGAAAUUCCUCAUCCAAUGGUAAUAAAGGAUAUCCAACAGUUGACUAGAAGGGUGGUCGUGCUCAAUAGAUUUGUGUCACGAAUGGCUGACAAGUGUCUACCUUUUUUCAAGGCCCUUUGCACCUCUUUUUCCUGGAUAGAGGAAUGCCAAACAGCUUUUGAGAAGCUCAAAGAGUACGUCACACCCCCUCCAUUAUUAAUGUCACCUUGUAAAGGAGAAGCCCUUUAUUUAUACCUUGCCACGUCUGAGGAAACUGUGGCAGCUGUCUUGUUCAGGGUAGAAGGUGUUUGACAAUCCCCCAUAUACUAUAUCAAUAAGGUGCUGCAAAAUGAUGAACUUAGGUAAGCGAAAGUUGAAAAUUUCAUUUUCACUUUAAUUAUUGCAGCUUACAAUCUGCAAUCAUACUUCCUAGCCCAUCCGUAGUAGUCGUGAUGAAUCAGUCCAUCAAAUAAAUUUUGUUUAAACCUGACACCUCCGAAAGAGUGACCAAAUAGAGUAUAGAGCUCGUUAAGUUUGGUAUAGAAUUCACACCACAAACUGCAAUAAAGGGGUAAGUUUUGGUUGACUUCAUGGUUGAAUGUUCGUUUGAGGCACCCACCAACUCCUCAGGUAACCCGGUUCAUAAAUGAUAAACUCCACAUUACAAAAUAGAAAAAUAAUAUAUUUAAACUGUAAUUCGCUACAAGUUUCAAUAGCGAUCUUUGGUCCUUUACGUUACCUCUAUAAUAACUUAUGAAAAAUUUCUAAUUUGUAUUAAUUUUUUUUUCUAUUUGUUGCAUGCUACAUAAUAGUUAGUCUGCCACAAAAAGAAACUAUGACCACUAACAAAUCAAAAUAUUAGUUGGUUUGUGUUGAUGGAUCUACGGUAAAGACUGGAUCAGGAGCAGGAGUACUAUUGGUGGAUCCUAAAGGAAAUGAGUGGCAAUAUGAACUCUCUUUUUUUAUUUCAGACAUCUAAUAACGCUGCAAAGUACGAGGUGUUGGUAUCAUGGUUGCAGUUAGCUCGACAGCCUAGAGUGAGAGAACUUGUUGUUCAUACAGAUUCCCAGUUGGCCGCCAAAUAGUUGAACAACAAGUAUGAGGUCAAUGAGUCAGGGUUGAAGAAAUUCCACUCAAUUGCAACCCAGUUGCUAGCAGAGUUUGAUAAGAUACAAGUGAAACAAGUCCCAAUGAGUGAUAACAUAUGAGCAGACGCAAUGUCUAAGCUAGCAUCUUCUAUUGUCAUCGAGCAAAAGGAAAAGAUUCUGUUGGAGCACAGGGAAGCCCCAAGUAACGAUGCACUCCAAGUAUAUGUUGUAGAUCAAGAAGACAUAUGGAUGACUUCUAUAGUUUGUGUAUUACAGGGGAUAAAUGACUGCUCAGAUAAAAAAGAGCUCACAAAAUUACAACGCAAAGUUGCGAGGUAUACCCUUUUAGAAGGUUUAUUGUAUAACAGAGGAUUCUCACAACCACUGCUACGAUCUCUGACGCCAUCAGAGGUUGAGUAUGUGAUGCGAGAGAUUCAUGAAGAGAUUUGUGGCGAACACUUGGGUGGAAGAUUGCUCGCCCAAAAAAUCUUUAGGCAAUGAUAUUAUAGGCCCAUAGUUCAGAAAGACACACAUGCAACUUAAGGAGUCAACAUCCUCGGCUUAUUCCCUAUAGCCACAGCACAGAAGAAAUUCAUAGUGGUCGCGGUGGACUACUUUACCAAAUGGAUUGAAGCUGAGGCUCUAGCAACCAUCAGUGAGAGGCAAAUGGAAUCUUUCCUUUGGAAGUCUAUUGUAUGUAGGUUCGGUGUACUACGUCCAAUAAUCAUGAAAAAUGGUACACAAUUCCAAGGGAAAUUUAAGAAAUUUUGUGUUAAUCUUUAUAUCUCCUUAACUCAAAGCUCUAUGAAAACACCCCAAACCAAUGGGCAAGUUGAGACUAUGAAUAAGAAGAUUUUGAUAGCUUCAAAGAAGAAAGUGGGAGAGGCUAAAGGUGCUUGGUUAGAGGAACUACUUGGAAUUUAUUGGGCCCUGCGAACAUCCCCUCACACUGUAACAAGAGAGACAAUAUUCUCGAUGGUUUACGGCGCAGAAGCAGCAAUUCUCGCUGAGAUUGGCAUGCACUCACAUAGAACAAUAUACUUCGAUGAAAAUGCCAACUAAGAAGCUAUGAAGCUCAACCUUGAUCUCAUUGAUGAGGUUAGAGAAGCAAUAGAAAUCAGGAAUGCGGCACAUGCCCAGCAAGUAGCUCGCUACUAUAAUUCUAAGGUAAAAAAACAAACAGUUUUAAGUUGGUGACCUUGUGCUUAAAAACACUGAAGCCAGCUUCCCAGCUUCGCAACAAGGAAAUAUGUCCUCAAGAUAGGAAGGAUUGUACAAAGUUGUACAAAAGAUAGGCUACAGAGCGUACAAAUUGGCAAGACUGGAAGGCACAACUUAGAGCCAUCUUUCUUUGUUGCGAAGCUGAGAAGCUGGCUUUAGUAUUUUAAACAUUCUGUAAACCCGUACAUAGAAUGCACGUUAUUUUAAAAAUAUUAUGCGUAAAUUUUGAUACUCUAAUGAAAAGAUGUUCUUUCAAUAGUAUAUUUACUUUACAUGAUCCUCCCUCCAAAAUAAUUAGCGAGAGCUAAGGCUCGUAGGUUCAAUACCGCAGCCUCCAAAACAGUUAGUGAAAGCUCAAGCUCCCAGCUAUAAUCUUAGAACUCGCGAGUUCAGUAUUGCAGCCUCCAAAAUAGUUAGCGAGAGCUACAGCUCCCAACUAUAAUCUUAAAGCUCGCAAAUUCAAUACCGCAGCCUCCAAAAUAAUUAGCGAGAGCUCAGGCUCCCAGAUGUAAUCUUAAGGCUCAUAGCCUCUAAAAUAGUUAGUGAAAGCUCAGGCUCCCAGCUGUAAUCUUAAGGCUUGUAGGUUUAAUACCGCAAUCAUCAAGAUAGUUAGCAAGAGCUCAAGCUCUCAAUUGCAAACUUAUGGCUCGCAAGUUCGGACAACGCAGCCUACAAAGUAGUUGAAACUCACGAAUUAAGUUUAAAAUUGGUUCAAAGAUAACCUAAAAUCCAAAACUUGUUUAAAUUUGUUUAAGUUAAAAAUUUGCUCAAGUUCACGGAAAGGUAAAAUGUCAUAACAUUAAAAAAUAAAUUCGAAAACUUCAAUUCUUUCGUCAAGAUCACCACAGACCUCAUUCUCCCUCCCUUCUCCCUCAACAACUUUAGCAUUAUCAAUAGUAGAGUCAACAGCGAUGUCAUCACCAGCAGGCAUAAUAGUUGGUUUAGAAGGACUCUCUUCGAGGUAAAAACCCCUGAAAUUUUCCAUUUGGAUGUGAACUCAUCUUAAGCGACUCUUAAAGGACAACAAACAUCAAAGUCAAGAUGGUCUAUCUCUACCUUAGCGAGAAUAUCGAAAUCAACCUUGUGAACAUUAAAAGGCCCAGCAGCAACUUGAGCGUGCAGAAGAAUAUUGAGUUUGAGCUCAGCAGUGACAUCACUCAACAUCCCCAAAGUGUUCUUCUUAAAACCCUCAAAAGCCUCUUCUCGUUUUCGUUUUAACUUCACCGUUACAGCCUCAUGUUCUGUAGUGAUUUUGUUUACAACUGUUUUAUGCUCUUCUACAACCCUUCUCAACUCAGCAUCCAAGGCCAUGAUAUCGUUGGAUAGUGCAUCAUUUUUCACUUGUUCAGUUUUUAACUUCCCAAUGAGCUCAUCAUUUUGUUUGUAGAGCACAUCAUUCUCAAUCCUUAUCUUCUGCUAUUGCUCCUGAGUGCUUUUAAGAUUUCCUUCAAGCUCCUUUUAAAUAGCCUUUGUCCUGAUAAUUUUCUCUUCAAAGCCCAGACUGAUCAUGAAGGCCUCAACGAGGAAAGCUUGCAAAGAGAAGCUGAGUGUUAACAAUGCAGAUUUCUGCGAACUCCCAGAUGAGUCAUCAACGCAUAUCUUCUUCUUCGCAGCCUCUAGCACUAAAGCUCUCCAAUUCUCUACAAUACCUUGCAGCUCUUUAGUGUUUAAGUUACGGUGACUCGGAGCUAGCUUACCACAGUUUUUAGUAGGUACCUCAUCAGCAAGAGGUGCAGUAAGGGGAAAAAUAUAGGGAGAAUGAGAGUUACCACGAGCAAUGAUAGGAGAACUCUUAUGAGCCACAGUUUGUGAGCUCACUAACGGGGACGCAAGGGUGGUGGCCACCAUAGAAGUCCCCGUGCGAUCUGCUCUCCUUUUGCGGUGAGACUUUAUCUUGCCACUAUUUGUCUCUUCCUCACUGCUAGCCAUCAUGUUAAUAGCUCUCAUAUCAAUUCUAUGCCUCUUGUGCUAAGCCUUCAGAACAGCUCGCAAGUCUAUAGCCUCGAUAAUUUCCAUGGCUUCGUUAAGUUCUUGUGAAGUGCUGAUAGUUUCCUCAAUAUCACUUUCUAAACUGCAGGCUGUGUCUGAAUCACCAAAAACCCUAGCACUAGCAUGAGUAGUUAUCAAAUUAACAUAUGGACCACUUUCUACCAGUUGUGAGCCCAACACCACCUAGGGACAAGGCUUUAUCUUACAAUAACUAUAAUAGAAAUUUUUGGGUUCUUCUUUUAAUCCUAUUAGAAUUUGAUCCAAGUGAUCAUCAUCACCAUAAAGAACAUAUGGCCAUGAUUUCCCCUUAGAGGCCACACCUAACACCUCAGUAAAUUCUCUACUGUUACCUCGUUUAUAUCCAUUAGGGCUAUGACCAUCCUAAUAGUAUAAGAAAAUAUUUCUCACGGUUACGACAUAUUCAAUAAUUAGGGAACUACCAACUUUGAGCCUUCUCAAUUGGGCUUCACCUCCAUCUGUUCUAAUAGUUCGCUGGAAGGAGUACACAUCCUCACUCGAUGCGAACCAUUCUGUAGGAAAGCUAAACCCAUCUACGAGCUUGCAUUUCACCCUGAUAUACUUCCCCUAGUUCAACUGAAGGUUGGGACAUCAGUUCACAAUUAUGGUUGGACCUUUUUCGCAGUGAGAGAAGUAAUGAAAACCCACUGAAUUCGCUCGAUUCUAGGCCUUUAAUAGAUACAAACUCUGGAAAAUUGUGAGUUUUGGUACUUCAUUGCGGCGGUAACAGUCAACAAAGUAGGCCACAGCGAUCCACCAUGAAAAUCUACAAAGUUGACUAGGGGAAAUCUGGUAAUCAUCAAUAAGAUUGCAGAAGAACGGGUUCAAAGGCAGGUGAAACCUAGCAUCCAAGGCAUAGAGGAGGAGCAAGAACCUACCAUCAUUGGUAUCACUGAGCCUGUGUGAUACCUCAAGAAUAGAGAAUUCGUAGGCAAAAUUGGGAAUCUCGAUUCCCCGCGUAUGUAAGGCCCGAUGCAUCUCUUCUUAUUUUGUAGUGUAGGGGAAAAAGUUGGCUUUGACAAGGGUUUUAAAAGCACGCUCUCGCAGUGGGCAAUGCGAAACUAAUUGACCAAGAGCUCCUCUUAUUCUCGACAUGUUUUCGACGCAGAAAGAAGAAGAAAAUAAUAGAGGAAAUUUAAAGCCUAAGAUGAAAAGUUACUGAGAUUUACCUUGAAAAAAAGCUUUAACUAAUUUCGGUUAUAAAAAUAUUAAGAGUGAGAGUUUUAGGGUUUUAAAAAACCCCAUUUUAAAGAAGUCUCUUCCCUCCACAUUCUGGUGGUUCAAAUAAACGAGGGACACCAACGGUCAGAUACACGCGAGCAAGAUCUAUCCCUACAUAUGGUGAAGUUGGCAUAAGGUCAUAAUAAACACUGCGUAUUCUGCAGGUUGUAAUAAAUACGAAUUGGUAGCCCCAAAGAGUGCCACUUUAUAACCCUCCUUAGGCCUACUAGGGGGACUAGAUUGUCAUACAGUAAUAGUCACUGACCUGAAACCCAAAUAUGCUUCGGGUCGCCGACCUGCGACCUAGCUAGACCCUACUAGAUGGAUGCACACAAGACGUACAGCGAGAGGACAGUGAGGGGAGCUUGCGAUAUCAGCUCAUAGGAGUUGAAGGGAGCUCGUGAUAUCAACCCACAAGAGUUGAAGGGAGUUCGCAGUCCUAACUCGCAUACACCCAAGGAGUUUACAUGGAGGGGACUGUGAAUGUCAGCAUGCAACUUGGAACGAUACACAUGUCCAAUAUGCCCAAUGCCUGCUCAGAGUGUCAGUCCUAUGAAUAGUAGGGUCAAGUCAUGAACAGUGGAGUCAAAUCAUGAACAGUGAUAAUAUGUAUAAAUUCUCAGAUGUUUUCUUUAAUGAAACACAGAGAAUUACUCAACACUAGUUUAGUAAAAUUUUGUACGGAUUGCAUAACAAAAGUUACAUAAAUGAAAGUACGAAAACAACACAGAGGAAUAGAUUCAAUGUAUUACUACCUAUGGUAAAUGCAUUCUCUCAAGAUUAUAGUAGAUACAUAGAAAUUAAUUUACUUUUUUGAAAGUGUUAUUUAAUAAUAUAAAAUUAAAUAAUUUAAUCUAAAAUGCUAAUUAAAUUAAUUAGCAAUCAUAGUUGUAUUUAUAUUUCAAAUUGGACAAUUAAAUUAUUUUACCGUUAAAGUUUAAUAUGGUAAAAUUUUCAUUUUAGGAUAAUUAAAAUUGAUUUUACUUUGGCCUACAAAAUGUGGAGGAUUAGUGACUGGGCUCGCUCCGGUAGAUACAUUGAGAAAUAAAAAAAUUGGGUUUACGUUAUUUAAUUGAAUUAAUAAUAUUAAUUAAUAAUAAAAUAAUUUAUUUUUGAAAUAAAAAACUAACUAUUAGGUUGGGUAAUCAUAUAAGCUUAUUUUUAAUUUAAAUUGAAGGUUGUAUUACAGAUAUAAUUAGAUCCAACACAUGAAGAUUUGAGAAACUCAUUUUUGGGCAUGUGCCAUGAUAUCUAAGGGAGUGACUCCUUGGUGUCAUUGGCCUAUUGAGUAGGGAGUCCUAGUAGGACUCAGUUUUCUAUUAAAACAUUAUUAUGCUUCUCUCAUUCAACUUUUGUGAUUUUCUCAUACAUAUAUAGGGGUGCCAGAAUUUAAAAGAAUUUUUGUAGGGGUACUUUGUUGAAAUUUAGUGAGAAAUUUAUUUGAGUUAUUUUUCUUAACUCAAAUAAGUUCUAUUAUUCUUGAGUUUUCCUAUCUGAUUUGUGAGAUCGUAAUUGAAAUUCUCAUAAGAAACUAUAAUUCAAUUUUAGAAGUUAAAUUUUAAUUCCCCCCAUUCUAUAGAGAAAGUCAACUUCCACCCCUUAAGAAAUCUCAGUUUUCGUCUAGUGUUCAGUUCUUUGAGUUAGUGUCCCUUCUUUAAGCAUUUGAGAGUUUGAGAAUAUUGGAAAUGACAUUCAGUUGAAAUCUUAAAGGAUUUGUAUUCAAAUUAGAUCGUUUGACAAUCGAAACCAUCUCAUAUGCUACUUGCAGUUUCACCUAUCUCCCUAACUCAGAAACAUAGAUACUUUAUUUUAUCAAAUUUAUUACCAAAUAUCAUGAUAAUGGUCUUUUUUUAUGAAAAAAAUUUAAAAUUCUAUUGUGCCAACUCAAACGCUUUUUAUAUCAAUUUUUUUAACAAUUGGCAUUAGAGCUUUGGUCGUGCUAUGUAGAAUAGUAUAAAUUGUUGACCAAAUUGGUUCCUCUUUCUCUUGUGCAUAUGUAUAUGAUAUUUAUUAUGAUAUUAAAAUGAUAGCUACUUUUUUUAUAUAAUGAAAGGUAUGUGAUUACAUAUGUAUCGAUAUUGUUAAACUGUGAGCUCGGCCCCAACCGAUGUUAGACAUAGUUAGGGUAUAGUUAACAUGCCAUAAGAUUCGUAUAUGUAUUAGUAGGAGCAUUCUGGCACUUCCGUGUAUUCAUUCUAGCACUUAGGUGCAAUACAUUUUGUGGAGUGUUAAGGGGAUCAAUACGUUAAUGUCUGAUCAAUACUUUGGUGCUUAUUGUGGAGUUUUAGUGGAUAAAUCUGCAUAAUCAUACUUGUGUCUGUAUCCAAUUAAUAGGGUUAUAAAUAAAUGUUUAUUAUGUCAUUUUGAUUUUGAAAAUGAUACGUUAUUCUAAUUUGUGGAUAAACUUCGUUUUGAAUAUGAUAAGCGAACAUCACUCUAAUUUUGCUCAUAAUAAGUUAUCCUAAAAAUGACUUGUUUUAAUUGCUUUUAUGUUUAACUUCAAAUUAUGCUAGUACCACUAAGUAAUCAAUACUCAACAUAUGAAUUUGUUUGUUAUCGUAUGCAGGUAUCGUAGGCUUUUAAGGUGAUCGUGCAUCAUUAGCAUCCAAGCAAUCAACACUCAGCUCAGCUAUCCAUUGUAAGGUUUUAAUUAUGCUUAAUUAUGUAUGGCAUGUACCUAAGUAAUUAGGAAGUGUUUUGGAGUGCUUAUGAUAUUUUGUUUGUAUAUAUCUAUGCUCAUGUUUUGGUAUACUUGGUAAGGUGACCUAUAAGGUUUCCAAGGUUGAUUUUCAAGCUUUGUUUAUUAGCUAGUUGUGCAUGGUUAUAUAGGUUUAAAAAAAGUAUGUUAGUUGAUAAAUUUGUCUAGUUGUAUUGGACAGUAUGCUUGGAUGGUAUUUGAUUGUGAUUACAUGUGUUGAAUUGAUGGUUAUUGCAUUGGUGCAAUGUUUAGGCAUGUUUUAGGUAUAACUUGUUAUGGUUGAAAUGCUUAAAAUAGGCAUUUUUAGUUAUUUUGUCAUUCAGUCUUGAGACAGGAAGGACAUGUCUUGAGACCGUUAGAAUAAAAUUUACCUUAUUGUUCGUGCAAAAUCUUAAUGUCUUGAAACAUUCCAAGUUAGUCUCAAGACAAAGUGGCUCUAGGUUAGAAUAAAAUUUACCUUAUUGUUCGUGCAAAAUCUUAAUGUCUUGAAACAUUCCAAGUUAGUCUCAAGACAAAGUGGCUCUAGUCUUGAGACAAUGGUACAUCGAAGUUAAACUAGUUUUGCCCUAUUUUAGCUCUCAAGACAUCCAAACAUCGAAGCUAAAAUAACAAAACAAUGGAGCCCUAUCUCAAACACAGUCUCGAGACUUGAGAAGCCAUGUUUCGAGAUCUGUCAUCAUCGAAGUACAAUGUUGAAAUUUUAUUAAUAGAGUUUGGAUUUGAACCUUAACUCUAUUUUUUAUCGAAUGCAAACAUAUAACCCUAUUUGUAGAAUCAUAUAACAUCGAAUCAUCAUGUUUAUGUUGAUAAUUGUUAUUAUAUGUGAUUAUUAUAAAUUAAUGUCAAAUUGUUUUAUUAAAUUACUUGAAAUAAAUUGAGUUGUUUAGGCAACGUAAUGUGACGUCACGCACUUAGAUUCAACGUAUGGAUCGGAUGUGGGGUGUCACAUCUAGUUGAUGCAAAACUUUAUAUUUUCCAUGAGAUCAAAGUUUCAAAAAUCAUGGAAAAGUCAAAUUUCAAAAACAUGAUCAAGUUUUAUGUUGAGCAUCCUGAACAUUUAUAGUAAAAAGAAUAAGACAACAUGGUUUACUUGCUAAAAUGGACCAUUUUAUGAUUUAACAUCAAGAUUGAUGAACAUCUGAUAAGUUUAAGCCUUAAUAAGAACCUUUACGAAUUUACACUUUACUUAAAGUAUUAUGGCUUUGGAAUGGUCAUUGGUUCACUUGAUAUGGAUGACCUCUUAACUAUAAAAGCAAUGAAAGUCUCAUUACGAAAUUUAAGUUGAAAUGCAAAAUGCUUUUGAGAUGAUUGAUCUUUAAUUGAUGAUCUAUUUCCUUAGAAUGAAGAUUAAGCAAAACUAAGAAAAAAAAAUCAUUUGUCAAAGAAAAUAUGCCAAAUUUUUUUUAAUAAGUUUCAUAUGAAAGAAUUUAAGAUCAUGAAUACUUUUAUGAAUUCAGAUGAGAAACACAACAAGGAUGGAGUUGAGUGUAUGAAAAUAUUUUAUAUUAAAAAAUUUUAUGAAUUCAUGUUGUGUGAUGUAUCCCUAAAAAAACAAAGCCUAACAUCUUGUAUGUUGUAAGUAUUUUAUCUUAUGUCAUGCAUUGUGUAAGUGGCUUACACAUAAAAGAGUGUUAAAAAAUGUUAUCAAAUAUGUCAAAAGGGACCAUCAAUUGGGGUGUCAAGUUCAACAAGUGCUAGAAGUUUUAAGAUUAUUGGAUUUUUUUAUAGUGACUAGAUAAACUCUUUAGAUUAUAUGAAGAGUACCUCUACGAAUUGUUUCAGCUUGCACAAUCGAUAGUAGAAGUUGAUUUCUUAUUUGCAAUAGCAAUUUUCAAUCAAGGCUUAUAAUUGAGAAGAUUAUACUCAAAGGCAAAGCGAAUAAUUUUUUAAGGGGUGAGGUAAUAUUACAAAAUUUUAAGGGGCAAAGUAUUUAAAAAUUUAUUAAAAGGUAUUGAAAUAAAUUUUAAAUUUUUUUGAGGAGCCAAAAAUGUAAGUGUUCCAUUUUUAAAGCUCUAAAAAGAUUUGAUUGAAUGAAUAAUUAUAUGGAGGGGUCUUAAAUUAAAAUUACCCCUUUUAAUUAGAGGGCAAAGGCCCCUUUGCUUCGCAACUGAUUCUGCUUGAAUAGACAAUCAAACUGCAAUUCAAUCUUUCAUGAAAAGACCAAACAUUUCAACGAUAAGCGCUUUUUUUGUUGUUAAUAUAGUGCAGAAAAAUGGUUAAUUAUCUUGGUUUUCUUGCUGUCAAUUUUCACUAAGCAAACGAGUCUGAGUUUUGAGAAAAUAACUUAACUACUACAGAUAUAUGAUUUGAAAUUAAUCAUAACAACAUAAAAAAAUGUACGAUAUUAAAAUAAAAAAAUUAAAUACAUAAAUACAUCAGACUAACAAUAUACAUUAUAAUUGUUUAUUAUGAAGUUGUCAUUAAUCAUUAGUGUCGAGUUAAUUUGUAAUGUUAAAUUAAUUAACAACAUUGCUAAUGUUAGAAACUCAAUCACACAUGUAAGUGUGUGGAAAUCACAUAUUUAGAAUACAGAUUUAUGUUUAAAAAUAGCAUACAAUAAAUAAUGAAAUGUAUGAUUUAAAACUAAUUAAUUAUAACAUAUGAAAUAUGUACGAUGUUAAAAUAAAAAAUAGAUUAAAUUGUAAGUAAAACUAAAUUUAAACAUACGAAUACAUCAUAUUAAGAUUAUUGUAUGAAUACAACUAUUUAUCAUGGUGUUGUCAUUAAUUCUAAGUUGAUAUCAAGUUAAUUAGUGACACCAUCUCAAUCAACAACAUUAUUAAUACUAGGUUUUUCACACCACAGAGUGUACGGCAACAUUUUAUAUUAAAAAUAUUUUUAUAAAAAUAUUUUAACAAAUGAUUAUUGGUGGAGUGACAAUAAAUUUUAUAUAAAUUUGUUGUUCUUGGUUCGUUUCACAAAUAAUUUUUUUAUUUGAAGACAAUAAAAAAGUACGAAAAAAUAAAAAAUACCCUUAUAAUAAUAUUAGUUACCCAUUAAAGGAUGUUUUACUAAUUUCACAAUUGAGUUGAUGUCGGGUUGACUCAUGAUACCAACUCAAUCAUACAUUUUAUAUAUAGUAUAGAUAUACUAAUAAAGUAUGCAUAAAAAAUUAAAAUAUCUAAAAAUGUUAAAAUUAAACUUUGAUUGAGUAGUAAAUUUAAGGUUUUACUAACUCAAUGAACAUGUGUUCAAAUCUUAUCAUAUUCAUAUACUUUUUUUUAAGUAAAAGACUAACGUGCCUUUAAAUAACCUAAUUUAUUUUAUAUGUGAAAGGAUAUUAAAAUAAUUUUUUUAACUGAAUUUAGAUCCAAUUAAUAAGUACAUCAACUCAGUAAAGAUAUAAACUCUAUUUUUAAUUAUUUUCUAUAUACAUAAAAAAUAAAAAAUUUACUUCAACUUGUAAUUGAAUUGAAUUUAAUUUAAUCUCUUUGUUGUCAUUGCUAUUUUUACCUUCAUUAUUUUAACUUAUUUACGAUUGACAGUCGCAUUAAACAACAGGAUCUCUUAGUUAAAUAUUGUAUAAAAGAAAAAAAAAGAAGAAGCUGCAAUUACCCACAUUAUGAUAUAUGAUAAAGAAAUUGUCUUCUCUGUUCCUUUCUCUCGGACCUUAUAAUCAUAAAAAUUCAGAAAUUUCAGAUUUAUUUGUCACUUUCAAUAACAGAAAAGUGUGGGUUAGUCAAAUCAUUCAUGAAAACAACUUUAGCAUGAAUUUGAGGACUCCAAUUUUGGCUGUUGCUGAUUAUGUGAAAUGGAAUUUUCCUUCCUUCUCGGCCUCACAAUGUGCCCUUGUUUUAUUUCCUUUUUCUGAUGCAUGUGUAACAAAUUUGUUUUCAUUUUUUGUCAUAUAAAAACAAACAAAAACUCUAUAAAUAUCAGGUUUAUUAAAAAUAAACACAAACUGAAAGUCCCAAAAUGCCCUAAACUGUUGAAAUAAGUAACUAAAAUGAUGGAACAGAGCGAGAAGUUGGAGCUGUAAGUGUAUGGUGGUUUCUGUGGGUUAAGAAGUGAAGAAAGUGCGGAAGGUAAGAGGAAAGGUUUGGGUUGGGUUGGGUUGGGUAGGAUUGCACAGAUGAUGAAGGAUGUUGUAGUAGAGUUAUGAGUAUCAGCUGCACCCAACAACAUUAUGACACAUAUCCUUAGUCUCUCCAACAUAUAUUAUUGUCUUUGAAUUUGAAACGACUCUACCCAAUGGAAAAAGCUAAUGAACAAAAAAGAUGAUGCAUAGAACAACAGACGCAGAGCACGCCGAAAGAGACGCUUAGCAACCGACUCCAAACCACACAUUCGCUCGGUUACGAGGAGCCUGCCAUUCUAUUCUUAUCUACAUCACUCUUGACCCUGCCAAAAAAAUUGAAUUAGGACACCAAAGUCACCCCCCCCCCUUGCAUUGCAUUUGCUUAUUCUAAUUAUUAACUAGUAUAUAUCUAAAGCUGUCAUUCCCAUCCAUUAAUUUGAUUUCAAAUCAUAAUGAUGGCAGACUAGAGAAGACGCGGUUCCUUUCUAUGUAUUCAUCAUUCUUUGAGAUUCUGUGAUUUUUUCUUUAGUUUUGCUUGCAUCAUCACAGACGUCAAGAGCUUACCUUUUUUGUUGUAAAAAAAUAAAACCAUAGAUUUUGUAAAUGUUGAUGGUAAAAUUUAUUGAAUUUUUUAGAGUUAGAAUUAAAUGAUAAAUUUUGUAAGUAUUAAAGACUAAAUUUGUUUAAUUUUUUAUAUUUAAAAUGAAAUUGAUAGAAUGCAUAAAAAUUAGAAGGCUAAUUUUGUUACUAGACCAAUAAAAAAAAGCUCAUAUAAGUUUGGAGUUAGUAUAAUAUUUAAUUUCAAAAAGUUUAGUGACUAAAUAAAAAAAAUAGUUAAGUGACCAAAAUAGAAUGAAAGGCAUAGUUGGAUGAUCAUUUUUAUAGUUUACCCCUAAAAAAUAAUUUUCAGCAUAUUCACGUCUUCGUUUAGUUAAAAAAAUUUAACAGAAGGGCUAAUUUACAUGUUUCGAAAUGAAUAAGAGCUAAUGUACUCAUUUUUUUAGUAGAGAGACCGAAAUGCAAUUCACCCCUAGUUAGAGGCUUCCCUAGAACUUUUACCAUUUUCUUUGAUGGAGUGACCAUUAUUAUUAUGAAAUUUUUAUUUCACUUCUCUUCACAUAAUAAGAGCAAUCAAAAUUUUUAAAAUAAAUAAUUGAUAAAAUCAUAUAGAUAAAUUAUCAUAAUUAAGUUCAAUUGUUUGAAACAAAUAACAGUUCAAUGGUUAUUGAUUAAAUUCAUAUGAUAAAAUUAAUGUGUGGCAAAAAUAAAUUUUAUAAAUUAUCGUUAUGAAAAUAUUAAGACAAAAAAAUGUUAAAGAAGGUGAACUUGUAAAAAAAAUUAUAAUAAUAACAAUUUAGUAAAAUUAUGUUUAAAUAAUCUUACAUUUCGCCACCCAAAUAAGAAAACCUUAUAUCAUAACUAAAUGAACUAAAUAAGGCAAUGUAAUAUACCUAAUCUUAAGAGUAAUCUUAUAUUUCGGUAAUCUUAUUAUUAGAGAUGAUAUUAUAUUCCAUUAACCAAACUCUCAUUUAUUAUUUAAAAUUAACAAUGCCAAAAAGUGCACACUUCUGUACCAGAUAAAGAAGUAUAGCAAUGAGUUUUACAAUCUAGUUAGAGCAACCACUAGCUCUAAAAAGACUAUUCCUUGUUUAUCAAGGCUAAUGUCCAUUUGUGCUGAGUCUCUAAAGCCAUUCUCGUGGAUUCUUGCCAAAUCUCAAGAAAAAUGGUUAAUUUUGACAAAUUGAAGCUUUUCUUCGAUCCAUAAACAAAACAGAGGGAAGGGAGAUGGUUCACUAGUAUAUUAAGAGUACAAAAGGCGGAUAAACUCGAUAAAUAUUUAGUAGUGGAUUUUGGUGACAUAAGCAAUAAGAAAACUCUCUCCCAAAGUAUCAUUGAUAAGAUUCAUAGCAAAUUAGCGCAUUGGAAAGCAAAAUGCCUCUCUCAAAGAGGUAUACCGACUCUUAUUAUGUUUACUCUAGUUGAUAUUCCUUUAUAUUGAUUAGAUCGUUAAAGCCUUCUAGUGGAGGCAUUGUGUUGGGGAGAGAAAACUUCACCGGCGUAAUUCGAGUACCAUUUGAUGACCUAAAGACCAAAGAGGAUUGGAAACUAGACCAACAGACUAGAUGAAUAAAGCCCUUCUUACUAAACAAGCAUGGAGAAUAUUGAUGAAUAAAGAAUCAUUAACUACUAAAGUCUUUAAAGUGAAAUAUCAUAUAAACUAUGAAUUAUGUGAUGUGAUGUUGAAAGCUUCUGACUUGUAGAUUUAGAAGGGCUUCUAAAAGGAAAAGACUUUGUUUACUCGAAGUUAAUGUGCAAGUUUGAAAUGGAAAAUCUUGUGAGAUUAUUUUGGUUAAUGAAAUCGUGGUGCUUCGAGAGGAAAUCGAUAAAACAUGCAUAUAAUUGGUUUGGGAUUUCAUGAGAAAUAAUGUAAGAUUUCAGGAUGACAGGAUGAUCAGAUUUACUCUAGAAAAGGUGGCUUGGUAGGAUAUUAGAAGUAGAACCUUUUAUAUCCUAGGUAGAGAAAAUAAACUUAUAUGGAAAUUUGAUAGCUGUGGUGUUUUCUUUAUGAGAUCUAUCUAUAAAAUUAUUUGAAAAAGAAAUAAUUUAGAGAGACAUAAGUGAUCUGCAUGGGACCAAGUGGUGAGACCUUUGAAAACUCAAACUCUAAUUCAAGUUUUCUUUUUUUUUUUUUAUGAAAAACUUGUCAUGGAUGUAUUCCAACUUUAGAAGAAUUGGCAAGAUAAUCAAUUAAUCUAUGACUAAUUGCCCUUUUUGCUUCUUGUACUUUGAGUCUAUUGAGCAUAUUUUUGCCAGAGCUAUCUAAUUUUUUUGACUUAGACUCUGUUUAUUUUAAUGAAAAUAAUUUAUGAAAAAUGUUUUCUGUCGUUUUUUGUGUUUGUUAAAUAAAAAAUAAUUUGGUCAACGAAAAAUGACUUACAGGUAAAUAGAAAAUAAGCUAUUUUUCCAGUAAAAUAAUUUACCCUUUUGAAAAGUAAGUCAUUUUCCAAAAAAAGAGCUUAUUUAUAGGUAAUUUUAUUUUUAUAUAAAAACUAACUUAAGUCAAAUUUAAUAUUAUUAUAUAAAUAAUAUAUUUUUAUUUUUAAAAAUAUUUAAAAUGAAUAAAAUAUUAAUAUAAAAUAUUAUAAUUUUCAAUACUAUUAAAUAUACAUAUUUAAUUAUCUAUAUCUAAUCAUAUAAUAAAUUAUUUAAUUUCAAUUUUAUUUUAAUAAUAAAAUUUAAAAAUAAUAAUUUUAAAUAAUAUUCUUUAUACAUUAUUGAAAAAUAUUCAAUAUUAAUAUUUUAAUAAUUAAUAUUUAUUACAAUUAUAAAUAUAUUAAUAAUAAUUUUUUUGUAGUAUAAAAGUUAAAAUAUGCCAUAAGUCUAUGUACUCUUCAAAAAUUUGGAAAUUAGUGCCUGUACUUUUAUUUUUAAGAAUUUAACAUUUCUAAUUUUUAGAUUUGAAAAUCAAGUCCAAUUGUUAACAUUGUUAAAUUUUUUUUUUGUCAAUUUUGUUUAUGUCACAUUUUUAAAUAAAAAUGCUCGGUAUUCAUGUAACUAAAAAGUGAUGUUAUAAUGAACAUGAAUUUAACAAAAUAUUUUUAAAAAUGCUAACUGUUGAACCUGAAUUUUAAUAUCCAAAAAGUAGGACUAACCCAAAAAUAAAACUACAUGGACUAAAUUUAAAAUUUACGAACAUUACAAUGACUUAUGACAUAUUUUAACCUAGUAUAAAAAUCUGAAUAUUUUAAUUAUAUAAAUUUGAAUAUUUAUUUAAGUAAUGCUUAGCUUGAUUUAUCCCUUACAACUCUAAUGUGUCAAUAUGUACUCUCAUAUAUGUAAUAUAUGUAAUUUAAAUUAAGUUUUAAUUAAGCAUUAUUUAUUAUUAAGUUUAUAUAUGACAUUGAUUAUUACAAAUAUUUUCUAUUGUUAAAAGGAACUUGCACUAUAAUAUUUUAUAACAAAUAUAUGUAUGUCGUGUUUGUUUUACAAAGAAAAAUGUAAAAUAUAAAUUUAUAGAUAUAAAAUAAAAUCAAUUAAGCAAUGAAAAGAUAACAAAAUCUCAAAUGUAUAUUUGUUUAAUUGAAAACAACUUUUAUGAAAUAUUUUCAGAAAAUCUGUCAAACAAUAGAAAAUAUUUUACACAGAUUCAUCCAAACACCAACAAAUAUUAGUUUUCCCAUAGAAGUAAGUCAUUUUCUAAAAAUCAUUUUCCGAAAGCCAUUUUCAAUAAAACAAAUGAAGUCUUAGUAAUGUUUUAUUGGAAUUCGAAGUGGCUCACGUUGGACGAUCUAAAUACUAAAGAAGCAAGAGAAUUCUACACCCUCUUCACUUGUACCUUAUGGCGAAUCUGAAAUGAGGGAAAUGAUGUCAUUUUUAGAGGAGCUCAACCUAAUCCAAUAGAUCCCCUCUACUUUAUUAGGAACAACUACUAUUCUAUCCUUAAGGCAUUAUGGAAGAGGUUACAAUGAGGGGAAUGAAUGGUAGAUGUGGUAUCCUUACUAGAUUAGCAGAUCUUAAGAAAGAUGAUUGUAAUGACAUCUAAUGAAAUUUGUCUCUAACUAUCGAAAAAUGAAGAGAAUAAGGUAGCUUUUAGGAUGUUGUUGGGGGUGAAGGAUAGAAACAAUUAUAAGAUAUUCUGUCGUAAAAGAUUUUAUGCGAAAUCUUGACUUCAAGCACAAAUUCUUCUUUUGAGAUUGUUUUUAUAUAUAUAUAUGUAUGAUCAAGGAAUUAACAAAUUUAGACUCUUGAACAUGGACAAAAACUAGAGCAAUAUUAUUUCAAAAAGAUCAAUAGUGGACUAGAAGUUCAUCCUUGCUACCAGGGACAUCAAGGAACUAAUGCAAAAUAUUGAGGUCGUUAAAGCAAAGGGAGGAAUCAAUCAGGAUUUGAAGGAGUUGAAUGGUUGGGCAAGAGCGCAUCCGAUAUGGACAUUUUGUUUAGUUGGCCUUAAUAUUUGUUGACUUAUCCUUGAUUGAUUUUUUUAUGAAAUAAGUUUUUUUUAAGAGAUAAAUGUUUCAAUAGAAUAAAUUAUUACAAGCAUUGAAUUGAAUAACUAACAACUGAAUUCAGUUCAAACUAAUUAACUAGAAUAAAUCUAAGGAAAACCCACACAUUCUACAUAAGGUAAGACUCGAACAUGAAAUCUUAACCUAUGUUUGGAUUGAGGUAAUACAAACAAAGGAAAGGAAAGUAGGGGAAAGGAAGAUCAUUUCCUUUGUUUGGUUAAUUUUUUUUAAAUUGAAGUAAGGGAAAGCUAAGGAAAUUAAGUAUCUUUACUUUCCCUCAAAAUCUCAAAUUUUUAUUUACCCUAAAUUGGAGGGAAAAUUAGGAAAAAGAAAGUAAAAAUAUUUUUAAGUUGUAAAAUAUCUUUUUUACCUUUAUAACUUUCUAUAUGAUUAUAUUAUAAAAAAGUUAUAAUUGUAAGAAAUUACUAUAUUCAAUCAUUUCCUUUCCCUUACUAAUUUUAAUCAUCCAAACAAAAUGAUAUUUAAUCUUUUUCUUUCUUUAACAAUUUUUUUCUUUUAUUUUUCUGUGUCACAAAUAUAAAUUCAAACAUGGUAUUUAAGUUCUUAACGCCUCGACCUUAUCAUUGAACCAAAGCAUCAAAAAAAUAUUACUUAUGCUACAUUUUUUGGUAAAAAUGUCUACCUUUAUCAUACAAUAGUCUCAAUUUUGUGCCAAAAGAUUAAAUUUGGUUAUUAACAUUUUGGAGAUAAGUUUGUCAAGACUUUCUUCUUUAGAUUGGUUAAUCUGGAAUUUGACCAAGGAAAGUAAUAUAGUAGUUGAACAAAUGGAUUGACAUUCACUUUUUGCCAUUUGCAUUUGGAGGUUAUGGAAGUGUAGGAAUGAUUUUAUUUUCAAUGAUGGGCAUAAUAGUAGUAGAGAUGUACUUUCUACUAGCACCUCGUGGGCCAAGUUUAUCUUCCAUGGUCGGCGACUGUCAGCAGGUUUUUAUCUCUAUGUAGGAGAAAUUUUGGAAGCCUCCCAAGGAUGAUUGGGUGAAACUUAAUACAGAUGGAUCCACUAAUUUCGUAGGAGAGUUCAAAUGGAGAGUGGAUUUGUGGCUUUGUGUUGAAUCUUUGAGCAUCAACAAUUUUUCAAGUAGAGGCGCGGGCAAUGCUUGAAGGUCUUUCUCUUGCAUGGAAGAUUGAGGCUGAAAGCAAUAAUGCUUUACUGAUAAUGGUUUUGCAAAAAUUUAACCUAUUCAUCAACUUUGUAGAAGGAAAUGACUGAUCGAGUUCAAGCACAUAAAUAGGAACAAAAUUUGUUGGGAUUGACCUGAUUAAGCAGCAAGUAAAAAAAAACUAGCAGAAUAAAUUAAGAAAUUGAACACACAAAUUUAACGUAGAAAAACUUCUCCAAAGAGGAUAAAAAAACUACGGGUAAAAAUAAUUUUAUUAUAAUGGAAAAAGAACGAAGUGUACAAAAAAUGGAGAUAAAAACUAAACCUUGAAAACUCGAAAACAAAGAACCUCAAAACGUAAACACAAAAUUCUCUAAAUGUGUUAUGAGUUCUAAUCGCUAAUGGGUGUAUUUUAUAAGGCUGUAAAAGAGCCUAUUUAUAGGCUAAAUUAAUAGGUCAAAUAAUAAUAAAAUAAUCUAGAUUAAUCAGAGUUUGAUUGAAACAAAUAGACAGAGUUUAACUGAAAGAUUAUUUCUCAAAUUUGAGUGAAAUAGGAGUCAUACUCAACAACUCUCCACCUUGACUCAUAUUUCCACAAUGUCAUCUUUGCCAAAGCCCGCCAUAGGCCUAUCUUAAACUAUGCAAGGAAUUAAUUGAGUUGAAUCUAUGCUUACCUAUCUUGAACUAUGUAGGGAAUUAAUUGAGUCGAAUCUGUGCUUAGAAACUGGAAGACUUUUAGCCUUCGACUUGUACACUACCAAAUUAAAACUAACCCGAGUCUAAUUUUCACGAACACAGUGUCUUAACUUUUCAAAACCUGCAUCGAAAAGAGAACCUCUCUUCAACGAGAUGGUCAUACCUUUUUCCCUCCUAUGACCAAGUUACCUCCGCUCCAAACGAGUUGACUUUGACUUUGUAACGGACGAGGGACGUCUGAUUUCACCAAUCACUGUAGAACCUUCCAAAAUAUAAAGACUUCGGGUUCUUUUACCUUUUAACAAAACGAGAGCUCCACGAGAUACUUUAAUGCCGCUCGACUCGAUGUUGAUUCUACAUCCUUUCAAGUCUAAAAUACUCAAUGAGAUGAAACUCUUUCGUAAAUCAGGUACAUACCUGACAUCUAAGAGUGUCCUAAUUGUCCCAUCGUGUAUCCUAAUUUUAACAGUACCAAUACCAAUUACCUUACUAGAUGAAUUAUUUCCCAUGCGCACAACUCCACCUUCAACUGAACUGUAUGUGGAGAACCAUUCUCUAUUGGGAAACAUGUGGAAAGAACAUCCCGAAUUUAGGACCCAUUCGGACGUGAGCUUAGAGUUAUCGCUCAUUGACACUAAUAAGAAAUCAUCACUGCUUUAUCGGCCAAAUUAGCACCAGCUACAUCUUCCUCGUUACUCUCAGCAGCUUUUUUAUUUCGCAGUUUAUAACAAUAUGCUUUGACGUGACUUAACUUUUUACAAUAGCGACACCUUUUGUCUCGUUUCUUUGAUGCUACCAAAACGGAAGCUUGCCUAUCUGCCUUGCUAUCCAAACCAAACUCAUUGUCAAGUUUGUCUCUACUCAACAAAUGACCUUUCACAUCUUCGAACGAGAGUUUGUCUCUGCCAUAAAUUAGGGUCUCCCUGAAAGACUUGUAUGAAUGGGGUAAAGAGUACAAUAAUAGCAUAGCCUGAUCUUCAUCGUCAAUAUGAACCUCAACAUUUUUUAAAUCAUUUAAAAGAGUAAUGAAUUGACUGGUGUGAUCUCUAAGAAGCUCACCUUCGUUCAUGUGAAACGUAAAUAGACGUUAUUUCAACACUAAACGGUUAGCCAGAGACUUAGUUGCAUAAAGAGUUUCUAACCUGUUCCACAAGGCGGAUGAGGUCUUCUCUAUCAAUACCUCCUGCAAUACUGUAUUCGUGAAGCACAACUGGAUUGCAGACAAGGCCUUUCCAUCAAGCUCUUCCCAUUCUGUUUGAUUUAAAUUCUCAGGCUUUUUCCCGGUAACAACCUUUUUCAAGCCAGUUUGAACUAGAAUUGUCAUCAUCUGAACUUGUCACAGAUUGAAAUUUGUCUCACCAUCGAACUUCUCAAUUUCAAACAUUGUUGCUGUCAUAUCUAAGUAGGCUGAUCUAUGAAAAUUAAACUAGCUCUGAUAUCACUUAUUGGGAUCGACUCGAUUAAGCCACAAGUAAAAAAAAUAGCAGAAUAAAUUAAGAAAUUGAACACACAAAUUUAACGUGAAAAAACUCCUCCAAAGAGGAUAAAAAACCACGGGCAAAGAUAAAUUUAUUAUAAUGGCAAAAGAACAAAGAGUACAAAAUAUAGAGAUAAAAACUAAACCCCGAAAACCCGAAAACAAAGAACCCUCAAAACGUAAAAACAAAAUUCUCUAAAUGUGUUAUGAGUUCUAAUCUCUAAUAGGUGUAUUUUCUAAGGUUGUAAAAGAGUCUAUUUAUAGGCUAAAUUAAUAGGUCAAAUAAUAAUAAAAUAAUCUAGACUAAUCAGAGUUUGAUUGAAAAAAAUAAACAGAGUUUAACUGAAAGAUUAUUUCUCAAAUUUGACUGAAAUAGGAGUCAUACUCAAUAAAAUUCUUAUGCUGAUAGACUAGCUAAAAUGGAACAUUCAAUGUUGGAGGGAAUGUGGGUGCUGCUACAUUUUCCGGAUGUGUUACUGGAUAUUCUACGAUUUGGUUGUUUAGACGGUUUAAGUUAACCUCUUUUUAUUCAAAAAAAAAAAAAUAGAGAAGAAGAAGAAGAAGAAGAAAAUCAAGGCAUUUAUGAUUAUUUCCAAUUAACUUUGAGCUAGUAGGCUUUUCAAUAAAAUUAUGCAAGUGUUCGAUUUAUAUUAGUUUCGUGCUCUAUCCUUAUACUUACAAAGAAAUUUCAAUAAAAUUGUAUACUUGUAAAAGAUACAAGAGUGCAAUACUUUUUGAGGUGAUUAUGGCCAAAAUACAACCAAGUUUGAAUACUGCAUGGACGUUAUGCACAAGUUGAACAUAUGCCAAAGAGUAGCCAUAUCUUAACAAGUUGCUCUACAUUCUUUUAAUUUUAAUUUAUUGCAUAAUUUAAAAAAAAAAUACCAAUUCUCUAGUAAAAUGAAUUAAUUGAUAAAUGAUACAUUUAUUAUGUUUCUGCCUCUGCAUUUUUUACAUUUUCCAUUUUUAUAAUUUUUUUUUUAUCAUCUUCAAUUGUUCUUUUAUCUUUUUGUCGGAAGCACCCCAAACUCAGCAAUAGAGAUGGCGCAUAUGAAAUUGUCUGGCAUUAUUUUAUGUUUUCGCUUUGGAUUUUAAUUUAAUUUUAAUAAUUUUUUUCUUUAAAAUUUUGAGAUAAAUUCUAAAAUUAUACUUCAAUUUUUUGUUAAAUGUGUAAUGUUAUAUAUGAAUUUUGAUAUUGUGCAGCUUUAUACAUGACAUUUUAAUUUGAUUUAAUUUUCAUAAAUUACUAACACUAUUAUGGAUAUAAUACAAUUUACAUUUUCAUAUUAUAUAAGUAUACUUAUUCAAUGUAAAAAAACUAAUGUAUUUAUUUCUUUAAAUGCAUAUAAUUAAAUUAACAUUAAAAUUUUAUACAUACAUUUAAAACACAAUUAAAAUUUCAUAUAUAUAACUAUAUAAAAUAAAAUUAAUGUAUGAAAUUAUAUAUUAGCUAAAAGUUUAUCUCUACAAUUUAUUAAAAAAAAAAACUCAGUUUCUUAUGUAUCCCAUAAUUUCACCAUUUCACCUAAUACAAACCAACAAAAAGCUGACAAAAACAGAACUUCUUUCUCCUUGCCUUCUCAAUGUGUGGCCUUGGAUACGGAUUUUUUAUUGUAAAUUACCCCACACCCACCCACCCCAUUGUUAAAAAAGUUUACGGCAAUAGCUUACAAUUUACAUAUUAGAGUUAAAAACAUUUCAAGUUUUCAACAGGCCCUAUAAAUAGGCUUCUGCGGACACCAUUUCAUUUCAGGCACCUGCUAUAUCCAGAAUACAAAGAUGGAAAGAGUGGAGGAAGAUGACCCUAAACAAAACAAUGUUAAAACUAGGCCCAAGGGAGGAUUGGUCACCAUGCCCUUCAUUUUCUGUAAGUAAUUAUAACUAUCCAUAUGUACUUACUUGUACAUGCAUUUUUGUGAUCUAAAUUAAGAAUAUUUCUCUUCUUAGAUAUUGGUGGUAUUACUAUGUUGGGACUUCUGGUUUAAUUUAGUUUUGAUGUAUGAUUAUAUGAUACAGCAAAUGAGAUCUGUGAGAAGCUGGCGGUGGUGGGAUUUAAUACUAAUAUGAUAAGCUACUUAACAACACAGCUUCAUAUGCCAUUAACCAAAGCAGCCAACACUCUCACAAAUUUUGGUGGAACAGCUAGCUUGACACCAUUGCUUGGUGCCUUUAUCUCUGAUUCAUACGCCGGUCGUUUCUGGACUAUAACAGUCGCUUCCAUUAUAUACCAAAUAGUAAGAAUAGACACUCUCGGUCUCUCAGAUUCAUGAACAGAUGCAUGGCUGCUUUAUUUUUAACCUUUGAUUGAUGGUAUCAGGGGAUGACAUGUUUAACACUAUCAGCAAUACUUCCACAACUUAGGCCAUCACCGUGUAAAGGUGAGCAAGUCUGCCAACAAGCAACGGCAGGGCAGUUGGCAAUCCUAUACGGAUCUCUCUUACUUGGGGCUUUGGGAUCGGGAGGAAUCCGGCCUUGUGUGGUUGCUUUCGGGGCAGACCAGUUCGACGAAAGCAACCCAAAGGAAGCAACCAAGACAUGGAAAUACUUCAAUUGGUACUACUUUGUGAUGGGGGUAUCAAUACUUGUGGCUGUCACAGUGCUUGUUUACAUUCAAGAUAACAUUGGGUGGGGAUGGGGCCUUGGAGUCCCCACCAUCGCCAUGUUCUUGUCCAUCAUCACGUUCAUCAUCGGCUAUCCACUUUACCGACACAUGGAUCCGGCAGGGAGUCCGUUUACCCGGUUGUUACAGGUCAGUGUGUCAGCUUUCAAGAAGAGGAAGUUGGCCAUGGUUUCUGACCCCAACUUGUUGUAUCGGAAUGAUGAGCUUGACGCCUCCAUUUCCGUAGGUGGAAAACUUGUUCACACCCCAGACAUGACGUAAGUUGUCCCUUUCUGGUUUCUUAAACACACAAUUGCAUCCAUAGCUGCCACUCAAACAUGGAACUGUGACAAUUGUUCUAGAAACCGACAAUGAUACCAUAUGCUAAACAAGACUGCCAUGCAUGCAUAUCAUGAUUGAUGUCUUCUUUUACCCUUUUCUCUUACUUUAUGGUUGCAUUUUAAUAUUAUUAUUGUUGAAUUUAGUUAAUUCUUUAAAAGGAAGACACUAUUUUAACCUAUGCUUUUUACUUUUCGUCCCCAAAAGAACCAUUUUUUUAAAAUAUGAAACCAAAGCAUUUGUAAAUAAUAAAAUAAUCUUAAGAAGGCAUUAUUAGCUUCAUUUCAUGUCUUCUCAUAUCAUAUGAUGGUGGUCUGUCUUCCUUAUGGUGUCCAUAUCAAGUAAGAAGAAUAAAAGAAAUUGGGAGUAGAUAAGAUUACUUUCCUUGGAUUUGAUUGAUACCAACAUGGCCUUUGUUAUUUCGGAAAUAUCAAGUCAGUUUUGAUAGUAGGUUUCAUUGUAAGUUUUGGAAUCUUUGAGAUAUGGAGCGAAGGACUCAAUAAUUGCGAGGAGGGCCACCACAAAGCUCAGAUCUUAUUCACACUGCCACCCACUUGAUCACUCCAUAAUUGCAUUUUAGUUGGCAAAGAAACAAAAGUUGUUUUUAGAAUGUCUGAAUCAAAAGUCUCCCUCAGGCCCCAGCAGACCAACCAUUCAAUCGGAACAUGUUUUUUGCCUAUUAUUUCACCUGCAAUUUUCCUGCCUCGCACUGGGGCUGAAGAGCCUUAAAUAACAGCCCUUUGAUGCUGAAAGUGGUGGAAUAAAUUAAAAAGGCCAAAUUUUCUUCUCUUCCCAUCUUUAUUAAAGCAAGCAAAUUAAAUAAAAAUAAAAAUGACCCAAUACAUCUUUGAACAUGGAAGCCUCAUGCUAAUUAAUUAAUGUAUACGAUGAGUUGCAGAUUCCUGGACAAGGCAGCCAUUGUGACUGAAGAAGAUAUUGUAAAACCAGGGCAAGCUCCUAAUCUAUGGAGACUGAACACCAUCCAUCGAGUGGAGGAACUAAAAGCGGUGAUCCGAAUGGGACCAAUAUGGGCAGCAGGAAUCCUCCUCAUCACAGCCUAUGCUCAGCAAAACACAUUCUCCCUCCAACAGGCCAAAACCAUGAACAGGCACCUCACCAAGUCAUUUGAGAUCCCUGCUGGUUCCAUGACUGUCUUCACCAUGGUCUCCAUGCUCUCCACCAUAGCCUUGUAUGACCGUGUUUUGGUCCGCAUUGCCCGUAGAUACACAGGGCUCGACCGGGGCAUCAGCUUCCUGCACCGGAUGGGAAUAGGAUUCAUGAUAUCAGUAUUAGCCACUCUGGUAGCAGGCUUCACGGAAGUGAAGCGUAAAGAAGCGGCUUUAGCACAUGGGCUUCAAGACAAGGCUCAUGCAAUCAUCCCCAUCUCAGUGUUCUGGCUUGUGCCUCAGUACAGUCUUCAUGGAAUAGCGGAGGCAUUCAUGUCGAUUGGACACUUGGAAUUCUUUUAUGAUCAGGCACCUGAAAGCAUGAGGAGUACAGCUACCGCACUGUUUUGGACCGCAAUCUCAGUCGGAAAUUACAUGAGCACGCUGCUGGUUUCUUUAGUACACAAAUUCAGCGCAAGAGCUGAUGGAUCAAAUUGGCUUCCAGAUAACAACUUGAACGAGGGCAAAUUGGAGUACUUUUACUGGUUGAUCACUGCCUUGCAAGUGGUUAAUCUUAUUUACUACAUCUGUUGUGCUAAGCUGUAUACGUAUAAGCCGAUUCAAAUCCAUGGCAAAGACAGUGAAUCUGAAGGAGAUGCAGGAGUAGAGCUUGCAAGCAAGGUUUAGUUUUUGCAUUUGAGGAAACUAGAUGGUGUAUUCUUGUUCCUUUUUGUAAACCUGUCUAGCCAUAGAUCUUGUAGAGAAAGUCUAAUAGAUUAUAAUCUGAAUCGUAGGAUAGGCAUGUCAAGUUCUAAAUAACAUUAGAAAGAAAAAUCCACCACCAAGUAUUGUAUUUUGUAAUAAAUGAAAAAUAAAAAUUCUAAAGCAAGUUUCUAUUUGUCUUCUUCUAAGUUUGGCUUUACCAAGUCUGCAAACUCUUGAAGCUUUUAUUGAAUCUAUAAUCAGCCAAUCAGGAGAGACAAGAAUAUUCCUUAACCAGACAAGUAAUGUCUACUUUCAUUUUCCGUGCAUGCUUAAUACCUUGUCUUAAACCACAAGGAAACAAUCACAGUAUAAACAGUUUUAUCAUGAUGGAUAUAUUCUUGUGAUUGUAAUGAGCAAAUAAACCAGAGUUCCAAACAAAUGUGUUCAAUGCCGAAUCUAAUAGUAACACCCAUUUUUGAGAAAAAAACUAGUGACAUGGAGAAUAAAGUUUGACACCAAAAUUCUUAAUAAAGCAAUUUUCAUUUAAUUCUAUCAAAAACAUCCCGUAGUUAUUCUGUUUCUUCCAAUAUCUAAUUCAACUCAAUCUGAGAUUGCACCUGAAAUACUUUAAAAAGAAAAGAAAAAAUGUAUCGCGAUACAAAUUGUACUGAUACAGAGAAAAGGUCCUCAGCUAGGCCAUCUGUUUGAAUACACAGACAACAGCUCUGCUUUGCCGUGAAAUUAGAAGACUCGGUGUGAAUUCAUUGCAUAAAUCUGAGAAUCAUCUACAAAGUGAGGCUUUCAGGGUUCUCAACAAUCUUUGAGAAGGUCUGAAGGAAGGCAGCCAAAUCAGCACCAUAGAUAAUUCGGUGGUCAGCAGUAACAUUCACCUGAAAAGGAAGAAUCUCAUGGUAACUCAGUUAAGUUGUUCUCUUGAAAUAGUUAGCCAGGAUGAAAAUUUAGUUUGUCUCCCGUCCAGAAUAACGACUCCUCUAUAUUAAUUGCCAAACAUGAAGAGCAUGCAUUAUUCACCAAUAAAUGGAAUUAAACCUAAUCUAACGAUUGAACUAGUUAUUUCAGAUUAAUAUUUCUCAAAAACUUAUCAAAACAUCCGUAGCACAUACCUUCAACAACAAUAUAAUUAGGGUUGCAAAGAUAGGUUUAGCUCUGACAAGAACCACUGUACAAGCUCUAACCACUUACCAUCACAAUGUAGCACAGAGUAAUUUGGGGCAAACAAGAAAUAUUGGGCCCAUUCGUAUUUGGACAACUCCAAACAUGAAGAGCAUGCAUUAUUCACCAAUAAAUGGAAUUAAACCUAAUCUAACGAUUGAACUAGUUAUUUCAGAUUAAUAUUUCUCAAAAACUUAUCAAAACAUCCGUAGCACAUACCUUCAACAACAAUAUAAUUAGGGUUGCAAAGAUAGGUUUAGCUCUGACAAGAACCACUGUACAAGCUCUAACCACUUACCAUCACAAUGUAACACAGAGUAAUUUGGGGCAAACAAGAAAUAUUGGGCCCAUUCGUAUUUGGACAACUCCAAACAUGAUCAUAAAUAAACUAAUUAAAUUUUAAAUUUAUGUCAAGAGAAAAACCAAAAAACCUACAAAUGCCCCUUAAAGAAGAUGAUAUUUAAAAGAGAGCAUGUCAAUAGAAUGAGAGGCUUAUUAGGACAUUGGCAUAAACAAGAAACAAAGACCUCAGUGGUGUUGACCUACCUAAGGAAAUUAUCCUGAGUUAGGCAUAGUAGCACAAUAUGACUAAAUAUAGGAUAUAGCUAAACCAACCUUACUGCAUUAAGGUUUUGUUUGUUGUAACAACUCUAACACUUUUUUUCCUUUGUAGAACAGUGUCUUGGAAAUAUCUUAGCUAUCUGGAAGUUUACCUAGCCAUUGACUCAGCAAACAUAAAAUGAACCAGCUUCUGCCAAUAGAAGCUAAUCAAGGUAGGUUCCUCCAUACAAUUAACAACCAAUAUACCACGUAUACUUACUGAGGAUCCAAAUGAGCUUUUUGGAAAAAUCAAACAUAUCCUCACAACUAUCCUUCUUAUUUCACAUGAUGGCAGUCGCAAUGAACGACAAAUGUUAGGGUAGUAAAUAGGAUUAAAUACCCCAAGAGUACCACCCAUAACUAAGGAAUACAUCUUAGAGGCCAGAAGAAAUGAAGCAAAAGCAGUUCCAACAAUAGCAGAGAGCAAAAUGGGAAGCCUGAGUUGUGGAAAAGAGGAUGAGGGUCAGUGAUAAAAGUCUUCUGCAGCCAAAAGCAGGCUGCAAGAAAAUGUGAUACACAUUUGAAAAGGAUGACCAGUGUUUAUAUGCACCAUGGGGAAUACGGAAAAUUUCUUCCUCUAUCCAAGAAAUGCAAUUGUAAUGUAAUUGACUAUUGCUCCUUGUAUAUCCGACUUCAGAAUGAAAUGGAUGGUGUAAGUCCUAGUCAUCACUAAAUUAUUUCAAGCUUAUUUGUCAGUCAAGACUUUUACUAGUAAAUGGAACAGGGUACACAAACAGCCAAGUUACACAAACAACUAGCACAUGAGUGUGUGGGCGAGAUACCAACCAACCAUGAUCAGGUAUGUAAUGUGGACAGGAUGUCUAAAGCUAGCCAUUGUUGGAGGGAAUCUUUUCCUCCCAAAAGCAAUUCCCUUUAAAUAUAGCUCAUGAAAUAUAACAGGUGAACUACUCAACACGGCAUGAUGGUUGCUCGGAAAAAUUAGAGUACUUGUUGCCCUAUGUGCUUGGACUCAGGUGUACAAGUAUGUACUCGACACAAGUAAGGUUAGUCUUUUCUAAGUUUUUCCAUGUAUUUGGAGGAUUCUUGGAGUUCGUCUAUAUUCAUGUGUCGGACACAGGUACUUGAAAAAAAGUGAAGAGUUCGAGUAACAUAGCUUGUACCUAAAUUGUACUUCUUUUAGAUAGCCUCAGAUCCCGGAAUCUUUUUACUGUUAUAUUUUCAUAAAUUAGUCUGCUUUCAGUCACUACAUGAUACCUUAAAGCAUUAACAACAAAUGAGUAUAUUGGUUCAUGAUAGAUUUGUAAUAAUUUAUCCUAUCUCAUAAAUUUUCUAUAAAGUUCGAAUGAAAGCUUUAUCUAUGAGGGAUUGUAAUUGGCUCCAUAAUUGAAACUAGACUCACCAGCAUUUUGUUUUUCACGCUGAAGAAUCCAUCAGCAUCAGCUACAACAGUUGGCUUUGAUGCUCCAACAGCCAUGAUAGCUCCCUGGUCAUCAUUCCAAAAAAUAAAAAUAAAAAACAUAGAGAGAUAUAAUCAAACAGAGGAAAUAGAAGAUCCAUCCAUAACCACUCACCUGGCCUGGGGGAAGAAUGGCAUCAAACCUGUCCACUCCAAACAUGCCCAGAUUGGACAGAGUGAAUGUCCCUGCAAGCAAUUUAAUCAUUAUUUACUCUCUAAAUUCUAGACACAAAAAUAUCAACCAAGUACUCAAAGUGGAACCAGAAGUAAAAUCGCUAAGCAGUACAAACCCGAAUUAUACUCUUGAGGCUGAAGCUGCUUUGCCCGGGCUUUCUCCACCAAUUCUUUCCAUUUUUGAGACAGUAGAUACAAAUCCAACUAUAUCGAAACAAUUCCUUUAAUUCAAGCUCUUAGAAGCUAUAAGAAACUAUAGAAAAACUAUAUACAACUACAGCAUAUUAGUAAUAACAAACAACUCUUAUAUUUGAUUCCAAUUAUCAAAUAUCAAUAUAAUAUAGGAUCACUAACCUUAUCUGCAUCUUGAAGAACAGGGGUAAUCAAGCCACCAUUAAUAGCAACAGCUACUGCAAUGUUGAUGUUACUAUUGUAAGUAAAACUCUUGCCAUCUUUACAGCUUGAAUUCACAAGAGGGUGCUGCGCAAGUGCCAUUGCGGCAGCUUUGGCUAACAAAGCAGUCAUUGUCACACCCUUUGGUUUCACCUAUAAAUGAAAAUACCAAGUGAUGAAUUAAAACCAAUUUGCGAAUCCAAAACACAAAUAAUCCAACUUAUGAAAUCAAAGAAUCCAACUCAACUUACCUUCUCAUACAAGGCAUCAAGCGCGUCCGUAGUCACAGGAUACCCCACUCGAAAUGUGGGCACUGAAAGGCUCUCCACCAUAUUCUUCGAAACGGCAGCCUGCAUUGUCGUAAACGGCACUACCGUAGAUCCUGGAACUGGAGGAGGAAGGCUAGAAGGGGCGGCAGAAGCAGCUGGAGCUUUCGCUGGUGCUGCAGGCUUCGUUUCCACAACCACUGCAAGCCCCACAUUUUUCUUCGAAGGCGAAAGACCGGCGGCGGCCUCAAUGUCCUCUGGCGUAAUCCUCCCAUACGGACCUGUUCCAACCACAGACUCAAUGUCCACCUUGUGCUGCUUCGCUAACUUCUUUGCAAAUGGUGUGGCAACAGUCUUCCUCGGCCCCUCCGCAACUGUUGGAGCCGCGGGAGCUGGCGUCGAUUUGGGAGGACCUGGAGUAGAGGCAGCACCUGGAGCUGGAGCAGGAGGAGGAGCAGAUGGGGUUGAAGCACCUGAUUUUGAGGCAGCUUUGGCUUUAGCCUCAGCAAUUUCAUCUUCAGUCUCAGCGAGAAUACCAAUGGCAGCACCAACAGGAGCAGUUUCGCCUUCCCCAACAACUAUAGCAGCGAGAAUGCCGUCGUAGAAAGUCUCGACAUCCAUGUCAGCCUUGUCGGAUUCGACAACGACGACGCUUUCACCUUUGGAGAGUACAUCACCUUCGGAUUUAACCCAAGAGACGAUCUUGCCCUCGGUCAUGGUAGAACUGAGGGCAGGCAUGAAGAUCUCCCUGAUCUUGGAACGGACGGUCAGGAUUCGUCUUGGGGUUGAAUUGGAGCGAAUUGAAGAAAAAGGAAUUGAAGGGGCAAUACGAGGAAGAGAAGAAGAAGAAAGGGAAGAAGAGAAAGAGAUGGUAGUGUUAGAGAGAAAGGGAGAAGCCAUUUCCUUGUGUUUUUGGCUUUGAGGAGAGGAAUUGGAGAGAAAGCGAAAGAAAUGAAAUAAAUUAAGGAGCGAAUGGAGAGAGUAGAGAAUGGAGGGAAUAUAAGAGAGCGAGCGGCGGAGAAGACGAGGAAAUGCUGCAUUGCCCAACUGUGUUUGCAUCGCCCGUUACUAAUUACUAUUGGAUGUUUUAGAUUUUCAUUUUCACGCUUUCGGCAGUCAAUUUUUCGUUUCUUUUCUUUUUGGAACAUAAACUUUUCCUUCUUUUCAAUUCCAUCCUUAUUUUACAAAUCUAAUUUACUGAUCCAUUCCUAUUUCCCAACUAAAUUCUACUCAACGACCUUUUCCUGCCUCAAAAAGGAAAAGAAACGACUUUUUUUUCUUACCAAACCUUUAACUACGAGGGGGAAAUUACGGCUUUGAGCUUACAACAUAUGUCAUUUGUGGCUUUAAACCCAAUUUUCCUUGCCUCAAAGGUUAAGACCCCGUUUAGUAGUGCUUUAAAAAAACACUUCUAGCUCUAAAAGUACUUUUGGAAGAAAAGUUGUGCUAAACAAGUUGUUUUUUGCUGAAAUUUGUAGCUUUUUUUCGUAAAAGUACUUUUGGUACUUAAUUACUUUUUCACCCCUUUAAUAAAAACAUAAUACUUUCUCAUUUUCUUUUAUUGGUGUUUAAUUACAAAUGUGUUAAAAUUAUUAAUUAAUUUUUUUUAAAAAUACUAAUUACAAAUAUUUAAUGGUUAUAUUUAAAUAUUUAAAAUAUAGUUUAUAUAUUCUAAUUAAAUUUUAUAAAUAAUUAAUAUUUAUUGCUUAAAAAUAUUUAAAAUUUAUAUUUCAUAUAUUAAAAUAUUAACAAGUUAUAAUAAUUUUUUAUAUUCUUACUAAAAUAUAAUAAUAUUAACUAAUUUAAAUAUUAUUUAAAUACAUAUUUUUUACUUGUUAAUAACAUGUCUAAAAUGAAUAUUUUAUUUCUUAAAAACACUUUUUGACAGCAAUACUAAACCCUCAAAUUUUAAUUAAAAUUUUCAAAAGCACUUUACAGAAGAACUUUUCCACAACACUUUUCAAAAGCAUUGUUAAACUAGCCCCAAGUCAUACACAAUACUAAAUUAUGUCACACUAAAGAUGUAAGUGAAAACAUUCAUAUACUAAAUUCAUUAAAAAUUGUAAUUUUGGUUGAAAUGUUAAAAUUAAGUUAGUGAAAAGCAUGAAGACCUAAGUUCAAAAUCUAUUAUUUCUAUUAUGUAUGUUUAUUUAUCUAGAUUUAUCAACAUACAAAAAGAUAUUAAUACCCUCAACAUAAUAUUUCUUACUUUGUAAAAGAACGAAACUUUUGGUAAUUUCCUAUCUAAGUUGGGACAUGGUUGAUAGGUGACACCACCUCCGGCAACCCCUUAAUAUAUAGCAUUAAUAGAUAACUAAAUUGUAUAUAUUAUGAAUAAGGGGAGAGAUUCACUUACACCCGUGUAAAACUAUAUUAGUUUUACAUAUUUACACAUCUCUUUGUACAAUUAAUAUUUUAACAAUCCAACCGUCACAUUUUAUAUUUCAUUCAUAUGGAUCAUGUAUGUCAGAUUUGAUAUAAAUUAAAAUUUUCUAACUAUUUAUUUCAUAUAUAAAAAAACUUUCAACCGUUCAAAAAUAUUAAUAUAUAUAAUGUUUUAGGUCAAUAUGAUAGAGACAUCGGAGCGGUUCGAAAAAUUACAUAUAUGACAAGUACAAUUAUAUCAAUAAAUCCAACGGUUAGAUUGUUAAAAUAUUAAUCAUACAAAGAGAUACGAAAGGAUUUUAAUUUUAUACCAAUGUAAGUGGAUCCAUCCCUAAAUGAAUAAAUUAAUUUGAAUUUAAUAUAAUAUAUAUUUGAAAAACAUAAAAAAAACAUGUCAAAUUCAUAGGCUUUUUAGAAAUUUCAAAUUCAUUACUAAAUAACCAAAUUAACAAAUACAUGAAUUUAAGAAAUAAUCAUAAACAUCAUAUUUGCAUGUGUCUUUGCACCUAAUUUACCAUUUUGGAAAUCCAGAUCCAAAGGUAAAUGUUUUGGAGACUUUGACAAGAUAAUUGACAAUUGUGAAAAACAAGGGGUCAUUUAAUGCUAGUAGCAUAAAUAGACCAAUUAAAGAAACAUUAGGAAAAGCUAAAUUACUUGAUAUUAAAUAGACAUUGGAUGGUUCACAUGGUCCAAUAACUGUAGAAGGAACUUUUGUGAAAAUUAGAAUGUUGGGGAAGUUGUUGCUUGUUCCAUGUUCUAUUGUAAUGAACUUGUUGACAAAACAUAAGCAUGGUCGACUUAGAUACUAAGUCUCCCAACCGAAUACUUUGAGGUGGUUUGAUAAGCUUGAAAGUCUUUUAUUUCUUGGUGAUUGAAGUGUUAUUUUUUAGAGAUAAAUAUAAGAUUUAUUUAAGAUAGUUUGGAGCUUUUGAAAGACUGAUUUAUGAAGACUUUUACUUGAUAAAUACUUAGGAUAAUUAAUGAGAUAAUUUUAACUUUUAAAUAAGAGUUAAAGCCUAUCAAAACGUUGUUACUGAUCACAUUGGAGAAUCUAUAAAUAGGUCUAUGAUUGACAUUUUACUUCAAUCAUGUAGGGUGUCUCUGACACGCCUUUGUGUAAGGACUUGUUAUGGAGAGAAAUUAUGUAAAGUAGGUAUAUGGGGAAAAGUGAUUAUGCAAUUGGGGUCAGUAUUGGGGUUGCAAUUACUUUUUUUGUAAUGGUAGAUUUGGCUUAAGUCAAUAGAUGAUCAGAACAAUUGGUGAAUAAAAUCAUUCUCUAAGUAAGGCUCGCAGAUGUAUGAUUGGGGAAUCCAAUUUGCGUUAACAAAUAUUGUGUGUCGAUUCUCUCUUUACUUAUCUCUUUAACUCACUUGCGCUUUGGAUUUGUUUUGCAAACUCUCUUAAUUCUAUCUAGAUUCUAUUCCAACAAAAGUUAGAAUAAAAUUGUUUUUUAAAUAGUUGUAAACCAAGUUUUGUUGUUCCACUAAUAGUACGUACAUUAAUGUUGGAACGAAGUACAAAUCGGGGGAUUUUUUCAAUUGGUAUUGUGACACCUCAAACUGAUCGGGACGGGCCGGCCCGAAUUCGAAGCGUUCCAUUAGCAGCCUAAGUGAUCUCUGGCUAAUGACCUCCCAAGACACACCCCGGUCUUGUAACACAUCAAUCUUAUCCGUUUAUUAGUUAUUUAUUAAUGCGGAAGCAAUUUGUGAACCAAAUUUAAAAUUUUUAUAAGUAAUUUAACUUAAGGGCAUUUUUGUUAUUUUACCACCUAUGGUUAAACUAACUCGAAUUUAGAUCUAUAUAUUUACCAACCCUGUUUUAGUCAAUUUAUGUAAGCCCUAAAAAUUUUAUCUUAAUCCGAGUUUAUUUUCUAUGUCUAAUUCAAGUUUUAUCAUUAAGGACUAAAUCGUAACAAUUUCAAACUAUCAGUACUAUACCUGAAUAUUAAAUUGAGUGCAUUUCUAACAAAUUUUAUCAAUUCCAAUUCUAAUCCUAAAAUUUUAUCAAGUUUCCUUAUCAUUUAAGGCUCUAAUAAGACUUAUCAAGUUACAAGACUAAUUUGUAAUUUAAACAGAUUAGAGAACCAAUUUAAAAAGACUAUAAUUCAAACCCCCAACAGUCCACUGCAGUUUUUUUGUGCAAAAAAUUGAUUUUAAACCCUAUUUUGAGUAUUUUAGUGCCUCAAUUAAACCUGAUUUAGCUACAAUUAAAAAUCAUACAUAUUCAUACACCUUCAAUUGAAUUUAUUAACACUAACUAAGCCUCAAUUAAAUAGAAUUAAACAUUCAAUUUCAUACAUAUCACCCAUCGAUUAAUUCAAACAAGUGGCGUACCUCAGUCGCUAGUAAACCACUCCAUGGAAGCUUCAUUUAAACAAUGGUUAGUAUAAACAUCAUGCCUCACACACCGUGUUAUCAAUCAUCGCGUUAUUAAGCAACAAUACACCAUAAAUUAUUCAAUAAUCAAACUCAAACAUGCAUAUAUGAUAUUAUAAAACCAUCUAAAAUUAAAAAUGUCCAAUGUCCAAUGUCUAAGUCCAAUUACAAUCAAAAUUAAACUAAGUCUUAGAAGUUCCACAAUGAUCGAUUAACAUCUCUAAAACGUGUAACUAAAUCUCUACCGAGCCUUAAUCUCUUGGAACUCUCUUGCUCGACACCUCAGCUCCUCAAUCUUGUCGGUUAACUGCACAGAUGUGAGGGUGUGAGCUUAAAAAGCUCAGUGAAUUUUAAUAAAACAACGAGUAAAUUAGAACUCAAAUCAUGCUUAAAUUGAAACCAAUCAAAUACAAAUUUUCAAUCAUAAUAUCAAUCCAUAAUAGUUCAAUGUCAUAUGCUCAACCAUGUAGCAAAAAGCAUAAUUAAUCAUGGCAUAUAAUCAUCAAUUUAGCAUACAACAUUUCAUACAUUUAUAUUGGCAUAUACAAUCAUGGCUUAAUCAGGUGAUCAUACAUCGGAUAAACGGAUCUCCUUACUCCCAAUUAGAAUCAAAAUCAGUCCCAGAUUGAGCGGCCCAAGGCCACACGCUCCCUUAUAUCUCCUCAAAUCAAUCCCGUUGAGUGGAGACACAAGCUCAACACUCCAUUGUCUACUCCAAGUCAGUCCACCUAGAGUCUCAUUGCUCACAAAUAACAUAUCAAUAUGGUGAGUACUCACAAAUCCUAUGGCAUGCCAACUAUACCCAAUUGAUCUACCAUGCUAUAAUGCCAAUAUAACCAAUCAAUCAUAACAUAAUUUCAAUUAAUAAUGUGCUUAAUUUAAAGUGCCAAAAUGCAUAUGUGAAUCAUGUAACAUAGUCAUUUUAACAUCAAAUUAAAUCUAGCAUACAAAUUACCUAUUAUCAAUGUUCAUUUAUCAGAAAUAUCAAUAUACCAUGAACCAAAAACUUCCACACGCUUGCUUAGUUCACCAUUAUAAUAAAUCAAAUCAAACACAUAAAAUCACUAGAUGCUCACUUACCAACACUUGACAAAAAAUUCAUCACUUAAACAUAUAUCAAUAAUCUUGCAAAAUUAACCAACCAAAACUCAAUUAAAUAUUUGCAAUCAGUAAUUAAUCAUCCAAUUAAGCAUAAGUGAUGAUCAAUUUACCAAAUCGCCCUUUAAUAACACUUACCACACAACUAACUCAACCACAACCAAGUGAUCAACCAAGCAAAUCCAAGCUUUAAUUUCGAUUAGCUCAAUCCUCUUCAAGAUUCAGAGCUUCAACAGAGAUAAAAUAGAUAUUACUACCUUUCAAAAGAUAUAAUAAACACAAAUUUUCAUCAACUAGGCUACACGUAAUUCUCACUCAAAGUUACCGUAUCAGAUUUGUAUCAUCAAGUCGAAAACUCGAUUCCUCACAAAAUCGAUCACUCCAACCCUCCUAAUCACUUCCAAACAUCAAUACUAGACCAAAUAAACAUAUACUAAGCAUCAAUUUCACAUUUAAAUCAAUUUCACAAAAAUCUAAAAAAUCGAUUCAUGAAGAUGAUGAAAUUCAAAUUUCUUUAAAUUACCGUACAAAACAUAUUUAAUCUUGAUAAAUAAGAUCAAAAACCUUCUAAUAGAUCCAUUUUGAGUUGGAACAUCCAUUGAUUUAUGGAUUUCCUCUCAAAAUUCAAGAUCCACAAUUAAAGCACCUUAAGCUUUUGAAGAAGAUGACAUUGAUAAAAAUCAUGUAAUUAUCACUCAAAUCAUGUAAAUAUGCUUCUAAUCAUCAUAAAAAUAAGUUUAGAAAUAAUAAUUACCUUUGUAUCAUUCUAAAUCCUUUGAUUGAAAAUCUUGAUUCAAGAAUCUUGAGAAAUUUCAGAAUAUUUUUGGCUACUUUUAUGAAUAAUUUUGAGUGAAAAGAGAGUAUUUUGAGAAGGAAAUUUGUUAAAUCUAUUCUAUGAUAAUAGAUCUUUAAAACCAUGCAAAGAAAAUAAAUUUUAUAGCUCUCUAAUCUGAUGUAAAUGGUGUGAAAAGUAGGUUAGAUACAUUGUGUUUAAAAUUGAAACAACCCACCAAAAAUUUAAAAAUUGGGAAAUUUGCCCAAUGACCACUCCCACAUUUCCCUUACUUUACCAAUUGGUCCUCCUGACCCCUAGUAUCGAUACAUUGGCACAAUUUUGCUAAAAAACAUUUGGAAAAUUUGUUAAAAACCCCCUGCAAUGUGUUUAAACUAUUUCAAUAGUUUAAAACCAAUUCAAACCAGUCCACAACCAUCAUAACCAGUUCAAAAUAACCACGUUUAUCAAUUUCUCAUAUACUCUAUAAACAUAUGUAUCAAAUACUUAGAAAUUCAUUUCAAACAAUAUGAACAACUUUCAUUAAACACAAAGAAAAUAAAUAUUUGAAAGUUUGCGUUUUAGUCUUUAAACGUGUUAGAGUAUGCCCAAAGAUCAAUCAUGAGAUGGUUGUAAUAACAUACUUGAUUUAUCAUGUUUAUUAAUAUAAGGCGUUACCAUUAUUAUUUCAGUUUCUUUUCUGUGUGUAUAAAUAAACUGUUUUAUAAUAAUAUCCUGAGAAUAAUAUGAUUAUUGUUAAAAGGUCCUUAGUCAAGUAUUAUUGUUGGAUAGGACAACAAUAAUGCAUUAAGACUAACUGUAGUUGAUUGAUGAUAAAGAGUUGUCAUUGAUAUGGAAUGUCAAAAUCGAUGCACGAAUAUUUGUGUUAGAGAACAACAUAUUGGACUGACCCGUUAUGAGAAUGUUUCUUGGAUUAUCAUGUGAUUGUCACAACAUUACUCAUAGUGAUUAAUAUGUAUAUGAUCCUCAGACUUGAGAUCAUCAUAAUCCCAACAUCGUGAGUUGUAUAUUUUGAUACAGUCAAAAGUAAACCGUAACUGGUUGUUCUAUAAAGGCUGAUGUUGGAUAUACCAUGAUCUAUGUAGAGGGAUAUGGUUGAUCGAUAUAGGAUAAGUCCCUCCUACAUAAUGGGAGUAAUAUCUUAGGCCACUUGAUUGAGUGAAACUAGAAAUGGAUGGCCAUGCUCAAAUAAGCUGAUAUGAGAUGUCAUACUUAUUUGUAUAUCAUAGUCUACUUAAGAUAUCAAGGAAUAAGGAAUGGACUAUGCAAGUGUGACUAUUCCAUGAAUUGUGUCCAAUCCAUAGAUAAAUGACUUAAGGAUUAUUGCAUGAAAGGUUAAUCAUAAAAAGGUUAUGUCGAAUCAUGAUUUCUUGUGACUUAGGUAGCAAUGAUGCAUUGCUAGGUGCCACUCAUUGUUUGUAACAUUGGAAUCGUUCUAGUAUUACUAUUCCAUGAAUUGUGUCCAAUCCAUAGAUAAAGGACUUAAGGAUUAUUGCAUGAAAGGUUAAUCAUAAAAAGGUUAUGUCGAAUCAUGAUUUCUUGUGACUUAGGUAGCAAUGAUGCAUUGCUAGGUGCCACUCAUUGUUUGUAACAUUGGAAUCGUUCUAGUAUUACUGCUAACGUUACAAGAACCUAUAGGGUCACACCUUAUAGUUGAAAUGAACGGAAUAAAACAUAGUUGAUAUUGUGUUUGGUUGUCACUUGAAUUAAAUUAAUUAUAGAAUUAAUUUAAUUGGGUAAUCAAAUAUCAAACACAUUAUGUACAUGGCUGUUGUACGCAUAAUGAUAACAUGAAUUUGGUUAGUAUAUAAAUUCAAAUAAAUAUAUAGUUUACCGAAACCAUUAUUAUAAUUAAUGUAAUUAUAAUUUUUUGUUUACAACAUUGUUAUAUUUAUUUAAUUUCUAGAAACACUAAAAAUAGAUAUAAAAAAUCCCAUUUUUUCUUUGCUUGGGGUCUAGCAGCCGUCAAAGCAAAGUCUUUACCAAAACAGUUUUGGAGAUUCCUUUCGUUCAUUGUCAACUGGGUGGAUUACGUAGAGGCCAGAGUCACGAUAGAUUGCGGCUUGGUUCGAUAGUAGAUCAAUUACUCGUUGCUGAGGUGUUGCUGUCUACUCAGAAUAAAGAUUCGGUAAUUUCAAAACAUUUAUUUCACCUUGAUUCGUUCCUCACACAUGGAUCCAUGGUUAGGAUCCCUGGAUGUUUUUAUUUUUCCGCUGCGCCGUAGGUAUGCCGACGUUCCAACGGCCUUCUCAUGACAGUAGAACACCCUUUUCUGGACUCAUACCAAUGGGCGUGCUGCUGCAUAUUGGCUAGAUAGUGUUCACAAACUUUCCUUACAACGAUAAUCCUGAUGGACUUUCCCCAUAUGAGAUAGUCCUCUCGAACUUUCCAUUUAACUGAUAGUCCUUACGGACUUUCACAAAAGAUAGUCCUCACAGACUUUCCACAAAAGAUAGUCAUGAUAGACUUCCACAUUAGAUUGUCUUGACAGACUUCCAUAUUUGCGGUAGUUUCAUGGCUAUGGACUUUCAUACUUCCCAUUAAGGGCUGUUAUAUGUCCCCCGAGGGGCUCUCAAAUAUCCCAUUAAGGGCUCUUAUACGUCCCAAACAAGGGGCUCACAUAUAUAGGUGUGCACUAAGUCUCCGUAUAAUUUAAUGUCCUUUCUUGGCUCAGUCUAACCAAACCUCCCUCAAAGCCACAUAAAUAUAAUGCAUAUGCAAUCCAAUGUGUAACCAUCUAACCCUCCUCAAAAGCCACAUACAUUUUUAUGCAUACAUACACACAUUAUGCCAAUAAAGACUAUGAAUCAUACAACAUAUAACACACCAAACAUGCCAUGAAUAUCAUACUUAUUAUCUGCUAAUUAUAUCACUUAAUACGUAACAUUGCAUUACUCCAAACAACUUGUUUACUCAACAUAGUUAGCUAACAAUCAUUUGUAUAUUACAUACCACACUGCUUGCAAACACCAAACACUAUUACUUCACCAUAUUAUACUCAUAGUUCAGCCAUAAAAUAAUUCAUCAUUCACAUAACACUUAAAUAAACAUGGUGUAAUACCCCAAAAUAAGGCUUAAGAGUUUAGGAGUAUUUUAGAGAGUUUAGCCUUAGAGCGUUCAGAUUUUUAUGACAUGAUUUAUCAGUAAUGUUUUUUACUAUGGUUUUUAGAAAAUUAAAUUAAUUUCUAAAAAUGAGUUUUAAAUACCUUUAAUUUUGAAAAUAGGACUAAUUUGUAAAAGAGUCAAAACUUAGAGUUUGUAAAAGGCAAUUAGACCAGAUUUUAAAAUCCAACCUAAAAACCCUAUUUAUAGUUUUAUUUUCACGUUAGUCUUCUUCUCCUUCAUACUUGUGCUAUCCAUAGUUCUCCUAACUCUCCCAAUUGAUUUUGAAUUCCAAAUCCUAAUUCCUUUUGAUUUCUAUCAUCUCUUAAAUUAUAAAUCUCCAUAUAAGUUAAUAAAAACACCCAAACAUACCAUAGUUUUCUCCAUUGUCAAACUUGUGAGUUUUUUAGAUUUUUGAUCAAAUGCUCAGUUUUUCAUCAUCUAAGGUAACGAUUCAACUCCUAAAUAUUUUUAAAUUUUAUUUAGUCUUUACAACCAAGUUUUUAGCCAUUAAAUUGUAUUUUUGAAUAAAAGCCGAAAAUUGGCUCAUUAAUUACGGAUUUCAGGAUUUUGAGUAAAAAUGUGGUUACAAAGUGUUUUUAACUUAUUUUGACAUGAUUAAGAGGUUUCUAAACUUGUUUUGAAGUUUUGUUAAAGAUUUCUUGAGUUUUAAUGAAUUUUUGGAAAAUAGCCAAAAAUAUGUCGAAAAAGUAGAUACUAUGAAUUGAGUAUUUUAUUGUAGUUUAAAGGUUGGGAAUUAGUCGUAGGUGAAUAAUUAGAUGAAUGAAACUCAUUUUAGGUGAAAAUAUUAAGUGUAGAUCGAGAUAUUUGGAUUUCAAAUUGGUUAUGUUAAAGGUUUCAGCUACAUGAGAACAUAACUUAGGCUUAUGUUUUUUAUUGGUUGUGGUAAGUCCUUGGUUUAUUUUUAAAUGUAUUGUUGUGUGAAUUAUUAUGUUGAAGCUUCGAAUUCGUUAGGACCUCUUACGAGUAGAGAUAAAGAUAAGGAAAAGCUAGUUUGAGUUUUUAGCUUUUUAGCGAAAGCAUAUUGGUGAGUGUUUGGAAUAAUUGCUUGUGGACAUGUUUCAAAGUCUUAUUUGGGAAUUUAGUAGUAGCCUAAAUCCCUACCCUAAAUUAUGAGUGUAAGCUUUCUCAUACCUAUGCUAUCUUGUGAAAAAUGUGCUUAUGUGUUUAUGAAUAUGUGAAUUGAGAUGAGAUGCUAUAACAUGUGAUAUGUGGUUAUGAUAACUGUUGUGAAAGUGAAAAUGUGUCCAUGUUAUGUAUAUGUUAAAUUUUAGUGACAGGGUUUUGCUAAAGAUGAAAAUAUGCAGUGAUAGUGCAUGGAUAAUUGGUAAGUGAUAUUUGUUUGAUUUCGGAUAUUUUGGCCUUGUGAUCUUGAAACUGUUGGAUAUAGUUGGCAUGCCAUAGGAUUGUGAGUACUCACCUAUAUGUACAGAGAUUUUGGGCGUUGAGGCCCUGGGACAUGUUGAGGGGAUAAGGGAAUGUGAGCUAAGCUCCAUUCAACGGGACAUGUGAGGGGAAAUAAGGAGAGUGUUAGCUAUAUGCUUCACUUUUGGGACAUGUUUGACUCUAUGAAUCUACAUGGUGUGUUAGAAAUCUGUGUAUCCGAUGAGUGAUGAUAGAGCUCACUUUUAUGUUUCAUAGAUCAAGUGCCAAAUUAUCUUAAAUUAUGAAUAUGUGUGUAUUGUGAUAUGUGUUUAUAUGGCAUGUGACCAUUAUCCAAUUUAUCUAUAAACAUGUUUUUGAGUAUUGUGACAUAUUAUUGAAUGUAAUGUGAUUUUAUGAGUUUUGUGAUAUAUGCUUAAAAGUGAAUAUGUUUACCAUGUAAAAGAACUAGUAAUAAUGUACGAGUAAGUAUAAUAUGACACUAGAGUUGGAAUUGUUGAUGUUAUGCUAUAUGGUUGUGUCGUUGAUGCUUGAUGAAUUGUUUGCAUUGUGGUUAUUCUGGGUAUUCACUAAGCUUGUUAAGCUCACCCGUUCCUUUCUUAAAACCCUUGCAGAGUAGUUAAGUGCCGGUAUGAGCGGUGUGGUUUUUGAAGGGUGAUCCAAGCAAGACGUUAGCUUUAUUUCGUAGGUGUUAUUAAUUCGUUUAUGUUUUGGGGGAAUAAAGGCAAUGUGGUAGAAUUUUUGCAUGAAUUUUGCCAUGAUAUUUUGGAUGUUUCCAUAGUUUAAUUGUUCUCAGGAUUUAAAGGUUUGAGUCGUGAUAUGUUGAUUAUUGCUCGGACUUAUUCUCGAUGUUUCAAACUGCGAUUCUAGUCGUUUUGAUGUUUAUUUGAUGAUGAUGUGAUAGCAUGAUGAAUUGGUGCAAGUUGGAAUGACUUAUAUGCUUAAAAAUGUUGUAUUUUUCUGGUCUAAAGUAGAGGUAUCGAUAUUCGUGUCGUGAAAAUGAUACCUCUAUUAUUUUGAAAUGUACAAGAAGUCAGAAUCGUAAAUUGGUAUCGAUAUAUCAUGAGUAUCGAUACUCGGGGUAAUUUUAUCGAUACUUUUUAAAUUGUACCGAUAUUUUCAAGGUUUUGAUUUUUGGACAAGAAACAAAAUGUUGUGUUCGUAUCGAUUUUCCAAUCGGUAUCGAUACCAUUUAAGGGAAAUAUCGAUACCUUUGUUUUCGUAUCGAUACCUAUGUGAUUGUCUUGGGAAUUUUGCUAAGUGGUCCUAAUUCAUGUUUAAUUAUUAUUAUAAUUUUAUUUAAAGUAUGUUUGGCAUGUUUUAAUGAUGGUUGAUAUAUGUUUGACAUUAAAUUUACAAGAUCAUUGAUAAAGAGGAUGAUUUCUUAUUAAUGUGAUAAUUUACUAUGAGUAUGACAUGAGACUAUGGUGUGGUAUCUUUAUAUUCGGGAUUGGCGACCAGGCCGGGUAUAAGGUGUUACACAUGGUCUACUCCAAACUUGACAAAACAUUAUUUACUAGCUAAAAUCUAGAACUCACCUGGAUGCCAUCACUGUAUCCACCUUCCAAGCCGGUUUCCUUUGCUACACGAGCCUCCUUAAUCAAUACAACACAAGAACUAUAUUAGAAUCUAACUAAUACUAUUCAUUAUCACAAAAACCAUAAUUUUGUUGCAUGUAGAGGUCAUUUGAAUUAUUAUCCGUCACUUUAUCCCAAAAUAGAACAGAACCAAUAAUUUACUGAAAUCCUUAACUGCUUUCCUUUUCUUGAAUUUGGUAAUGCAGAGAGAUUAGAAAACUUACCAGCAUGUAAGACUUGCAAUUUCUAAGACUAAAUCCUUAGUCUUUCCCCUCCAUGCACAAACAUUCUCAAUCUUUCUAUGUUCCAUGGCAAACCAGAGAGAAAAGAAAAAUAAUACAAAAGCAUAAGAUAAUAAGAGGUAUAUAUUUAUCUAAUAAACGCGCUAGAUUUCUUUUUUGGCAUGUCAUCUAUAUCUUAAUAGUUCGUUACUCGUCUGCAUGGGCUUUAUUAAUGGCCAAGCCAUUACAUUUAUUCAUUUAACAUAAAUGACAUAAUUUACAAUUUAGUCUUUAUUUCAAUAAUCAUACUAUUUGUAUAUCUUAUACACAUUUAUCACAUAUAACAUCGCAACUUUAACAUUCCUUUACUUAAGCCUUCUUUCCACCCUCAAUAAUGUCAUAACAUAUUUUAUUGACUUUAUGAUUUAGUCUUUUUUUCACUAUUAUUAUGAAUUACCAUAAUUUCAUAACUUAAACUAAAAUUUGCAUCAUCAAAACUACUUACCUUUAACAAUUACUAUACAUAACAUUAUUAAAGUAGUAAUUAAGCUACUUAAUUAAAAUAAUUUCUAUUUAACAUAACUUAAACAUAAUUAAAUUCUUGAAGUACUUAAAUCCAAAAUUUGGAUGAUAGAUUCUUCUUUCUUCUUACUCUUUAGACAACUCUUUCAUUUUUCCUUCAAUUUGAUCUUCAAUCUUCUUCUCUUUUUCUGCAUUAACAUAAAAAAAACAUAUAUUGUUUACAUGAUAAACUAUAAUCAAAUAACUUUUCUACACUAUUUAUUGAAAUAAACAUGUAUACUAUAAAGAUGUUAUCAUCUCUUACCUUAGUACUUUGAUACCAAACCCUAACCCUAACUUUGUCUGUAACACCCUAGACUCGACCCAUUUUCUAGAUUCGAGUACUAGAUGAUACAAAGACCCAUAUAACUUCACGAUAUUUUUGAUCCUGCCUAAUUACAUUUUUAAACACUUAAAUUAACACAACAAACUAUAUUAACAAUCAUACAAAACAAAUGUUAAAUUCUUAUAAUUUAGGUUCCAACAACUAUUAAUAAAAUUUUAAAUUAAACUCAAAUACGAAUAUAAUCAAUAUAAACCCAGAGGCGCGUGACCGCCUCCAGAUGUACUAAUGUCUAGAAUGUGAACACUGUGGUAAAAGAUAUGGAUAUAUGAGGCGGUAUUCGCAAGUAUACGGAUCCAAUUUUAAUAUAUUUACAAUGGAGUAGGUGAGUACUCUGAGGAUUGUACUCAAGGGAGACGAGUGCUAGAUCAAUUUUAACCUAAUUAUCGAAAGAUCUAAUUAGUACUUUAAUUUAGUUAUAGAACGAAAGUAAAAUAAAAUGAGUUUUUAAGAUUUUUAUAAUAAUAAAAUAAAAUAACAUAAAGAAAUGAACUUCAAGAGAUCAAAGAAUAGAAUAAAUCAAAUCUGGUUAUGGGUGAUUAGCUCGCUUCAACUAUCGCUUCGGGUUCCUCGUUAACCAAUUAGUUGCUCUCCUAGCAUGAUCUUCCAAUCUUCCACACAAAUAACGAGACAGCAAGGACUACUUAUCUUCUGACCUCACAGUCCAGAAUGGUUUUGUAACACCCCAAAUUUUGGGCCUAGAAGAAAUAGGUUUUGAGCGAGGGAAUAGUUAGGAACUGCACAUAAAUACUUAGUUGUGCAAGGAAGUGACAUAAAUGAAUGUCUGCUUCAGUGGUUAAGUGAUUUAGGAGUGUUUGGAAGUGUUUGAGAAUUCAGGGGUUCAAGCCUUGGCUUAUGCAAAAUUUUUAUUUUAAGUGAAUAAAAUCAUUGGAUCUAGGUAGUAGGUUCUUAAAUUAUUGUGGUUAAAAUAUGACACAAAAAUAAAUUGUGGUCUAGUGGCAAGGUGGCAUGUUGUGUAACUGUGAGGUUUGAGGUUAAAGUCCUGGGCUGCGUAAUGGAGUAUUUAUUUUGCUGCUUGAGAUGUGUAGGUAGUGGAGUUGGAUUGAAAUACUGCUAAAUGGGGUUUGAAUUGGUCAUAGAGAGAAUUGAGGAGGGAUAUUUGGAGAGAUUUGAGGAGAGAAUAUUGGGAUUUGGGAGGUUGUUGUUGUGGAGUGAUAAUAAUAGAAAAUUAAGGGAUUUGGGGGUUAUCAAUUGGGAUUUUUACUGUCUUUUCAAUUCUUUUUUAGUUCUUUUCCAAAAUUUUAGACAUUUCAAUUCUCCCAAUCCCUUGCCGAUUUUCUUUUUGUUGAUUUUCCUUUCUCUUUUCCUCUCUUUUGUCUUUGGCACUUUCCAGUUCGGUGUGGCUCGAUUGCUGUUGGUGUUCUUGGUGUGUGUUCUGAUAAGUUUAGUUAACGUGAUUGAAAUUUAGGUUCUGGUAAUCGUUACUAAAGGGGUUGUUUUGUGUUAGGAGAAGAUUAAGUGACUGGAGUUCUUGCCUAAUGGUGUCGUCGUGUGUGGAAUCGCCAAUGUUUAGUCGAAGGUAAGGACUUUUGUUGUUGUUAAAGGUUGCUCGUCUUACUGGGGUUGCAAAUAGGUGUUAAUUCAGUGACUGAUUGGAGUUUUAAUUGAUCAAAUUUAGGUUCUGCUGGUCUCAGGAGUGUUUCAGCAUCAAACUACAUCAGGUGUGUAACAACACUCUAUAAACGAUAUCAGUGAAAUACCAAGAAGUGUAUGUAAUCACACCCCUUAAUUGUAAAUCAGAAAAAAUUGAAAAGCCAGAAAUGACGGCGUUCGAGGCCACAUGAGCGUACGAAUUCUCGUGGGGUAAUCCGAGCCCACGAAACAUGGUGCUUGACUGUAGAGGCCACCAUGAGCAUUCUCGUGGGCUUAGGUCGAAAUGGGCCACGUUGGGCCGAAAAAGGCUAUGUGGUCCCCAUAUGGAUGAAAUCCACGAAUUGUGACAAAUACUGGACUGGGCUAUGUAGAUCUCAUACUGUGGCAGAAUCUGGGAUAAACGGGCCGCACGAGAGUGUAGGCCCACUAGGGCUGAGUAAUGGGCCUAGGGCCCAUUUACACUGUUAUUACCAUUUAGGUUACCUUAGUCAGUCGAGGCGACUGUGGACCUUCCGAGAGGUUGAUAUCUGCACUGAAACCCCAAAAUAGGUAAAAUGACCAAAAUACCCCUGAAGUGUAAAAUGACUAAUUUACCUCUAAUAGAUGAAAAUGACUGAAAUACCCCCAUAAGGUAAAAUGACUGAAAUACUCCCAUAGAGUAAAAUGACUGAAAUACUCUCAUAAGGUAAAAUAACUGAAAUAGCCUCAUAGAGUAAAAUGACCAAAAUAACCCCAUAGGGUAAAAUGAUCAAAAUACCCCCAUUGGGUAAAAUAAUCGAAAUACCCUCAUAAGGUAAAAUAACCGAAAUACCCCUAUAGGGUAAAAUGACUGAAAUACCCCCAUAGGAUAAAAUACUAUUAUACCCCUAGGAGAUAAAAUGACUAUUAUGGCCUUAUGUUAUGUAUGACUGAUUUGCUCUAUGAUAUGUAUAACUAUGAUUGAGCAUGACAUUUUGCAUACACGUAUGAUAUUUAUGUCACGACAUGUUGCAUGGGAUUGGGUUGUUAUAUUUGGAGGAAGUGUACUAUACUGUUAAGGUCGCAUGGGUCUCCCAAGACAACUGUGGAACUACUGGUGGCUUUGCCACAUAUACUGUUACUGGCAGCUUUGCUGCGAUAUUGGUGUGUUAGCUGGGUGGGUCGAUUUUAUCCCCACAUGGUGUGUUAGGGGUACGGAGUGGUGUGUUGGCUGGAUUGGGAUGGGUUACAUUAUUGCACUGCACUGUUACUAUAUUGGGCUAAGACCCACACUGAUUCUGUAUUGGGUUAAGGCCGACACUGUUACUGUAUUGGGCUAAGGCCCACACUGAUUCUGUAUUGGGCUAAGGCUCACACUGAUUCUAUAUUGGGCUAAGGCCCACACUGAUUUUGAAUUGGGCUAAGGCCCACACUGUUACUGUAUUGGGCUAAAGCCCAUACUGUACUGCCACUAAAUAGGGCUCAGGCCCAGACUGUUACUGCAUGCUAUUUACUGAAUGACUGAUAGGGGAUUACACACUGAGUUUUCGUAAACUCACCCUUUCCUUUAUUUAAUUACAAGAAAUCCUUGACCAUAACAGAUUUGGUGCUGUGAGGGACUCGGAGGUGGCCACAUUACUGCAGCUGUUUAUUACUAAUUUUUAUUUAAAUUUAAAGUUUGUGUUGGAUUUGUUCAUGUAAUAAGGGCCUUUAAAGUUUGUUUAAGUUUUUAAUUGGGCUUUUGCUUAUUUACUUUAAAUUGCUAGUUUAGGGAAGACGAAUUUUCAAAAAUAAUAACUGCUUUCAAAGUCACGAACUUUAAACGAUUGGAGUUUUAAAAUGCUUUCGCGUUUUAAAAACAACUAUUAUAACAAUAGCAUAUAAUAAGGCAAACUUUUUAACUAGAUGAUUGUUAAAUAAUACUAAAGAGGUUUUAAGCUUAGAAACAUUUUUUUUC
rnacentral:lncRNA from 1 species